GCAAAACCAAGUAGCUAGUAAACUUUAAACACAAACACUCAUCACUGCCAGCACAUUCAAGACUCCAGAGGAGUACGUUAUAACAGAUCGAUGGAGAGCUCCACUGCCACUACCAUUUCCCGGAGAGCCAUGAUGAACGGUGGAGGUUCGCCGCGGUGUCCUGCGGGUCGCCCUAUUCCGAAGAGAGGUCAAGUGAAAAUGGGGAUAGUGGUGGGAUUGGCUAACACAGUUGCUUCCAUCUUCACUCCUCAGCGUCCGUCCAUGUACAAGCAGCAAUAUUCGACUAAGUCCUAAUUUAGGACUCGGAUUUUAGGAAGCAGUAGUACUGCAUGCAGAGCUUUUGCCUCUAAAUUUUCCCUCUUUGGAAAAUUCGAGCCUCAUGUUCUGGAUCUAAAAGUUUGUACAUUGUAGAUUUCUGCAUCAAAUAUGAAAUGGGAUUACAUAUUUAUCUUUUGUUCACAAUCUGGAUGGGAUGAGUGAAAUCUUAAUCAAGAAGCAGGAACCUUCAAGCUAGCUACUAAACUCUAGUAUCCCACUGCUUAAUUAAUUAGAUUCGAAUCUAUGCCUUUCUAACACAAUCAAACAUAAUUGAACGUACAUCUGUAUAUAUAUUGUCCAGCUAUAGAUCAUAGGAGGAUGUAUGCAUACGUGAACCUUAGUAGUCCUUUUCAGUACGUACAAGAUAUGUUCAGUGAAUGCUGCCAUGCUGGUACCACAUGUCUACAUGGUUUUGCCCUUCAGAAUUAAUUAAUAAGAUCUUUCAAACAAUAUCGUGAUAAUGAUAUGUUUAAGAAUAUAUGUGACACUACAUAUAUAUUUGGGAUCACAUAGAGAAGUCAUCAAUUGUGAUGGAAUCUGGUUUGGUAGACGUUAGAAGGAACUGAUCUCCACGCAGCCAGCUAGAGUUGUUACAGUGGGCUUGUGAUCAUCCUCAAGUUGCAGACGUUGAAAGCGAGCAUCGAAGUAAGGAUCGGAGAGGAGACUCAACCAAUGCUUCGACACACACUUACACUAAAAACCCGAGGGAUUUCAACCGAUUCAACGUCGGCGAGAUCAUCUAUAUACAUCACUCGUGAAAACUAGGGCAGCCUGCGGUUGAUCUUCAUAUAUAUAAAUUAUCAGAUCUCUGCCAUAGUGCCAUAUAUAAUCGCAGAUAGGAAAGCAGACUAGAGGUUUGGUAAAGCCAUUGUAACAAUUCAGAGGAAUCCCAUUUCUAUAUAUUCACAGGUUAUUGGUCCAGACAAUCGUAUCUAAAAUAAAGUUAAACAUACUAUAUUGCAUGAUAGAACACACAAUAUUGUAAAUGAUCGACAAAUCUAGUUCUUUUUCUUUUGCCAAUGAGAUGAACUUUUUGUCUAUAGGACAGGGAAUCAAACAGUGCAACAUGAUAUUUGUGGUAGUGGUGGUAUCCCAGCUCUUUUAACUAAAACCCAACUGAAAUCCCAUGUGAACCAUAUGCACCACUUUUUCAUCUCCAUUAUUUUGCUACUUUGCUUACAUCAACACGGAUGAGACUGAACUACCCUUACACAAUUUAUGCUCGAUCAUUCCACCCAGUACUACUAUAUAAGAAGCGCUUUGAGCUUUGGAUGAGCACACUGCAAAACCAAGUUCUAAACUUUCAUCACAAACACUAGCUUGCAACACAUUAAAGGGUGCAGAGAAUUACUUAUCAGAGAUGGAGAGUUCCACAGCCAAUGCCACUUCCAGGAGAAUGGUGAACGCCGGAGACUUUUCGCCUAUUCCGAAGAGGGGUCAAGUGAAGAUAGGGAUAGUGGUAGGAUUAGCAAACUCAGUUGCUUCCAUCUUCACUCCUCAGCGUCCAUCAAUGUACAAGCAGCAUUCUUCUAGUUAACUCGUAACUAUUGGGAAUAGUACGUGCUUGUGUUGUGAAGAUGCCUAGCCGCAGAUAGCUUUUGCCUCUUGAUUUUCCAUUCUUUUUUAUUUCGGAAAAGAUUUGAGCUUCAUGUACUGGAUCUUAAAGAGUUUGUAUAUUGUAGAUUUUUGCAUCAGAUAUGAAAUGGAGUCUGUAUUCUAUCUCUUUUGUUCACAACUUGGCUAGGAUCGGUACUCAAUCUCAAUUAAUUAACCUCUACGAUUAAGAAGCAUUUCAAGCUAAUUAAUUGAAACUGGAACCCCAAAAGAACAAGUUUAUCAAAUUAAAGUCGUUUGUCGUCUCAAAUCGGCCGUCACAUAGGAGCUAAUAUUGCCUACUCGACUAGCUAGGCAUUGGGUAGAAUAUGCAAUACUGUCAAAGGCAAAAGAACACUGUAAACUCGAUCAGAGAACUUUCUAUAAUUUGUAUGCAAGUAAUGUAACAGAGGGAGCGUAGUCAUUGUUUGAGCCCAGUGGGUAUUUUGGUCCAAGACUCGGGGUACGUUUUAGAUAACAUUUGGGCCAGUACCUGUGGCCCUUUUUUAAUGCGAAGCCCACGAAGGGUGGCGAGGUCUGGCAACACGCGAGCUGGAGUUUUGCAAGGAUUCUGAUACCCCGCGGGAUUCGAUGUCCUCGCGAGGUCCUUUGUUUCAGUUCGUGUAGGAUUUUGCAGUGCAUGGUGAGGUAGAGUUGGAAAUGGACUGUAGUACUCCGCGGGAUAGGAUCGCUUAGUGUUCGAGUUCGCGUACGACGCUACAGUGAGAUGAUGCGGAGCGGUGAGCGAGACCUAGGCGAGAUCUGUUCUGGACAUGUGUUGCAUGGACCGCGCGGCUCGCGAGCUGGUCCUAUCCUUGUGGAAUUCUAAUUGGUGAGUCCGAGUGGGUUGUGAUUAGGUCUCUGCGAAUUGCUUGCGGAUCGCUAUAUAAAGGAGUUCGAGCAGACCUUCUAACACACACAAUCAAAUCAUACAAAACAAUUACAAAUCCUCGAGCAUCCUCAAAACCCUAAGUUCUAAGUGCACUUCGCCUUAGUUCUCAGACCCCUCCCUGAUUCGCCUUUCUCCCUAUUUGUUGCUCUGCUCGCUCUAACAGUGAGUAUCGAUUCACAAGUGACAAGAGGUUUUACUCGUAAUCCCUCGUCCGCGAGGUGGCACCGGUAACCCCUUCUUCGCUUGUUUAGAAGUCUAGCCGCAGCGCAUUUCUUUCCUCGUCCACGAGGUGGCACGCCCCGCAAUCUCCUUUUUAACUUUUGAGUCACCGGAGUUCCGACUCUGCCCCUGUUAAGACGCGUGGCCAAAACAGUCAUCAUCAGACAUUCAGACUCAUGGACCAAUGUCCACACGACAUUGAUCAAUAUAUUCAAGCCUCACCGUCCAAACUGAUGGGAGAGACUAGUACGAGUUAAUGUUGAUCACAUCAUUAUGUUUCAUAAAAGGCAUAAAUGGCCUUUUAUUUAAUAUCAUCAACCAAACCCUAAUAUCAUAAUCCCACACUGCUUAGAUCCGAAUCUAUGCCUAUUUAACACCAUCAAACAUAAUUUUCAACAUGUGUAGAUCUUGGGAAGAAGUACAUGCAUGAACCUCAUUAGUCCUUUUCAGUACAAUUUAAAUUCAAUGAAUGUUGGUUUCAUCAUGUACCUUUGAAAUUAUAACAUAUGGUCCUAACUAAUUAUUCAAUUCAAAUAAAACUUUCUGAUUGUGAAGUGUUUUAAGAUCACACUCUUUCUCAUGUUUUUCUUUAAAUUAAUUCCCGUCCUCCACUCUCNGAAAUACAGCCAUAUAUAUAUAUAUAUAUAUAUAUAUAUAUAUAUAUAUANNNNNNNNNNNNNNNNNNNNUAAAGUAAGUCACUCCCUUCACUAAACAAAGAAAGGUUCUUCUAAACAGAGAUUACAAGAUCUUCUAAGAUUAGUGAAGGCUAUUUGAGUUUGUUCACCUUAAGUAUAAAUUAAGUAUAUAAUUGCAUGAAAUAUCCCAACUUUUACUAAUCACAUUGGAACAUUGGCUCAUAAAGAAUUGGCUUCUUUGAUCAAAAUAAUUGGCUUCUUUUUUGUAGUGGGAUGGAGCUUUAUGAGCAUGUGACUAAUUAGGUGGAUUUGUUCAUACUUCAUAGCAUGUAGGAACCAAGAAUUUAAAAGGGUUAAAACUGCCCUACUUCAGUUCUUUAACUUGAUUAACUAAACAUCUCUUAUAAUUAGGUGUGCUAAUCAUCUGUUUGUUUAUAAAUACAUAAACUAGUAUGCCUUCAGAUACCAAAUUAACCCUAGCUAGUUUGAUAUAUAGCUGAUAGUUUUAUUAGACCAGUCUAGAAAUGUGAUGUACUAAUGAAAUUGUAGCAAGUAAACUCAACAGCUGGCUAGCUAGGUCAAUAAUCAAAAUUGAAUUGCCAACUGAAAAUCAAAUUCCAUGAGCAAAGACUUGAGAAUGAGACUGUUUUUCCUUUCUCAUUACUUUUUGAACCCCUUUCUCAUAUUUGGUUAGUGUAAUUGAUUAACUUAAUUGUGCCCUAUGUGCUGCAUAUGAACCAUGCUCCCUCAAUAAUUGCACACACAUCUAUUAUUAAACUAAGUAUCAGGUUCAAUUAGCAGCCUUAAUUUUGUUCAUAAUCUAAAUCAUUAGAUACGAUUUGUUCCCUUAAACACAAUCUGACAUGAUAAAUUAUAAUACUGUGUGCAUUAGGCUCAUACAUGAAAGUACAAUGAAUCAAGGUGCUUCCUCUAUCAGAGUCGGUGAAUGGUAUUGGCAUUGCUCCAUAAUUGUACUUGAUGAGAAUAAUAUGAACGAUGGGAUAAACACAAACUUAGAUAACUAGCAUUUCAUGUCAAUAAUUUUUCUUCUAUUCUUAUACUUGUUUUCUAACACAUAAGAAAAUGCGAUACGCUAAUAAUAUAGAAGAUUAAAUUAGUUCUGUAAAAUUAUUAGAAGAUAAGAACACUAGCUAAUUGUCUAUAAGUUCGAUAAAAAAUCAUUGUAUAGUUAAUUUAACAAAUCAAACAUAGAAAUGAAUGAUUUUAGAUCGUCGAAGUAAAACAAUAAAUUCAAACUUCUUAUCUCUCUAUCACAUCAUAUCAAUUUUAGAGAAGACGUGGGCAUGAAGAAAGAAAGAAACAAAGAAGGUUUGGUCCAUGCCAGAUCCAGAGCUAGCUUUGGCCCUUUGGGAAAAAGAUGCGCUAACAAACAAAAGAGCUGCCUCUGGGAAUCUGGAUAGGAGUGCUCAGUCAAUGAGUAAGAUAGUUCUUGUUAUAAGAACCAAUUUGACCACGUGCUUAAUUUGGUAUAGUUAUCCCACUAACAAUUUUCAUGAUUAAAAGUUGUUGCGGUUAUUGUUGGGAGAGUGACUUUCCAAGGUCAAGUCGCCCUGAAGAUAAGCUUUUCCGGUUGCGAAUUCAAGGUGAAAGCCUUGGCAUUUUAUAAUGGAAACCCGACAAGACCCACAGUGUUCACAUAGAACGUGAACUUUGGGAGAGUCAAGAUUGUCUUGUCAAACAAAAAAAUUUGCAGUCAAAUUCUACGAGCAAGAUUAACGUUAAAAAACGAUGAGGGUGGUCAGAGUCUUUGAGCACUAUAUAAAGCACGAGGAAGAUGACCAAAAUCACAAACUCAAACACAGCUUCAAGUUUCAAGCUUUUCUUCUUCCUCUCUCUCUCUCUCUCUCUUAGUUUCGGUGACUUGUUUUGGAUAUCAAAGCAAACCCAGAAGCAAAAACUAGAUGGAAGGUGCAAGGAGUGCUAUGAUCAACGGUGGGAACUUGUCUCAGAGGAUUUCUGGCCGUCUGAUCCCCAAGAGGGGUCAGGUGAAGAUGGCCAUAGUUGGGAUUCUGCUUCACUCUGUUUCUUCUAUGUUCUCUCACCGUCGUGGUGGUGCUGAUGCUCCUCAUCAUUUCUCUUAGAUGUUUUGUCUGUGUGGGGAUUUCUAGAUGAGUGGUUGCAGAGUUUGAGCUUCUGUUUUGUGCAUCAAAGGUUGUACAAAGUUCUAAACUUUCAUCACAAACACUAGCUUACUACACAUUAAAGGGUGCAGAGAAUUACUUAUCAGAGAUGGAGAGUUCCACAGCCAAUGCCACUUCCGGGAGAAUGGUGAACGCCGGAGACUUUUCGCGUCGGUGUCAUGCGCGGCGCCCUAUUCCGAAGAGGGGUCAAGUGAAGAUAGGGAUAGUGGUAGGAUUGGCAAACUCAGUUGCUUCUAUCUUCACUCCUCAGCGUUGAUCCAUGAACAAGCAGCAUUCUUCUAGUUAACUCGUAACUUGUGAAGAUGCCUAGCUGCAGAUAGCUUUUGCCUCUUGAUUUUCCCUUCUUGUUUUUUUUUUCGGAAAAGAUUUGAGCUUCAUGUACUGGAUCUUAAAGAGUUUGUAUAUUGUAGAUUUUUGCAUCAGAUAUGAAAUGGAGUUCGUAUUCUAUCUCUUUUGUUCACAACUUGGCUCGGAUCGGUAUUCAAUCUCAAUUAAUUAACAUCUAGGAUUAAGAAGCAUUUCAAGCUAAUUGAAACCCGAACCCCAAAAGAACAAAUUUAUCAAAUUAAAGUAACGCGUUGUCGCCCCAAAUGGACAGUCACAUAGGAGCUAAUAUCGCGCCUACCUGACUAGGCAUUGGGCAGAACAUGUAAUACUGUCAAAGGCAAAGGAAACACCAUAAACUUAAGAAAAAUUUCUAUAAUUUGUAUGUAAGAGAGGGAGCGUAGUCAUCAUCAGACUCAUGAACCGAUUUCCACACUACGUUGAUCGAUAUAUUCAAGCCUCAUAAUGACCUUUAUUUUAGGGAUAAUGACCUAAUGCACAAAAACAACAAAAUUAAAACCCACUUGAAUGAAAAUCUGUUUUUAUGCCCAUUUCAAUUAAUAUUACACAAAUAAUUAUUAUACUCUCUCAAUUACCUUUUCUGAUCUCUCUUUUUACCCACACAAACCUCAUCCUUCUCUCUCUCUCUCUNNNNNNNNNNNNNNNNNNNNACCACACUCUCUCUCUCUCUCUCUCUCUCUCUCUCUCUCUCUCUCUCUCUCUCUCUCAUCCACGAGCACAAGGAACACAACGUCUCAAUUCCGUCAGAUCCAUGAUGACCACGACGACGAGGACGUCUCUCAGUUCCGGUGCGGCAACAUCCGGAUUCAUAUCUCAUGUCGGCCGACGAUGACGCAAUCAUAGAUCGAACGCUCAGUUUUGAGCGAUGCGAGCGAAUAAGAAGCCGGAGAUGACCGGGUCGGAGGUCUUCAAAACAAAGCCUGCAUUCAGAUCUCUACAAAAGCAGAGAAUCAAACUUCGACGUUUGAUUCCUUCCCAGAGACUGAGACCUCGUCGCUCGUCGCUCUGGCGCUCUACGCUCGCCAGUCAUUGCUCAACGCUCGGCCUAACUGAAGCAGAUCUGGUCCUGAGCCUCCUCCCAAGCGCUGACGACAAAUGUAGUAGUGAUUUUUUGUUGUUAAACUACUCUCUCUCUCUCUCUGUGGAAACUACUCUCUCCCAUCAAGCAUCGCCGACGAUGACGUCGGUCGAGAUCGAGGACGCAUCUCGACAAUGACGCACCACUGCUAUGGCCGUAGUCGAGCCUAUGCAUGAUCUUGUGGUCGUCCACAAUUUUUACGAUGAAGAUAGAGACAAGGUGAUAUCUUUUGAUAUAUUUCUUCUUAUUGGUCAGUAAACUGUUUAUUAGAAGUUUAUUGCCUUCCAGUAAAAGUUUACUGCCCCCAGUAAAAUCCAGUAGAAGUUUACUGCUUUCCCAGUAGAAGUUUACUACCUCCUAACAAAACAUUUUUCAUCAUUACUGCCUCUCAAUAAGGUUUUAUUGACCUUAGUAGAAGUUUACUGUCCCUCAGUAAAAUCUCAGUAGAAGUUUACUGCUCCCCGGUAGAAGUUUAAUAUCUCCCAGUAAAAUAUUUUUCAUCAUUACUACCCUUCAAUAAGGUUUUAUUGACCUCAGAGAAAUUUACCGUAUUUAAGUAAAAAUUACUUGAAGAGAGGUUGAGGGGAUGGAACUGAAGCCAAAUUAACCUACUAUGUGUAUAAUCUCACCAAGAUUCAUAUGAAGAAUUAUCAUCAACCAAACCCUAAUAUCAUAAUCCCACUGCAUAUAGAUUCCCACCAUGAUCAAACAUAAUUUUUAACAUGUGUACUGUUCUUACUUCUUAGAUCUUAGGAAGAAGUACAUGCAUGAACCUCAUCAUUAGUCCUUUUCAGUACAAUUUUUAAAUUCAAUGAAUGUUGGUUUCAUCAUGUACCUUUGAAAUUAUAACAUAUGGUCCUAACUAAUUAUACAAUUCAAAUAAAACUUUCGGAUUGUGAAAUGUUUUAAGAUCACACUCUUUCUCAUGAUUUUCUUGAACUUUAUUCCUGUCCUCCACUCUCAGAAAAUAACAGCCAUAUAUUAAGGUUUCUCUAAUAAAGUAAGUCACUCCCUUCACUAAACAAAGAAAGGUUCUUCUAAACAAAGAUUACAAUAUCUUCUAAGAUUAGUGAAGGCUAUUUGAUUUUGUUCACCUUAAGUAUAAAAUAUAUAAUUGCAUGAAAUAUCCCAACUUUUACUAAUCACAUUGGAACAUUGGCUCAUAGAGAAUUGGCUUCUUUUCUGUAGUGGGAGCUUUAUGAGCAUGUGACUGAUUAGGUGGACUUGUUCAUAGCAUGUAGGAACCAAGAAUUUAAAAGGGUUAAAAUUGCCCUACUUAAGUUCUUUAACUUGAUUAACUAAACAUCUCUUAUAAUUAGGUGUGUUAAUCAUCUGUUUGUUUAUAAAUAUAUAAACAAGUAUGCCUUCAGAUACCAAACCCUAGCUAGUAGCUAGAUAUAUAGCUGAUAGUUUUGUUAAACCAGUCUAGAAAUGUGAUGUACUAAUGAAAUUGUAGCAAGUAAACUCAACAGCUGGCUAGCUAGGUCAAUAAUCAAAAUUGAAUUGCCAACUGAAAAUCAAAUUCUAUGAGCAAAGACUUGAGAAUGAGACUGUUUUUCCUUUCUCAUAACUCUUUGAACCCCUUUCUCAUAUUUGGUUAGUGUAACUGAUUAACUUAAUUGUGCCCUAUGUGCUGCAUAUGAACUAUAUGUGCUCCCUCUAUAAUUGCACACACAUCUAUUAUUAAACUAAGUAUCAGGUUCAAUUGGCAGCCUUAAUUUUGUUCAUAAUCUAAAUCAUUAGAUACGAUUUGUUGCCUUAAACACAAUCUGACAUGAUUAAUUAUAAUACUGUGUGCAUUAGGCUCAUACAUGAAAGUACAGUGAAUCAAGGUGCUUCCUCUAUCAGAUUCAGUGAAUGUAUUGGCAUUGCUCCAUAAUUGUACUUGAGAAUAAUAUAUAUGAACGACGGGAUAAACACAGACUCAGAUAACUAGCAUUUCAUGUCAAUAAUUUGUCUUCUAUUCUUGUACUUGUUUUCUAACACAUAAGAAAAUUAGAUACUCUAAUAAUGUAGAAGAUUAAUUUAGUUCCGUACAAAUUAUUAGAAGAUAAGAACACUAGCUGAUUGUCUAUAAGUUCGAUACAAAAUCAUCGUAUAGUUAAUUUGACACAUCAAACAUAAAAAUGAACAAUUUUAGAUCGUCGAAACUAGAUCUCGUGUACUUACUCAAAGUAGAAAAACAAUAAAUUCCAUUUUUUAUCUCUCUAUCAUAAAACUCGACUUCAGUGACAAAGACCGGUCACAUCGUAUCAAUCAUAAAAAUGAACAAUUUUAGAUAGUCGAAACUAAAUCACGUGUACCCGCUCAUAGUAGAAAAACAAUAAAUUCCACUUCCUAUCUCUCUAUCACAUCAUAUCAAUUUUAGAGAAGACGUGGGCAUGAAGAAAGAAAGAAACAAAGAAGGUUGGGUCCAUGCCAGAUGCAGAGCUAGCUUUGGCUCUAUGGGAAAAAGAUGCGCUAACAAACAAAAGAUCAGCUGCCUCUGGGAAUCUGGAUAGUAGUGCUCAGUCAAUGAGUAAGAUAGCUCUUGUUAUAAGAACCAAUUUGACCUCGUGCUUAAUUUGUUAUAGUUAUCCCACUAGCAAUUUUCAUGAUUAAAAGUUGUUGCGGUUCUUGUUGGGAGAGUGACUUUUCAAGGUCAAGUCGCCGUGAAGAUAAGCUUUUCCGGUUGCGAAUUCAAGUUGAAAGCUUUGGCCGUUUUGGCUUUUUAUAAUGGAAACCCGACAAGACCCACAGUGUUCACAUUGAACGUGACCAAACUUGGGGGAGUCAAGAUUGUCUUGUUUUCAAACAAAAAAAUUUGCAGUCAAAUUCUACGAGCAAGAUUAACGUUAAAAAACGAUGAGGGUGGUCAGGGUCUUUGAGCCUAUAUAAAGCACGAGGAAGAUGACCAAGAAUCACAAACUCAAACACAGCUUCAAGUUUCAAGCUUUUCUUCUUCCUCUCUCUCUCUCUCUUAGUUUCAGUGACUUGUUUUGGAUAUCAAAGCAAACCCAGAAGCAAAAACUAGAUGGAAGGUGCAAGGAGUGCUAUGAUCAACGGUGGGAACUUGUCUCAGAGGAUCUCUGGCCGUCUGAUCCCCAAGAGGGGUCAGGUGAAGAUGGCCAUAGUUGGGAUUCUGCUUCACUCUGUUUCUUCUAUGUUCUCUCACCGUCGUGGUGGUGCUGAUGCUCGUCAUCUCUCUUAGCUGUUUUGUCUGUGUGGGGAUUUCUAGAUGAGUGGUUGCAGAGUUUGAGCUUUUGUUUUGUGCAUCAAAGGUUGUACAAAGUUUUGUAGUUUACAGAUUAGUGAAUUGUAGUUGGUUAUCUUUGGUUUUGAUCUAGUAUUUCGAUCAACAAUCUCGAUUGUCUCUAUGUAACUUCCAAAAUCAAAGAGUGAAUCUUUAGACUGAAAUUCAUGUGGGUUUUACUAUUUAGCGCAUCAUUUGUUGCACAAGAAGCAUUUAACUGGCAUUGUGAUCUUUAAAUCUAAACAAAAUGGCACCCAAUUCCACAUAGGGAGAACAAAGUUGAAGAAAGCCUAAAUCCAACUCAAGAGACUUGGCCUUCUAACAUGUAUAUAAGUAUAAGCCUUGGAAGAUUAGUUGGGAAAGGAAUAAGUAGUUGUGUUGCUUCAACCUAUUCUUGAGUUGUCUCUGCCAAACACAAGCGUGGUAGCCCAGUUCACAGCAACAUAGAACCUGUUCCUCCAACUUACAACCCGGGUAAGAUAAGCAGAGCGCCAGAUGAACCAGCUAACAAAUCCAGCAUGGGAUAUGCCCUUUGAAUCCUGCAACAAAAUUGUAGUUAGAAGUUUAAUUGAAAGCCUAGUUUUUGGUUUUGAAGCACAUUCAUCAUCGUUUAGAGUAACAGUUUUGAUGAACACUGACCUUGGAUUUGCGCAGAUCAACGAGUGCCUUAUAACUCCCAACGGAUGCCAUGCUUCCGAGGUGCUUGUAGACAAAAGGUUCUCCCAGAGAGAUAUCUUUUGCACUCAUGGCCUUACCUGCCUCCUUCCCAAUCCUGUUAAACAACUCCACCAGAAAUUUUCCUUGCCUUUCUGCCACCUAUUUCAGACAAUGUGAAAUGAAUUGUAAUUAGGAGUUUGAAAAUAUACAGUCUUGAACUUGUUGAGCACUGAGCGAAAGAAAUGCCAGAACAAUAACAAUGUCACCCCAAGCAGUUAGAUUUUGUUUUUCCAUUUUCAUAGGGAACAAAAAGUAGAGCUUCUCAACCAGAUAUGAAAAUCCAAGAUGGUCUUGCAGUUGCCUCCAUCUGUUUUAUCAGGCUUUUGACAGUAGCAAGACAGAUAGCACAGACAUAUAACAAUCUUGCUAGCAAUGCAUUAUUCGUAGAGCACAAAGCUGGUUCUAACCUGAGCUAAAGCUGGAAGCACUGGCAUCCCAGUCUCUUCAAGAAAACCUGCGCAAUCUCCAAGUGCAAACACAUCUUCCACAGAAGGAACUCGCAUCCACCCAUCGACACCAACCCUGCAUCAGUCAAUAGUAAUUGUUAAAGAUCGUUAAUCCAACAGAAUUCAGUUGUCCACCAAUGAAGACAAGAUAAGAGAAAGAUAUGCUGGUGCAUAUACCUUCCACCAGGGGACUUGGGAAGAUUAAGUGAUUUCACAAACUGUGAGGGACCAACCCCAGUAGACCAGACCAAAAGGCCAUAUGGAACAUCAGUUCCAUCAUUAAGAACUAUCUUCUUGGCAUGCACCUCUUUCACAACACCUCGCAUAAGGUUAACACCACACUAGCGCAAAAAGUUCAUAUUUCAUAUUAGGUCUCCAAACUAACAAAAAAUGUCAACCAGGAAACUGAAUGCAAAUGAACUAACCUUGGUCAGGUGGUUCGUUGCGUACUGCCUCAAUCCAACAUCAAAGGAUGACAGUAUUUCAUUUGCCUGUUCCAGUAAAUCACAUAAUUAUGAUCAGUGACAAAAUAAUUUUUUCUUGGUAAAAAGUCAUAUAUAGGAGUGAAUGAGUAACAAGUACCUCAAUGAGGGUGACUUUGAUGUAAUCCUUAACAUGAGUAUACCGUUCACGGACAUCUUUCAUGAUGAAAUCACUCAAUUCGCCACUGAACUCCACCCCGGUAGGGCCACCUCCAAUAACAACACAAUGCAGGAGGCGUUUCCUUUCUUCCUCAGAUAUGCCUGAAAAUGAAUGUGAUAAGAUGAUUUAGAGAGUAAAUCCAAUGUUUGACAUUUUUAUGUAGAGAUUGAGGAGGCUCACCUGGAUUUUCAGAGAGCAUCAAGUUCAAGAGAAGCUUCUUUCUAAUUUCUUGGGCAUGAUACACUUCUCGGAGGAAAAAUGCAUGCUCCGCAACACCUUUGAUACCAAAUGUCAAGGGCUCAGAUCCAGCUGCUAUGACAAGCUUGUCAUAGGCAACUCUGAAUCUGUAAGGAUCACUAGGCAAAUCACCAUGGCCGACUGUCUCACAGUACACCUAUAUGAAAUACGAAGAUCAAGUUUAUCUGCUGCUAUGACCAAUCAACAGAGAAGCUGUUAUUCCAUCUUCCUUAUUGUACAGUCUAAAUAUUAAUAAUGUUCCAUGGAAAAAAGUAAAUUGUCCAUUUUGAAAAAAUCAGCUUCUGAUUUCAGAUCAAACUUCAACUUGAAGAACAUACAUCUUGUCUCAAAUUGAGCCUAGUAUGUAUUACUUCACUAGAACUCCAUUAGGAGAGACUUUUGACAUCAGAACUUAUAUUGUUACUUCAUUUCAAAACCCGAUAUCUGAGUCAGAUUUACAGCACCAUUAAAUCAUGAAAGAAAUACAUGGGGAACAUCAUUGUGUUAAUGAAAUUAGUGAGAAAAUAAUCUUGAAUUACAUGCUAUUUACGACACUGCACAGAUAAACCUGAAACCAAAAUUUUGAUGAACAAAUCUUGACUAGACAAAGUAAGAAUAGAAUUUGAUUACCUCAUGUUUCUGUGUGUCAAUACUAAAGCAAUUAGCCAGAUAGAAGUAUGAAUUGGGAUUCGUUGCUAAUGCAGACUGUAUACGACUGACAGGUUCAGCAACUGAACGGAAUUCCAAAGUACCAACACAAGUUGAAGGAAGCAAAGGAGUAAAAACCAUGUGAUUACGCGGAGAUAUGCAAACAACAUCAUAAAUCUUGGUGUCUAGUCCCUUAAGGAAUCGACAGGCAGCCCAGCCAGUACCAAGGACAACCACUCUUGGCUUUUCACCUGGCUUAGUUGCCUGUAGUCCUGGAUACUUGGGAUCAUUACACUCUGAAUCAGACUCCUCAACAAUAAUUUCGGCAGAAGGAUAUUUAUAACUUGGGGUUGUCCUUAGUCCCCUGCUCCAAUAGCUACUGUGAUUCACCUUUGGAAUGCUGGAAAGGUAUGAGAAAUUUCUGUUUCUGGCAUCGUUCUCAAGCGAAGGUAAGGAACAAUAUUUGCGUGUGGAUGCUCCCUCAGAGAACAUAUCCUUCUCACUUCUGUGACCACCAUAGGCACCUCCAGACCUUCUGUAGCUGCUCCUAGCAGUCCUAGCAAUCCUUUCAAAUGCCAUUGUGAGAGUAUCAGUCCCUCAAUCAAGACUUAUAUGUACUCUCUGAACUAUCUAAACGGAAUCAAAUUCUUGGUUGCUCAACCUGUGGAAUUGAACAGUAGACAAAGAAGUGAGCAAUGAGAAUAGUAAACAGAGAGGUUAACAUUUGAUGGCACACAUAUUUAUAGGUAGCUGUAUGUACCACUCCAAAAAAUGUGGAGAGGUCAUGACACUAGGCAGGACAAAUUAAGAUCUAGUCCAUUCUAAAACAAAGCAAGUUCAUAAUGGACAACGAUUGCUUCCAAGAUUAAUUGACAAGAAAACAAAAACCAACAUAGCUUUGGUCAUCAGUCGAUGGCAGAAACAAAGAGAAAGCUCUUGUAAAUUUAGCAGCUAAUAAAAAGCUAAAAAUGACAGUAUCUUUUUACUUCUACAUUGCCAAAGGCACAUAAUAAUCGACAAACCCAACUCAUCAUUCUUUCUACUACAGUGAUUAUUAUGUCAAAUUUAGAAUCUCAGCCAUCACAAUCAUGAAUACUCUAAUGUAUAAAGCUAGGCUCAAUUAAAUGGCAACAACCAAAAUAUCUAAGCAGAAAGCUCUCUGCUUUAUAUGAAAAAUCAACAUGAAAGACAGAAAUUGGUAAACCCAGAACAAGAAAAGAACUUUCAAGAUCAAAGACCAAUCUGCAGUAGAAAAAACCCAGAUCUUAUACACACCCAAUAAAAAGAAGCAGAAAAUGCAUACAAAAUGAGGAAUACAAAACCAUUGAAAAGCAAUGGAACAUGAACAUAUAACACCAAUAAAAAUGUGAUCUUUAUGAAUAAAAAAGUUAUCAUUAUGAAGCUGAAGGGUUUAGAAGAUUUACUGGGGUUUUGGUUUACACAGAGCUGCGUGAUCUCCAAGAUUAUGGGAGUGUAGCUUUUUUUAAUCCAAAUGUGAAAUGCCAACAGAUCGCUGAAGACUUGGUGUUUGUAAAAAAAAAAUUGAGAAUUGCAAAAAUGGUGAGAGUGGGGAGUUGAAAGGAGCCAACUUGGGGAGCAAGAAAGUUGGUUUGUUGAGAUUUGAGAAGUGCUUUUUGAUCAAGUAGUGGUCAAAAAAAGUUGGUGAUGAUAAAAAAAAAAACUGGAAGAGAAAAUUACAAAGGGUGUGUGUGUUGGUUCUGUUUGUGUGGGAAGGAAGUUCAAGCAUCAAGCAUAUGCCUUGUCUGGCAUUUUGGUAAAUCAGAGUUGUCUGAAAAGAGAACACAGAGCAGGCUUGGCAAUUGCAGUGUCGUUUUUGUGUGGUUGAAUCAGUAAAACAGGUUUUUGAAUUAGCUGCAGCCUCCACCUGUAUGUGUGUAAGACCUGUUUGGCUCCCUUAAACCCUGAAGCUCUCCCCUAAAACCCUCCUAAAACCCUAGUCAAUGGUGAAUGAGACAAAGAGUGAAGAUUUGCCAAAUAUCUAGUAGGCGGCUGUAAUUUCAUUCCAUUUUCAUUUCAUUCGCAUUUAUGAUCAAUUAUUUCCUAUUUUGGGGACUCAAUGAGUUUUGGACUGAGUUUGGUCAGAAAAUUUAGAGAUGGGCCUACGUGUCUGAUCCAGGUCUUUUGUGUCACAUCCAAAUGACUUCAGCAGCUACAUUGAGUUUGUUUUGCUUGUCAAAUUACGUUUGAGAAACUCAAACAUGCUUUUGCUUUUGCAAUGUUUGUUUGAUCGGCAAGAUAAUUCUUUUAAGGAUUAGGCAACUUGUUAGUGACGAUAUUAAACCAAAAAAAAACUUGUUAGUGACGAACACAGUAUUUGAAGACUACACAACAUGAAUAUUCACCAACUCAUACGAUAUGAGCUUUUUCUUACAACAAUCGUAAGAAGGAUAUAACAUGUUCUAAUCGAAUUUUUGAGAUUAAAGAUUGUGAAAAUGAUAUCUAAAUUUAACAUCAAAAAUCUAAUUAUCUAAUGUCAAUUAUUCGAUGAAUAAUAAUCCCAUAUGUAUUACUAUGUAAUAAUUUGAUGUAGCAAUACUUAUGGGAAUGACAUGAUGAAAUUCUGUAUAACGUAAUACAAUUACAAUUGUAAUUUUAGACAAGAUCGAGGAAAAGUAACAGUUAUUAGGAAGGAAUUAGAAAUUAAGAACUACAAGCUACGUAUCUUCAACCAGCUAUGAACAAUCUCUAGCUAGCUAUAUAUAUUCCCUCCUAGCUUCAUGGUUGAACUAUGGAACUAGUUUGAUCAGCAGCUCCUUUUCUACUUGUAGACCUUUAAUUUGUAGUUCUAAGUAGGUGAAUGUGAUGCUCUUUUGUUUUUGUGAUGAUCAGCAGGUUGUGCUUGAGAUUUAGAGGAGAAGGCACGAUUGAGGAUAGCAGCCAACCGGACUCCACCUUGGGCAAUCCUCUUCUCCACAAUAGGUAGCCGGGGCAGGAAGUAAUCCUCUACAGAAAAUGACACCAUCACAACAAAACCAUAAGUUCUCAUUCAAGCAAACUAUGCAAAUUUACCAAGGAAUUGGGUCAAAAUUAGAAAUCAUGUGUGUAUAUACAGUUGUGUUUGCCUGCGUAAGUAUACCUGUUAGAGUAUCACCGGACUCAACGCCCUUGUAACCCCAUUUGCAAGCUAUGUUCAUACUUUCUGUAGCAUACCUACAUUGACAUGAAUUAACAAGGUUUGUAUUAGCAAUUCAUGUAAAUAUUGGUGAUAUUAAUUAACCAACAAUAAGAUAAAAAUGCAGAUACAACAUUGUGAAUGAUCACAAAAAUCUGCAAUGAUUGAAAAUACAGAGAGCGCUUACUUGUUUAUACAUGAACUGAUUUCAUCACAAUGUCCCCAUGAUGUAACAUCAUCAGACCAGACCCCCUGUUCAGGAAGAAAUCAGCAAUGUUAUAACUAAUGCUUCUCUUAAAAAUUAGCACAAUUUGUUAAACUAGCUAGUAGUUAAUUGAUAACUAUAUAUUGUUAUCAUCUGGCACUAGCUUACAACUGUGAUGUUUCCCUGUAUGUCUUGCAGGAGGAGUUCCAUGUCCUUGUCAUAAUAAUCAUGCAGAGCUUGCAUUAUAAUCUCUCGAUCCCAUACCUGCAUGCACAAUUUGAAUUCUCAUCAACAGCUAAAUGAUCAACUAUACUAUUUGACUGUUUAUCUUAUAAGCUGGGACAAUAAGUGCCUGGCCUCCUUACAUGGUGGAGAUUGGAUUUGUGCUUGUACCAACGCAAGUCUAUUGUGUUUCCUCCUUCAUCAGUCGUGAAUCCGACAUGCAUAGGCUGCGAAAAACAAGAAGAUCAUCAUCAUGAACAUAACAACCUUCAGUUAAUGAAAUCCUCCAUUGUUCUCCAAACAGCUACAGAUUCAUGUAUGUCUGUGUAUAUACCUGAUGGAGAUCACCCAUAAAGUGUGACAAGAAUAGCAAGGCCUCAGUCAUAUUAUCUGCAAAUAAAAAGUCAAUGACAAAGAGACCAUGUUGAGUGAUGUUGUAGUACAAUACAAGAAAGCUAGCCAUUGACAAAACUUCAAGCAAUUGAUAUCAUCAAUAUAGAAGUGCAAUUAAUUUUGUUUUUUAGCUUCCGUACAUCGACGGUCAGAUGUUCCUUCUGUGUAGUGCAAAAGCUGAGAUGUGAAAUUCUGGACUGCACCAGCAACACACAUGUCCUUGGAGCCAUGUUGAUCAUGGCAAUCUCCUGUGAAUGCAUAUCCCAAAUGAUAUUAAUUACUGCAUUAACUUAAUCCCCGAUAAUUCUCGAUUAUAUGCAGUCUAAUUAGGCUUACUUGAGUACUCAAAGUUGCAAGCAUUAUCAGGUGUGUCAAUGAAGUGAAGAGGGCUAGUCCACCGGUAUCUGUACCAGUGCCUGAUCUGGUCAGGCCACACACACAGAGCCGACAAAUCGCCAUUGACAUCAUGAGGUAGUAAAUUUUCAACAGCUUCUGCAGCUUCAGGCUCUAGAAGUGCCUGCAGUUGCGAUUCAUCCAUAAUUAGCUCCAACCAAAACUCACAAGUACGUUAGUGUCACUUUGGGUACGUUGAGCAAUAUGAUUAUGAUGCUAUAUGGGGUAUUCGACAUAUAUAGAACUUCUUAUAGGAAGUUUUUAGUGUGGUUAGACUAUUGCAAAGCUCAUUGCAUCAAGUUCUAGGUACAUGGUGCCAAUGUGCCAAACAGAACAAGACCAAAUUGGGAGAAGAACGGAAUUGACAUUACCUGUGCAAUCCGGCAAGUCAUGAUGUGACCCUCUUUGCUCCAUCCCUGAGCUUUCGGAAUUAAAAUGCAAACAAAAGCGAGCAACAAAACAAACUCAAGAAAAUGGUUGGCAAAUCUGCCGAAGCCUCUAUAAGUAUCCAUCAGAAUAGAAACUUCCCUGCUUAAAUGGCCAAAUGUUAUGAUCGAGGACACACUAUACAGAUUAUUUAUAGGCCUUUGGCAGGACUUAGUUACCUAAACUUACAAGUCACCAAAGAUUGUUAAUGAGUACAAGUUUGAUAUAACCACUAUUUUAAGUGUACCCCAAAAGUUGACCUUUAACGCAAGCAAGGUGGGUUUAUGGGGUAUAUUCUGGCAUAAUGGGAGCAUCAGCAACAUAUGAGGAAUACAUCAAUACAUUAAUAUAAGCAGAUGACUCGAACAUUAAGGAGCUUCAAUAGCUUGUAAGUGCUUCUGAAGAUGCAUCAUCAUCUCUAUCCUUUCUGUAUCUUCAUCCUUCAACAAUUUUUGCUUCAGAAGAGAACAUAUGAUUGAGGGUAGCAGCCAAGCGGAUCGACCCGCUUUGACGUAGUGUCAUAGUGCUUUGACUGAUUGCAAACAAAAGCAGAAUCCCAGUGAUAUCAUGUUUGUGUGAAGUGUUGGCCUGGGACAGCAAGAUAGGUUUUGAAGUUUUAACUUUCAACUUUUAGGAAUGUUGCCCAUGAAUAACAAUUCAAGCUUUAAUUGAUUUGUAGCUUACAUAAUUGGCAACAGCAGGAAUACCAAUUCAAUAAUUUUUCAAGGAAAAAGAAUACACCAUUCUUGAUAAACUAUAACGAGGGUUGUAGAGUAUUACACAUGUAUGACAGUUUUCAACAAGUUCCAAAGAAGUUCCACACAGACAAACUUCAAAUUGAAUAUAUGAUACAUCAAAACUCUCUUUCAUUACACUUUCUUACUUCAGGAAGCAACACUUCAUGAUAUUUUUCAAAACCCUUUUCAAAAUGCUAACAGAAGCGAGCAACAAAACAAACCCAAGAAAAUGACUGGCAAAUCCAUUUGAAGAGAAAUUUCUCUGCUAUAUUGACCAAAUGUUAUGUUUGUCCAAUAUGCUGACACUAUACAUAAUUACAUAUACAUAGGCCUUUGGCAGGACUUAGUUACGUAAAUUUACAGGCCACCAAAGGUUGUCAAUUACUACAAGUUUGAUAUAACCACUAUUUUACCAACAUGUGAGGAAUACAUCAAUACAUUAAGCAGAGAACUUGAACAAUGAGGAGCUUAAUAGCUCAUUAGCUCUUAUAACUUGUAAGCAAUAAAUGCCCUACCCUUUCUGUAUCUUCAUGCUCCAGCAAUUUUUGGUUCAGAGAAGAUAUGAUUGAGGGUAGCAGCCAAGCGGACCCCACUUUGAGCUAGCCGCUUCUCCACUAUAGGCAGCCGAGAAACAAAGUAAUCAUCUGAAAAUAAAUCACAUGAUUAGAAAUAAAAACUCUGUAGAUAGAAUAUGCAGAGCAUCAAAAGAAAAUGCUGCAUGUCCAUGUGAUAUGAUCAUGUAAAUAUGUCUAGAAUAUGCAGUGUUAGUUUGUCACUGAUGCAAAAGUCAACUGCAGAAAACCAAUAGAGAAAGCCAGAGUUCAACAUUAUUGAGAAACCUAUUCUUUUUCCACAUGAUUAUUGAGUUAGGGUUCGAUAUCAAAUUAGUUUACAAUUUGUUCAGAAAGAAGAAACAACAAAAAGGAAAAUACCAUUCAGAGUGCUUCCGGGAGUGGCAUUCCUGUAAGCAAAUUUGCAUGCCAAACGAAUGCUUUCAGAAGCAUACCUGCAAGACCAACGGCAAAUGAAAUCAUAUCUAGACAUGCCCCAUUUCUAUACUAGAUUUAACAUGUUAAUUUCUUUUCUACAAGAUACAAAAUGUAACUAACAGAAUGCCUUGAUGUAUAAGAGCCACAUUAGUCUUAACUCUUUCAGCCAUGAUAAGACAUUCAAAUGAUUGGCGCCAAAUUGAAAAAUGCAUGUUUUCAGGACCAAUCAAUUGCUAGAAUCUAUUUGAAUCCUCCAGGAUUGUCACAACUUUCAACAGCUUCGAACUAUCAACUUGGUUCUCAGGAGAUUAAAAUCAAGUAAAACACACAAUGCCAUAUACACCCGUAUCCGUGAACUAAAACUUGGAAAGUUGAAAGACCAAGUAUUGCAUAUUAGGUAUACAGCAUAAAGCAUAUCAAGCACUUCAUGUUACUAGCAGAAGAAACAUCUCAAAGCAUCAUGUUACACACAAACCGGUACCAAGCAAUCAAUGAACUAAAAGGAAGAUGUACAUACUCAUUUGGACAUACAGUACUCCAAUUAUUUGCACAAAACUGCCAUGAUGACAAAUCACUGAACCAAGCAUCCUAUGGAUAGUUAACAGAAAGAAAUGUAAGUGUCACAUUGCUGCAUAGGUAAAUUAACCUCUUGUAAGAUCAAAAGCUCAAUAAACAACAAAAAAGAAACUAAACAAAAAUAAGAGAUGAACUUCGCACUGUAAUAUUCCUCUGAAUAGUCUCUAUCAUGAGUUCAAGAUUGUUCCCAUAUAUUGUCUUUACAGCAGAUUCAAUGAUCAUAUUAUCCCAUACCUGAAACAAAACAUUCUUUUAGAGAACAUAACUUAUUCUACUUUUAAAUAACACAAAUAAAACGUAAAACGCCUAUAAUAUCUGGUCACUGCUUCGCACAAUCAUUCUUAUUGAAAAUAAAAGCAGAAAGAAAGACCAGUAAACUAAGUGGAAGUAUAGGGGAAAUAGUCCAUGAUGUGGGCUAAUCAUAUAUAUGUAUUUUUGAAUUUGCAGUUGCACCACUAUGCUGGCAAGUAAGGAAAGUAUGGCUUACAUGGUGAAGAUUUGUCUUCCUGUGAUACCAACGGACUAUUAUUGUGUUCCCCCCUAGGUCUCCAGUGAAACCAACAUGUAGGGGCUGUCAACACCAAACAUGACAUUCAGGAAAAAUGAGAAUCUCUCUGUCUCAUAUGUAAUUGACUCAUUCCAUGAUUUGCUUCUCUUAUAAGGUUUUAAAGUUUGAAAGAACAAGUAUGAAGAACAGACCUGAUGGAUAUCCCCAAUAAAGUGAGACAAGAAAAGAAGUGCCUCUGUUAAGUUGUCUGUCACAAAAAACAAAAGAUGAAGGAUUUUGAUAUCCAGGAAAUCAAUAUUUCACAGUUGGGAGGUGUUGAAUCCAACAAAUACGGGUGCUUACAUUUUGAUUUUGAGAUGGAAUCCUGAUAAGUCAAAAGCUGCAUCGUAUAGUUGUUAAUUGCUGCAGUUACACAUCUACCUUUAUGUCCAGCAGAGUCAUGGCAGUCUCCUAUUAUAUCAACAUGAAUCAAAGUAAGAGCAAGAACCUCAGCAGAGUAGACAGUGGGAUUAACAUAAGCACCAAAUGCAACUGGGAGGCACAAGUUACUGAACUAAUAACAUAUGCAUAUUACCACAAUUGAGUUUCUCAGCCAUCAAACUAGAGAAACAUUCAGAAAAUGUAACACUCGAUACAUCAAAAAUAGCAUCACUGAACCAUUGGAAACCAGCUACUUACUGCUGUCAUUGUAGUUACACAGAAAAUCCGGUGUGUCAACAUAGUGCAAAGCACUACUCCACCGAUAAUGAAAGCGAAUCUCAUCAGGCCAGGAGCAAACUGCAGCAAGAUCACCUCCAGCAGAUUCUGGUAGUAAUUCUUUCACAGCAGCUAAAGCAUCUUCACUAAGAAAUCCCUGGAGAAAACAAAUGUUUCACAUCAGAACUCCAACACCAUUGAAGAUUCCAAACCCACCUCAUCGCCAUCUUCACAGUAACAAUAUAGGCAAAAACAUGUCUUUAAAACCUCCAUUCCUUCCUUUACUUCAUCCACACAACCUUUCAAACACAUUUUGCUCCAACUUUAUGGUACUGUAAUUUCUUCUGCCCAAUUAUAAAACCCAUCCUAAAAUCCACUAUUUUCAGUUACCCACAUCAAAUUUUACUGGCCAAUCCAUCUUGCAGCUAUAUUGUUUACAAAUACUAAAGCAAGAUCACAUCAUUGUACUCAUACAUUUUCAAAGCAGUAUCAUAUAAUACCAAGAACACCCAGUAUUUAAAACAUAAAAAGAUAAAUAAAGAUGAGUUCUUUAGUAGUGUAGAAACUCACUGACCUCUGCUAUCUUGCAAACUGCAUAGUGGCCUUCUUUGCCCCAACCCAGAAUUCCUGGCACCAACACAAGAAACCCUACCACACUUCCACUCCACCACACCCCAAACAAACCCAUAUGUCUAUAAAUAUGGUAGCUUUUCGGGUUUGGAUUGAAUCAAAGUCUUCUGCUUCCUUCUUUUUUUAUUUUUUUCAAGCAAGUCUACAGAAGAGAAAAGCAAAAUCCAGUUCUAUUUGAUACAGACACGACAUGUCGUUACUACCCGUUUGAAGAAGAAGAAGACGAGACUGUGUCCUUCGAUAGACGUCGUCUUUUCAACGGAAAUUUCACUAUAAUCUUCAAAUUUUCGACCCAUGUUAUUUUCAUUUGUUUUCGACCACGUUGUGAUUCAUUGUUUUUUAAUUAAGAUUCAGUCCAUUCGACUUUCAUAAAUAUCAGUGAGAUUUCAAUCCGUGACUCUCAUAAUGUUAGUUAGACUAGCUAACCAACAAGUCACGGCUCAUUGACAUCGUUGUAAAACUUAAUAAAUCAAAUAAUAUAAUUAUGUUGAUGACCUCAUUAUAGUGUUUGAAAGACUCUGAUUCUAUAGACUCUACUAACUUUAUGAUUAGUGAACUUUAAAGGAGCUGUAUUGACUUAUGAUGUGACUAUACUUAUACUAAUUCGGUGUAUCAUGACGUGCUCAAAUUAAUAUGAAACUACUUUGAUCAGUUCGGUGUAACAAAUGUUACUAAUAGUCCGGAAUGAUGAGACGUUAUUCAUUCAUUUCAUUCUUCGCAUACCUCGACAGUUUCGGUGUCAAAAUCACCAAAGUUUUCGUUGGAAAGGGAUGAAACAACUAUGGUAAUUGGUAAAUGUUGGAAAGAAAAUAGUAAGCUACUUCCACGACGACACGUCGUUUUAUCAUCACUUCCCCGAAUGAUGUAUGUCCCCUCUUUCCCACGGAAGAAGACAAAGCUAGUCAUACACAGUGGAAGCUGAAAAUCAAUGAAGGCGGUAGUGGUAACAGCCCCCGGCGGACCGGAGGUCCUCCAAGUACAAGAAGUAGAAGACCCACAAAUCAAAUCCGACGAGGUCCUCAUCAAAGUGGAGGCCACCGCCCUCAACCGAGCCGACACUUUCCAGAGGAAGGGACUUUACCCGCCUCCUCCGGGGUCCAGUCAGUACCUCGGCCUCGAAUGUUCUGGAACCAUCGAGGCCGUUGGAGAACACGUGUCACGCUGGAAAGUCGGGGAUCAGGUAAUUUCUGUGUGUUUGGUUUGCAUGAAAUUGAGAAAUGUGAUUAUAAUGGUUUCGGAUUACGCAGGUGUGUGCUUUACUUAGCGGAGGAGGGUAUGCCGAGAAGGUGGCUGUUCCGGAGGGGCAGGUUCUUCCUGUUCCGCCUGGUAUUUCUUUGAAGGAUGCUGCCAGCUUUCCGGAGGUGGCGUGCACCGUUUGGUCCACUAUCUUUAUGAUGAGCCGGCUAUCUUCGGGUGAAACACUCUUGGUAAUUAACUAACUUGCUUUUUGUAAUAUGGUGGGUAAGUGUUACAUUGCAAAUGCUUAUAUUAGCAUAAAGUCAUAAACAAAGGUCUGAACGAGUGAAUUGCUUUAACUUCGUUGCAAUAACUGAGGUGAACUUUCAGGUUCAUGGGGGUUCGAGUGGAAUCGGCACGUUUGCAAUUCAGAUUGCUAAAUACCGGGGAGUGAGGGUAUUUGUCACAGCAGGUAAGGUAUACUUGGUCUCAUGUGGUGCGGAAUCGGUUUUCAUGUAUUGAAGGAUAGUGAUCUUGGAUCAUCAGGUAGUGAGGAGAAGCUAGCGGCUUGUAAGGAGCUUGGGGCUGAUGUAGGUAUCAAUUACAAGACGGAGGAUUUUGUUGCACGUGUGAAGGAAGAGACCAGUGGCAAAGGUUUGUUCUAUUUAUUUACACCUGAUUAAUAUCACUCGAGAGAAGAGAACUAUACCCUUCUGUGUUCUUUUUGUUGUUGUGUAUGAUAAACAUAUUGGUAUAUGCUCAUUGGCAGGUGUAGAUGUCAUCUUGGAUAGCAUUGGGCAAGCCUAUUUUAAACGUAACCUCGACAGCUUAGCUUUUGAUGGGAGGCUUUUUGUUAUUGGGACCUUGAGUGGCUCUGUCACAGAGCUAGAUCUUCGUGUGGUGCUUUCAAAGCGCCUCACCAUCCAAGGUACAAGAUUUUAGUGCUUCAGCCUUUUUGCCUCAGAUAUUGGUUUUCUGCAUUUCCCAUUGACAGAUGACACAGUAUCUAUGCAUACUUUAUCAUGAAAUCUGAAUUUGAGAGAAAAAUACUAUGUGGAUAUCCAUGUUUGAGAAUGCUUUGUGAUUUCACGUAUCCUUGUGGCUAUUAAUAUCAAGCAUUUCCAGAAGUUCUCUCAUCCUUUGUAUUGUGACCUUUUAUGGAGUUGAUGUUUCUUAGUAAGCACUAAGCACAUUGUGUUUCCUCCAACAUCGGUUCUUUUGUUCCUUGGUAGUGUUAUGUCAGUACAUUUCAGUAUCACAUGUCAUCUUGCAUAUCUGCUUCCACAACAGUAAUCAAAUCUUGAGUUCAGUGUUGACACCUUUGUGAUGACCCUUGUUGUUUGCAAAGAGCUGCUGCACUUUGUUUGGAUAUCUCUAAAAUAUUGUUGUUGGCCAUGCAGCGGCUGGUUUACGCUACAGAAGUCCAGAAAACAAAGCGGUAAUUGUUAGAGAGGUGGAGGAGAAUGUGUGGCCUGCAAUUGUGGCUGGCAUGGUGAAAACUGUUGUCUACAAGCGUUUCCCAUUAUCUAAAGCCACUGAGGCUCACCAGCUAUUGGAAACUAGCCAGCAUAUUGGAAAGAUACUACUCUUCCCAUGAUGCUUCAGACAUCAUGCACCCAAGUUCCAUGUUAUGGGAAUAAAGCAAAGGUUAAUAUGAUUCUGUGUUUGCCAUGUUUAUGCUGUACUCUAAUUUUCUUCUACACAAACAUACAAUUUGUAGUCUCGUGCUUCAUGCUCUCCCUGGAAUACUUAUGAAACUGCUUCAUCUCAGUAAAUAACGAUACUGUAUACUAAUACUAAACAUUUGUGUUCUUGCCUUCUGUUGGAUUAAUGUUGCUUAUUUCUUCACCGGUAAAACUCCAAACAGACGUCUAUGAUAGGGAUAAUGUCAGUGUGAUUAUCAUUUCACAAAUCUGAAACACCGUAGUACAAUGCAUCACAAGAUCACAAAAAUUCUCUUAGUCUUUCCUGGCCAAUUAAGGCAAGAUUGCAAGUUACUGUUGUACAGUACUAUAGUUUGACAAUGCCACUAGUUAAAUUCAUCCUAGGUUCUAAACGAACAAAAUCUUGAACACACCCACCAAAGACACAUCGUUUGCUUUCAUUACAAAGCCUGCCGGAAAGAACACAUACACAAAGCCUGCCGGAAAGAACACAAACACAGACACACAAUUGAAUCUGAAAGUCAAUGAAGGCCGUAGUGAUAACAGUCCAAGGUGGACCGGAGGUCCUCCAAGUACAAAGUAGAGGAGCCAUAACUCACAGACGACGAGGUUCUCAUCGUAUCAAAGCGCGGGAUCAAAAGCUAGUGUUGAUGUAUGUGGCCAUGUGGGGUUUGGUAUUAUCGGUGAAGAUGAUGGAAUGGUGGCCGGCAACCCUAUGCAAGCUUAGAGGUGACAAUCGAUAAUAGUAGUCUGCUCCCCACAAUUUUAUAGAGAAAAUGAGGAAUCUACUCAAGUAACAAGAGAAUAGAACCAAAUUGGGGGAAAAAGGAUUGGGAAUGGGAAAGAGAAUUACUUAACAUGUGGCUGCUUCAACACCAUUGAUAGUGUUUUGUAGUGUAGUGUUGGCCACGUAAAGAGAACAUUUACUAUGUCACCAUGUACUUCUAUCGUUUCUCCUCAAGUUAAACUUCCUGCACCAUCCUCAACUUAAACUUACAAAACUGCUUGGUCCAGAAAAAAAACUUAAACUUAAACUUAAAAUUGUUGAAUAAAAAUGGUUGAUUUGUGUUUAAAAUUCCUGGUUCAUUCUCUAGCUGUGAGCUUUACAACAAGGUAGUCGGUAAGAAAAUCCGGAACUAUAUUCACAACAAAACAAAUUGAUUAUCAAUAUAUAUAAGUAUAUAACUUUAUACAUUGUAUACGUGAAAUGAAAAUUACACCACAUUAUUGGUUAUACGAAUACACGAUUUGAGUAAUAUGAUUAACAUGAUAUACUACAUAUAUUUGAACCAUCAUUACUUCAUUCGUGAAUAGAAUUUGAACUUUGAAGAUAUUACAUAUAUUACCAUCAACUUUUUUUUAAGAAUAUAUUAGAACCAUCAUUGGCGAAUAGAAUUUAGUAGUUAGAGAGGACGUUAUGAACAUAUGCAGGGAUAAAAGUACACGCACUACGGUCGAGAGAGGCUAGCUCGUCAUCUGUGGUGCAGUUUUGUGAAAGUCGACUGGUUAAGUACUAGUUGCUAUAUAAAGGGUGUCAUUAGCCUUGUUAGUACUCGCACAAUCAAACACAGUUUUGAGACUUCUGGAGUGAAAAAGCAAAGGGGUUUGAGAGGAAGUAGGUUAAGAAUUUCUUGAUCAUCGAUCAGCCAAAAUGAUAUGUCUAACGGUUUCUCAGUGGGGUUCGACUAUGGCGCCCAUCAUUUUCUUCUACACCUGCUUUUGGAUCCCAUUCAUGCAGUUCAAAGAAGCUCUAGCCGGAACAAUUAGUGAAGUUCUUUUUCUCACAGCUGAUAUGUUCAAGCCACAGGAUCAUCCUUCCUGCAAUCUAGACCAGCUGAGUCUUCCUGUGGCUAGAUUCCAGGACUUGCAGGGUCAUUGUAGCACCAAAAGGAGUGGACACGAGGCCGAAACCUGCUCAGUCUGCUUGGUGGAGUUUGAGGAUGAAGAUGCGGUGAGCCAAUUGUCUAAGUGUGGGCAUGUUUUCCAUAUGGAUUGCAUAGGAAAGUGGAUGGAGGGAAAUCACUUCACUUGUCCACUUUGUAGGUCAUUGUUCUUCAAUGUGAAUACUUGUCAUGUGAAACGUGAUGUUGGUUUUCUUCCACAUCCUUGGAUAUAUUAAUCAGUUGAGAUUAAGAAUUAGUUCUUUCUUUCUGAGGCUCUCGUAGAGAAUAAGCAGGAAGUAGUACCAAGUGCAGCCAUGUCCCCUCGAGAUAAUUAUGUGCUUCAUUAAAGACAAGAACGGAAGUGCUGGGUUUUCUCUUUUUGGGUUUAGGGGUUUCCAUAAUGUAAUUGACUGUUAUUAUGUGAUUAACUGAUUAUAUAUACAUGUUCCGUGUUGUCCCCCUCUUUGUGCCUCAUGCACCUAGGUUCUAUGUUCUAGGAAUAAAGCAAAGGUUAAUAUGACUGUAUUUGUUAUAUAUGUUUAUGAUAGUUGUACUUGUAUUGUCUGCAGAUACACAAAGCUUAGUCUAUCAUACAGUUUGUAAUCUCGUGCUUCAUGCUCUCCCUGGAUUGCUUGUGAAACUGUUUCAUCUCAGUAAAUAACGAUACUGUAUGAUAGACUAUGCUUAUGUAAUCUUAGUAGGUUAAUAUGACUGUAUUUGCUAUGUUUAUGAUAGUUGUACUUGUGUUCUUGCCUUCUGUUGGAUUAAUGUUGCUUACUUCUUUGCUGGUAAAACGCCAAACACAUUAUCCCCUAUCAAUAGACAUUUUAUUUGGUGUUUUACCAGUGAAGAAAUAGGUAUGGCUGUUGUGUAGCACAGUAUGCUAUGCGGCACAGUUUGAACGGUUGAGAAUACAAAACUUACUUUUCCAUUAAGUUGAUCUUAUGGUUGUAAAUAUAUUUCUAUUUUAAAAUGAAAUCACAUGUAGCUAAAUGUUUGAUAGGGGAUAAUAUCAGUGUGAUCAUCAUUUCGCAAAUGUGAAACACCAUAGUACAUUGCACCACAAGAACACGAAAAUUCUCUCAAUCUUUCCUGGCCAAGGUAAGUUUGCAACUUACUGUUGUACAGUACUGUAGUUUGAUAAUGGCACUAGUUAAAUUCAUCCUUGAACUUCCAUCGAUCAACUUGUGGAUUUCGAUGCACUCUUUUUGGAGGUUCUAAACGAACAAAAUCUUGAACACACCCACCAAAGACUACUAGAUCAGAGGUUUACAUGUUGAGCUGUUAGAGAUGAGAAAAUGUAGUAAUAGCAAGAAAAACGAGGGUCUAAAAAGAAGUAGAAAAAUCCGAAAUGAGAUCUUAAUAAUGGAACUCUCAUGAUCUCAGAAGAUUCGUUCAAUCAUGAUUUCUCAUUCCACACGACACGUCGUUUGCUUUCACUACAAAGCCCGCCGGAAAGAACACAAACACAGUCACAGACACACAGUUGAACCUGAAAGUCAAUGAAGGCCGUGGUGAUAACAGUCCUAGGUGGACCGGAGGUCCUCCAAGUACAAGAAGUAGAAGACCCAGAACUCAAAGACGACGAGGUUCUCAUCAAAGUCGAGGCGGCGGCGCUGAACAAACUCGACUCGUUUCAGAGGCAAGGAGUGUUUGCACCACCUCAAGGUGCUAGUCCAUACCCUGGUCUCGAAUGCUCUGGAACCAUCGAGGCCGUCGGAGGACACGUGUCACGAUGGAACGUCGGCGAUCAGGUAACUGUAGUUGCGAUUUUGCAAACGUAGUUGGUACUAUUGAGUAGCUUAAGUUAACUACAUGAUGAGCUGAAACCAUUGACCAUGGUUUUGGUUUUGGAUUUUGUUAUCAUCAGAAUUGGAGUUUGCUUCAUUGUCCUUGUAAUUAGAGAAAAACUAGGGUCUAGGUAAUGAGUUACAAUCUAAGUUUCAUAUUGUUAUAAGAAUAUAAUCUAAAAUGAUCAUUUGUUAUGUUCAAUCAGGGAAAUGAGAUUUGAUCUUUUUGGGAUUAUGCAGGUGUGUGCUCUACUUAGUGGAGGAGGGUAUGCCGAGAAGGUGGCUGUUCCGGCAGGACAGGUUCUACCAGUUCCACCUGGUAUUUCUUUGAAGGAUGCUGCAAGCUUUCCUGAGGUUGCGUGCACGGUCUGGUCCACUAUUUUUAUGGUUAGCCGGCUAUCUUCUGGUGAAAUAUUAUUGGUAACUUACUUACUAUAAUGUGGUAUAUAAUUGUCACAUUGGAGUUUGGAAAUGCUGUUGUUUGAGUUGCAAGCAUAUGUGGUUGCUUAUUCUUUGUCUCUGAGGCAUAGCUUUGUGUAUCCUUCACACUUUCGGAUUUUAGAUUCAUGGGGGCUCCAGCGGAAUUGGUACAUUUGCGAUUCAGAUGGCUAAAUACUGGGGAGCUAGGGUGUUUGUCACAGCAGGUGAGUCAGACUAUUUCACAUAUGGCACAAAACUAGAAUUCAUGUAUUUACGUAUAUUGAUAUUGGAUCAUCAGGUAGUGAGGAAAAGUUAGCAGCAUGUAAGGAUCUUGGUGCUGAUGUAUGCAUCAAUUACAAGACCGAGGAUUUUGUUGCACGAGUAAAGGAAGAAACUGGCGGCAAAGGUUUGUUCUAUUUACUAACACCCCAUUAGUAUUAGUCAAGAACGAUUACUAUACCUUUAUGAUGAGUUCUUCUCAGUUGCUGUUGUUAUGAAAUAUGUACUGUAAUAUGUCCAUUGGCAGGUGUUGAUGUCAUCUUGGACAGCCUUGGGCAAUCCUACUUUCAACGAAACCUUGACAGCUUAAAUUUUGAUGGGAGGCUUUUCCUCAUUGGCACAAUGAGUGGCUCUGUCACAGAAUUAGAUCUUCGUGUGGUGAUGUCAAAGCGCCUUACCAUCCAAGGUUAGUGCUUUCAAACCUUGACAGCUUAAUUAUGAUAGUAUAUCCUGCUAAUUUAGUUAUGCUUCCACCCCUCUUUUGCAAAAAGUUGCUGCAUUUUGUUCAUCUCUAUUGUAUUGUUGUUGUGUAUGCAGCGGCUGGUCUGCGAGUAAGAAGUCCAGAAAACAAAGCAGUAAUUAUUAGGGAGGUGGAGAAAAAUGUGUGGCCUGCAAUUGUGGCUGGCAAGGUGAAACCUGUGAUCUACAAGCAUUUCCCAUUGACUGAAGCUGCAGAGGCUCACCGGUUAUUGGAUAAUAGCCAACAUAUUGGAAAGAUACUACUUUUUCCAUGAAGACAUGAUGAUUGUUGGGUUGUGUUCAAGUGAACAACAUGCUUAGACCUCAUGAAUAACAGGUUCAUGUGCAUAUAGUGCAUACAUUGCGAAACCAUGUUACCACUGUGCUCUUCUAUUCUGCGAUUAGUCUCUCAUUCGGUUGUAGUUUAGCUCUUCAGCUCUCCCAUGGAUUCGUGUAAAAUUUAUUCAUCUGAGUAACUGGUGAUGAUUACCAAAGUAAAGAUGUGACUGAUGCACCAAAGAUAUGGAGUUUUAAUUGAAUUCAUUCAUGAUGCACUCACUUGCUUUAGUAUAAGAACAAUGUCAAUUACAUUGUCGCAACUCACGAGUAAGGUGCCAAACAAAAUUCGUGAGGGACUUAUCAGUAUCAAAUCAGGUAAACAGCUCAGAAGGGAAAUCAGUAUCAGAUUUGAAACACCAAUAUACCGAUGCCCCUAGGAAGGAUCCUUUUCACUGACUUUGGUGUAAAGAGAUGAUAACUCAAUUGCUGCAUAGAGCUUGAACAGCUAAACUCUUUAACACACCAGGACAAGGAUCACCCAGGGUUUCUGUAGAGAUGGUAAUUGAACAUUCUUCUUCGCCAAGGCAAGCCUGCAAGUUUAUAUAGAAAUAAAGUUCUAAGCAUGCUUAUUCAAGCUUUCUACAACUCCUGAUAAAAAAUGCACAAAUUUCACGUUACAAUAGGAAUAAGCAAAGGUUCCUCUCACCUGCUCAAUGAUUGUUAAGACAUCGGCAUGGCAGGUUCCCAUAGUGAAGGUGGUGCCACAGCUUCCUAUAGGAGUUCCAUAGCUAGCAAAGAUGAUUGAAGUAAUGUGCCAUCCUUGGUCACAUGUCAGUUGAACUUCAGGCUUUUGAGAGAUGAAUUCAGAGUUUGGUUUCCAAGAAUUGGCAGGCGGAGGAUCAGUGUCUGAUAUGUAUGCACAUAUCUCCUGGCCAGUUCGUGUCCUCACAGAAAUCUUUGAAGGGUCACCCCCAAGCUCUUCAUGGAGAACUAGAAGAUUCUCUCCAUCAUGUACCCACGUACGAGGAAUAUGGUACCUAAACAUCAUAAUAUCCUCAUUCUCAUUAGCUAAAAUCCAUGAUUAUAGAAAUGACUAAAAGAAGCAAACCAUAUAUCCAAUCUUACAAAGUUUGAGCUGGUUGUCCACAGUUCUUUAGACAUUUAUUUGCAUCAUAGGCUCCCCUGUAGUCGCAACCACUACUACUGUUGCAACCAGUAGAGGGUGAGAGAUAGGUGGACCAAUAUCUCCCUAUGCCCUGCCCAUUAACCCAGGCCUGCCCCUUUCCCAUGCUAGCAAGAUCUAAUGCCAAGGGACCCUUUCCUUCAGGAGCAAGGAAUGAAACCUGAGAAUCAGGUAAGAACAUCAAGUCAUCAACCCAAGCAUGUGAAAAGAAAGAACAUCCAACCAUGUCAAUUGUUUACCUUGUACCAUAUCAAAGUUUGACUAACUGGUGGAUUUGCUCCUGUAGUCCACAGUGAACUAUUUGCAAGACUUAUGUUAGCCAAUCCAAGGUAUUCCCCCUCAAGUCCUACCUGAAAAUCAGGAAAUAUCAAGUAUAUAAUGUGAUAUCAUACUUGUAGCAUAAAUCGAAAACAUAGGGAAGGAUUUUGAAACUCAAUAGUUCUCAUCUAGAAGCUGUUAGAGUUUAACCUGGUAGGUCCAUUCUUCACCAGAAAGAUCAACUUUUCCAGUGUCUAAGUCGCCAAUAGCAACAAAGAAAAUUCCUGCUCCUGCAAUAUCAAACCACGGUCCAUAGUUCUGUACAAUUACACACAUAAUUAGCAAACCUAAUAAGAAUUUUCUCAAUGCUGUAUCAGCUAUGUGUAUGUUAAAGAAGAUGGUAGUCCAUGAAUGUUAACAUCAAAUAGUAGUAUGUACCUGUACACCAAUCAUCAUACUCAACAUAUCAACGGUAUUGUUUCCAGGGUUCAGAGCAACCAGCUCAUUAAGGAUGAAGCUAGCAUCUUCAUGGUUGCCAUAUCCAAAUCCUAUAACAUGAUGAAGAUUCUUAAUGACACAAAGAAGCACAAAAGGAACAGUAUGUUAUUUGAAAGUUCUAUCUACAUAAGGACUAAAGUAAUGGUGGCAAGUCUUUUACUCCACUACAAUUUGAUGGCAAGAGUACCUACCUAUAGGCUUUUUGUUUACAAAAAUUAGAGCAGCGUGUCCCAGGCUCUCAAUAUUUAAAAAAAGUUCUGUCCCUUGAUCAGGUCCAAUGUUGAUACUGCCAGUAUGGUGAAGCACAUCAAAUGAGUUGUCAUAUUAGUACAAACAACUAAAGCAAAACUGCAAAAGUAUGCUGGAGAUUUGUUCUGUAACAUUUACCUUAUUGAGUACCAUAAGAAAUCACUAGUAUCUUUCGUGGUACUAAUCUGCUCCAGUAAGCCUGGGCUACUAAACGAACUGUUACUCCAACUACCAACUGUUUCUUUGUACCAUCCCCAUGAAGAUGGUUCCAGUGUUGUGCUGGCAAAAAUAGGAUCUCCUGCAGUUCUUUGUGAGACAACCUUCAAGGAUGACCAUCGUUGUGAGAAAAAGUUUCAUAAAGAUGGCCAAUAAAGACGUGUAAUUGUUAAUGAAACUCUCAAUUAUGAUGAACAUAAUGCACCGUCUCUCUUCAGUUGAUCAUAUAUAUGUAUAUAUUGAAUGCGCCAGAUGAAAUACUGCAUUGCAGUAGGAAUAUAGGAUGUACCUUGGCAGUGUUGAAUAUGACAUUCUUACAAUCUGGAAGGAUGCUCACAGACCAAGCUGGAAGGAAAUAAACAUGUCCAUUGAAUGUGACAUUUGCAUCUGAGCUACUUCCAUAAUUGGCAAGAAAGGCUGCACAUUCAUUGGAAUGUUUAUAAUAGAUAUGUGCCUGACAACAAAAGAAAACAUAAGUCAAAAUGGAGUAAGAAGUAAGAUCAAAGGAAAAGAAUGGUUAAAACUGAACCAUAAAGACACUGCAUUCAAAGACCAGAUAGAUUAUGGCCGAGUCUUAAUGAAAAUAUGUUUGCCACCUCUAAAUUUAGUCCAAGUUGCAGUUGAGUCGGAUCAGAGCUGAUCAGAUACUCUUCACAGUGCUUUAUUGCCUUGUGCAGAUCACGAAGAUGACCCCAUUUUGGCUGUCUAAGAAAAGCUGCAUAAGAAGAUGGAAUGCAAUUCCUAUUAACAAAAGGACUAGUAGCAUUUUCUAACCAAGAGCUGGAUAGUUUACCAUAUUCAUCUAUAGGAGCAUCAUAAUCAUAGCUUGUUGCAACCAAAGGGCCUCCAGCUGUUCUUCCAAAGUUGGUCCCACCAAAAUACUGAAAGGAAAUAAGAGAAGUCAUAUGAUGAUGAUCAUGCUAGUCUGUCUACCAAUCAAACUGGAUUACAGAAACAGAAUCCUGCAUAGCUUACCAUAUAAUAGUUUUGAAAUGUACCACCUGUUUCAAAAAACCGCGCAACAGCGAAAGCAAGAUCCUCAACAGGUCGAUAAGGGAUUGGAUUGCCGAAUCCAAGGAACCUACAAGUUAGAGAUAAUCUUUAGUAUUGUGUGUUUCUAAAAUGAACUAAAAGCUGCUUUUAGUUCCUAGCUAUAUAAUGCUUUAUAGCUACACACACUAAAUCAGAUAGAUCGUUACCAUCCACUGUAAUUCUCUGUCCACAUCUUUGGUUUGGAUGGAGAAUUCGGUGUAAACCUAUCGCAAUAAAAUCCAUUGCAUGUGUUUAUCUGCAGGUCAUUUAUGAAAAUAAUGAAACCUUAAUACAGAAACCAGGGAAGAAAAUAGUAGUUUAGAGAGGACAAAUUGGUAGUUAAAGUUCAUCUGUUUAUAAGCAAAUUAAUCUCCUAGGAAGUUCAUGGAAAAUUAAGUAUAACACUCACGAUUGGAUCAGGUGCAUCAUCUUGCGCACACAUCACCCAAGGUACACUUGUAUUAAGACUAACAGCAGUUUCUGCAGCCCAUUGGACAUAUAGUUCUCCACCAACUCCAUAUGACCAUUCAACAUUUCCAUAUUCAUUUUCAACCUGUUAUACAAUAUAUAAAAAAUGAGUAUGUAAGACUCUUAAAGUUCAAAGCACGAUGUCAUUUCUGGAACAUGUAGCCAAGAUACGAAAGAAAAAGCACCUGAGCAAGAAUGAUUGGGCCACCUUGUGUAGCAAACAGAUUCUCCUCCUUCAUCAUUUCAACAAUUUUUGCAAGAAAAUGCUUCAUUUCAUUCUGCACUAAUUCAUAAGGCAUCAAUAUAAACCACUUAAAACCUGUGCAUGUGUAGUGAGAAACUAUUUCCACUGACAAGAAUACAGGUACCAACCUUAAAAGGAGCAUUUGUUGUACGGAACUGAAUUCCGGGAAUAAAGUGUAACCAAAUAGGAAAUCCCCUGCCAUAAGACAAUGAUACUUAAAAAAUCAGUAGAAUUUCACAACACGGCUGGAUAUAGAAAAAUAUGAACUGAAGCCAUUGCAAUACAUCACAGCAAGAACAUGAAAUAGAAACAAACCCAUAGUUCCAUUCAGCACAAGCAUAAGGGCCAAUCCUCAAAUGAACUAGAAGGCCAGCUUCUUGCACUGUCUUCACAAAUCUCACCAAAUCAAACCUGCCUUCAAAGUAGUACUACAAAACCAAAAUAAAUCAUCCAGUCAUCCAAAUUGAUAUGAAAGUUUCCAACUUUGAUACCAGGCUCUGAAGUUUCUAACUUUGUAAGCUACGAACAAAAAUGAAUGUACAUGAAAUACUAAAGUUUGUAUACCUGGCCUUUUACAGGCUCAUGAUAGUUCCAGAAAACAUAAGUCUCUAUCACAUCAAGUCCUCCUUCCUUGGCCUUAUUAAUAAUCUCCGGCCACACCUGCAUUGUACAUUUGUACCCCCAAUACAAGCACAAUCACACAUUACCAUUACGAUUGAUCUCGUCCAAUAGCAUUUCAAAGUUUCUCAAACUAAACAAAUCACAAUCCUUUGAUACAGAUUUCAGGAUUCAGAAUUCACCUCAGGAGUGCUUCUAGGAUAAUGGAUAGAACCCGACUGCAAAACCCGCCGCUUCCCAUCAAUAACCAGUGCUCUAUGGUCAUAUGUCACAGUAGCAGAAUUCACUGUUUCAAUGAAAUAACCCUCAUAAGUUAUUAUGAUAAAAAACAGGAGGAAUGCCACCCAAAUAUUGCUACCCAUGAUUCAGUAUCAGCAAAUCCACAAAACCCAGAACAUUGAUGCGAUUAUUAUACAGAGACAAACUACACAUGACACAUCGAAAGCUCUAGUGGGUUUUGUUUGCUUUUAUUGAAAAUGCACAAUGUGCUAGGAGAUAAAGAAUGGUACCUGCAUGUUUAUCCAGACGAGUUUUACAAAGCUAGUUUUGGAGGGAAGCUCAUGCAGUCAUGCAACCGGGUUUAAGAAAAACAACAAAGGUUGCCAACAGAUAAGAGCAAAGUUCUGAAAAGGAGUGAAUUUAGCUCUAUAGUUUUGUUGCCAUGUUUUUACAGUACGGGUAUCACGCUUUUGUAAUUUUCACUAAUUUGGAUCAAGAUGGCGACUAGGCCCUAUUUUUCUUUGUAGGCCCAUAGUUCAAAAAUUCUUCACUUUCUUGAGUUUCUUUCUACCAUCCAAUUACAGCUGCAGCAUCAAUUUGGUAAUCAAAUCUCUAUCAUUCUGUUUUGGUUCUACAUGUGUGCAUUGUUUUCUCUUCAAUUUGUGGAUACUAGAGUUGAUUCAGAUUAAGAAUCUUUGUUUAAAUUUUUUAAUAUAUUAACGUUUUUUCUUUCUUUCAAUCAUUUUUGUCACGGAAGAGUAAUGAGAAAUUGUUUCUUUCUCGUUUUUUCUUUCUUUCAAUCAAUUUUUAAUAUAUUAACAUUUUUUCUUUCUUUCAAUCAUUCUUGUUGAAAGCUAGUGAUAGUGAUUCUUGAUCAUGGAACAUAUAAGACAUAAACUCAUAGAGUUUCACGUCCUGUUUGCAAUUGUUCUUGAAUUAUAUAUCUUCUUGGUGCACUUACGUACGUACAAGUUUAGCAAGGUUUCAUGAAUUGGGGUUAUUGGGCUAACCCUAACAUCUUUCCUAUAAUGAAUUGAAACGUGCAUGACUAGGCUAGUUCUUGCGAACGCCAUAUACUUCAAAGGAACAUGGGAGGUGAAGUUUGAUGCAUCGAAGUGUAAGUUUCACCUUCGCAAUGGGAUCAGUUAUGGCACCCUUCAUGACAAUGUGGUCGAAACAGUAUAUAAGUGUCUUUAAAAGCUUCGAAGUCUUGAAGUUUCCCUACAAACGAGGUCCAGAUCAUCAACAGAGAUUGUCCAUGUACAUAAUUUCUUUCAAAUGCAAGAGAAGGGCUGCCAGCUAUGGUUGAGAUGUUUUGUUCUAGAUACUGGUUUAUAGAUGGGAUCCGGCUCUUUUAAAAUGAGCAAACCGUAAAGUUAAUAAAUUUCAUAAAAUCUUUAGCCUCCAUCUAAUCUAAUGGUUCAAAUAUAUCCACAUCAAUUGUUGGAUUUUCUAUUUAUUUAUUUCUAUACAAGUGAUUUUUUCUCUAACAACAAACUUAAAGAAAAAAAAAAAAAACUUUAAACCUGUGUUCAUAAACAUGAGAUCAAGCGAGUCUUCAUAUCUGAUCGAAGGGUGAUCGAAUUCAUAAUGUAUAACUUGAUGUUUUAAGGUUUGAAACUUUGAAUAGAAAAGCUUUAGUUUCUUUAAUUGGUUCAUCUGCCCUCAGCCUCUAGACUCUAGGCUUUGUAAUUUGCAUUCUAUUUUUAUUUUUGGAGAUGAUGGCCAUAUGGGUUUCCAAUAUAGUUGGUUUUCCUAUUAAUAAUCGAAUUGUAGGCAUCGAUCUCACCAAUCUUUCGAAUUUUCCUAGCUUUUGGUUUAUAAAUCGAUUGGAGUACUAAUCACAAUUGUUCGUGGAUUGCAAUAGUCCUAUCGAUGUGGAGUACUAUGAAGCACUCAUGUACCAUGAAUCUGGCAAUUUGCUUUUUCAAAGAGAAAUUCAUAGAAGCACAGGUUCCAGACAAGAACAAAGAAGAAGGUUGAAUAAUGAAAAAAAAAGAGAAAAAGAUACAAAUGCAAAUUAACGUUAUUGAAAAAUAAAUUUUCAACAUUUUUUAAGUACGUAAUUAAUGUGGAUAUGUUUGAACCAUUAGAUUAGAUGAAGACUGAAGAUUAUAUGAAAUUUACUAACUUUACGUUUUGCUCACUUUAGAGGAGCCGGAUCCAGAGGGAGAUAAUCAUCUUUCUGCUGAAAAAGUUACCGUUGGUAAAUCUUAAUCCCGAAGUUUAAGUUCUCUUAUGGUUUUGAGGCUUCCAAUGUCCUCAACACUUUGGGAUGCUGUCCUGGAGCUUUGACAGAGAUAAUUGACUCGCCUCAUCAGCCUCUAGAUGUCUAGCUCCUUCAUAUUCCACAAAGCGUUCAUUGAGGUGAAUGAAAGGAACACUGUAUCUUUGUGUUUCUCUAAACACAAGAUCUACAAUAAUGAGAAGUUGUCUAUUAUCAAUUUAUCAUUAGGGCGGCUACCAUUGUUCUCAAAAAUUCAUGAGUCAUGACCAAGCGAGUGAAAUUGGCAUUGAGAUUAGAUGUGUAAGAGUGACUCAAGAGUUGCAGAUGACAGGGUAUGAUACUCUUAGCUGGUUUUCUGUAAUUCUCAACUUCAUAACAAGUUACAAAUUGAUUCUCUUCGAAACCAAGAGCUUUAUUUCACUGUUUCUCUUGUUAUACUUUGGCAAUCUCCUAAAUCAUUCAUGCAUGUCUCGAGUUAUAACCGAUUUAAGUUGUAGAUUGCUUUAAUUACAUUAGAUUAGAAUUAAUGAUUUGAUAUAUAACAAUUAAAAUUUAAAAUCAUAUCCUUUGGUGCUGUGAUUCUGAUCAAACCAGUUUAAAUCAUAUCCUUUGGUGCUGUGAUUCUGAUCACAUUCUUUUGUCGCAUGUUUUCAACAGUUUCAUAUGAUACCAGCUUUAAUUUUUAUUCUAUGAACAUAAUGUUACCUACUUCUAUUACCUACAUAAAAAGCAGGAGGUAACUUUUGCAAAUGUAUCAUUUUCAGAAGUGAAAACAAAGUAUAAAAGAGCUGCACUCAUGCAUAGAUGAGCUGUAUCAUUUUCAUCAUCAUAACACAGCCAAUAAAACAGCACAAAAGAACAAGGGUUUAGGGAAAAAAAGGGGUCCAUACUCAAGCCUCAAGGUGAUGCAAAAUGUUAAAAUCAUUGAGACCUCACCACAAAACACUACAGUAUAAAAAAUAAAAAAUAAAAAAAUAAACACUACAGUACCUUACAACUGACAGAACCCAAAAAAAAGGGGAAAAAGAAGAAGAAAGGGAAAUAAUAACAUCAAGCAGUGAUGCCAUGCAUGCCAAGAUCAAUGAAGUAGAGAGAAUAAAGCUGCUGCAUUUUUUGGAUCUUGCUUCUUGCAAUUGUUCCUUGGUUAUAAUAUCGUUGCACAUAAAAGUCUACUACAAUGACCAAAAGCGAAAAGAGAUCCCAAAACACAUUUUUUCCACAAUUUCAUUUCAUCCCUUAUCCCCUCCUCCUCCUCCUCCUCUUCUCCUUCUUUUACAAGCAGGAGCAACAUUGAACCCCACAUGUUGUAUCUCCUGCGGUUCUUGUUGCUAAACCUCCCAACUUUCUCUGUUCAGGGGUCUAUCAGGCACUGGCACAUAGUCCUAACCCGAAACAAAACAAAACAAAAACAGUGUCGUCAAUCACUCACAACCAACCAAACAAAGAUCGACAGAAGGAAAACAUCAUAGAAAAAGAUGGUAGUUGGGUCAGGAUUCUUUCUCUCAUCAUAGGACAUAAAUAGUGUUUAAUGAAAACGAAAGUCGGCAUAUAUAAUCAAUCACACACCUCAAGUUUAUCAAGGAGCUCCUUGGCAUUGGUAGCCCAGACUAUGAUGUUGCUGUGGGAAGGCUUGAUAAAGCUUUCAUCCACGGAAUUGUCAAUGAAAGAAAGAAAGGAAUUGUAGUAGCCAUUGACGUUGAGUAAACCCACCUGCAAAAUUUUUAGAAGUUAGAACCUUCAAGGAAAAGAUUUUGAUGAAUCUGAUAUAUAUAUAUAUAUAUAUAUCAGUAAUCACUUGGUGGGUUUUUCAGUAUCAUAAUAUGCUCUCUUACAGGUUUGUCAUGGAUCCCAAGUUGGGACCAAGAAACCGCUUCCAGCAACUCUUCCAGGGUUCUAUACCCUCCUGAAAAACCAAAGCAAGAGAUUAAAACCCAUUUGAAUAAUUUACAGACCAAAUAAACCAGAUAAAAAGGGUCACACUAUUUCUUAGUUUUCUAAUGGAAAAGAGAUGGUACCUGGUAACGCUAUAAAACAAUCAGCAUGGCGGGCCAUUUCAGCCUUCCUUUGGUGCAUGUAGGUCACAAACUCGCCCUGAUGAACAGCCACAUAUCACAUGCAAUCAUUUUGUGAGAAAAUUGCAAAAAAGGAACCAACUUUGAAAUAAAUUUAGGAAGAGGAAGAAACCCAAAUGAUACAAGGGGAAGAAAACCCAAAUGAUACAAGGGAUUUACCUCUGCACCCAAAACACGCCUGGGGAUGAUCCUACGGAAAUGUACGCCAAAAACCCAAAAAGUCAGAAUAUUGAACAGCAACAAGAAAUUUACUCAAAAAUGGAAAGAGAGUCACAAAACAUAGAGAGAAAGAAACCCAAGAAAAGUGAAAAGCUUGUUGAUUUCUUACUCACGAACGUUGCCUCCACCAUCUUGCAUAGCCUUUACAACACAAUCCAUCAGUCCUGUGCUUUCACCUCCAUCAUGGACAAUGUCCACCCCCCUUGAAACCUUCAAACACCUCAAAGCUCUCAGACACAACACCACAAACACUACAUAUACAUUUAAAAAAUUAACACACACACACAAGCUUUGACAGAAAAUUAAGUACCAGCUCUUUGCCUAAUUCUGUGGCAGCAGCUUUGUAAAUCUCUUUAUUCCCCGAUUUGCUUUCGCAAAUCACCCAUGCACUCUUGAACCUAGACCUUACUGCUUGCUCCACAUGUUCCAUUUCACUCACUUGAGCCAUUUCAAAAACUUCUUGGGUUUGUUGUUGGUGGUUUAAGCUCUGAGGCAAAAGUGACUGAAAAAAUAUAAGAGGUGGAUAUGCAGGAGUGGCCAAGUGAGAUGGAACCAGCACUAUAUGUCUGUAUAAAUAGAACCACAUGGAGGAGUAGCAAGAGUAAGACAAAAGGGAUAAAAUGAGACACUGUAGUAGGAGAGGUCUGUAACACACUGGUACAAUUUCAGACCCAUUCCUAACGUCCACUAUGCCACAUGUCGAUAACCGAUUGGGUGAAUGUUGUGUGGGUGAGGUUAGUAAGCGUCCAAUGGGGAAAGAGGAGUACACUACCGUGGUGGUGGCGGAGGUGAAGAGUGGCGGUGGCGUGUAGAGUGUAAUUUUCCUUCUGAUGGGUUCUGGGAAUCUUUUCUAAUACACGCCAUCAUGAUUAUAAUAGCUUGUUUAGGAGGUCCAAAUAGAGUCUCUGCAUCACAUCAAAGAUUCAUAAGACUUUAAUAGUUUCUCAGUUUAUAGGAUUUAUGGUGGUGGGUUAGUGAAUUCCAGCUGUAUAAUUGUUAUGGGGCAGUGGGUGCUUCUUGUUAAUAUUUUUGGGAUACAAUUUCAGGUGAAAAUAUUAACACAAGAAUUACAAGUGAAAAUGAGGAAAGUAGCCAUGGAGAUAUUUCAUCAAACAGAACAACACAAGUACAAUCUCAAUCCCAAUCACAACAACACAGUAAUAAGCAUCAACCAAACAGAACUUAAAAGACCCAAAAAUUACGAACCUUGACUAAAGCAAGAAACCGAAGGCACUAGGCUGUAGGGAACGAAGAAAUGAACAUAUCAGUCUUGAAGCCUGGAACCGAUCGGAGUCGCCGGGAAUCAGGAAAUUGCCGGAAAGAGUCGAAUCCUUCUCUUUACGAUUUCUCCGUCAAACAUGGAUGCAUGUAUGAUAUUCGAGCACAGGAUUGACGGGCUUGAGGAGACGAACCAGAUUCGACCGGUUCGGUGGGACAUGGUGGCCGGACGGCAGAGAUGGGUGGCGGCGAGGUUCGGCGGACGACAGCGUCGUCUGGGGAGUCCAGGUGAGGUCUAACCGCGCCUCCUUGUUAAAAUGGAAACCAACGGCCCAGAUCAUCCUAAGUUAAAUCCAACGGCCCAGAUCAAAAGUAUUAUAAAAAUUUCAAAAAAAAAAGUUUUUCUUUCCACCAAGACUUCCAAAAUUUGUAGAAAUUAAUUCGAGUGUCCGAAAAAUAUUCCGAAGAUAUCCCCGAACUCGUGUCGAUGCGUUCUAUGACUUUAGAACCUUAAAUCGAACACUUAAACUUUUGGUUAAAUCUCAAAAAUUGACUCAAACACUUCUUAUGAAAUUCCGAAAACUCACAACUCAAAAGACCAUGGUUCUCUUGUUUUUACUUUUAUAAAAGACAAAAAAGUAGUACAAAUAAGAGAGAUAACAAAAUCAUGACUCAAAGACCCAAGCUACAAAAGUGGAUAAACAAAAGAUGAAAGGCAUGCUUCUAGCUAGUCCAUGCCCUAUACCAAUUCAUAGUUGAAACUGAACUUCAUGUUCUAAUUGGGGAUGGUAAUCUUUAUGUCGUCUCCUACCUUCUAGUCCCAUUCAUACAUUGCGGACCCAAAAUUAGUUGAAGUGUGAACUCAAAUUCAACACUGAUCUGUUCCUCUAGUCACAUUACGUCUCUUUAGUAGACAUAGAGGAAGAUGGGGCACUUUGUUGAAUGAGAUAGAGGGGAUGGGUAAGAAUGAUGUGUAAUGGUCUUCACAGUUUACGUACACAACUUUUCAAACUGCGACAUGGAUUUCAAUACAAUUAUAGCUAACCAUUGGAUUCGAAAUAGAUAAUUUACGUAAAUUGAAAACAAUAUAUGGUGUGAUCGUAUAAAUGUCCAAAAAUACUAAUUAGAUCAAACAUCAGAUCUCAGAUAAAUUACAAAGCCCAUAGUGUGAAAAGAGACCAACACUGAUGCAAUUCUUAUACAGAGACGAACUACACAUCGAAAGCUAUACUGGCAUGGGCGGAGGCAUUCAAGGACCAUGGCACCCCUCCAAAUUUCAAAUAUGUUUUAAUCAUUCAUAAUUUGGCUCAAUGUAACCAAAUUUUAGUUGAACUGUAAGUAUUGGCACCCCACCCUAAAUUUUAGCUGCUCGAGCUUUAGCUUGUUAACUAUAUAGAAAGGUCAUAAAAAGUUUUCUUAAAGAAAAUAGUUAAUUUAGUCAUAUUCCUAGUACUAUUAUGCAUUUACCCUACAAAUUAAUUUAAAUAGAUCACUCUAUAAAGACCAAACUCAUGGCAGCGUAUUUGUAUUAUAAAAGGUUCGACUCUCUCUCUCUCUCNUNUCUCUCGUCGUCGUACGUACGUACGUACGUACGUCGUACGUACGUACGUACGUACGUACGUACGUACGUACGUCGUACGUACGUACGUACGUACGUACGUACGUACGUACGUACGUACGACGGUUAACGGACGUUCGUAACCGCGGUACUACGUUACGCGUAACGCGUAGUACCGUACGUAACGUACGUACGUCGUACGCUACGUACGUAGUCCGUAACGUUCGGUAACCGUACACGGUUACGUACGUACGUAGUCGUAACUAGAGUACGGUAGACGUUAAGAACGUAAUACGUAGUAGUANACGUAGUAGUACGUAAGUACGUAGUUAGGUUAACGUAGUAACGGUAGUAGUAACGUAGUAGUAGUACGUAAGUAGUAACGUAGUACGUAACGUAACGUAACGUACGUACGUACUAGUACUACGUACGUACGUUAGUACGUACGUUACGUACGUUACUACGUACUACUACUACUCUACGCACUAUCUAUCUCUCUCUCUCUCUCUCUCUCUCUCUCUCUCUCUCUCUCUCUCUCUCUCUCUCUCUCUCUCUCUCUCUCUCUCUCUCUCUCUCUCGUUUGAUCUUACAUCCGUCAAUAUGAGUAAACAAUUGACAAUUCAUGAAUUUUUCAAGACAAAAAGUACCGAAUCUAAAGCUGGUACAUCAGUACCUUUAUUAUAACCCAACUUUGAUACCGAAGUAGUAGUUCUCGAUAAUUCUCGACAAUGACUUUGACGAUAUGCAGGAGGGACGAGUCAAUUAAUGUAUAAUUUAGCUUAAGACCUUUUUCUAUCAUAGUAAAUUUCACCAUUAAGUUUAUCUUAAUUUUUUUAACCUUUUUAUAUUGGCCCCCCUCGAUUAUGAUUUCUGGCUCCGCCUCUGUGUACUGGGGUUGUGUUUGCUUGUAUUGAAAAUACACAAUGUGCUAGGAGUUAAAGAAUGGUACCUGCAUGUUUAUCAGUUUUGUUGCCAUGCUCUUUCAAAUGUUCGACCCGUUAAUCUGAGCAAGAUGGAGGUCUGUGAGUUGGGUCAAAACCUAUUCUGUUGUAAUUCAGGUCAAAAUUAAACGCUUAUAUCAACAUACACUAAUGGAAAGCACCUAUGCAGUUAUGCACCGAACUUCAUGUUCGACAUGAACUCGCUAAGAGCAUCUCCAGUGGAGAUGUCUUUUGACAGAUGGACAAUGCAACGACAAGAAAUGAUAGCUGACAAGGUCUCUAACCCAAUGGUCAAAUCCACGUGGAUGACAGUUCAGAAAUUCUUCUGUCAAAUUUGACACCGUCAAAUCGAAGGGUCUUUCUUUCUUUCUCAUUGUUUGUCUUUCCUCUCUCUCUUCUUCCACACAAAGGGUUUCUUCUUCUUUCUUCUACUAGAAGAGUAGAAGAGUAGUGAUCGGUUUGUUAUAAAUAUUCUAAAAAUUAAUAAAAUAAUACAUACAUUUAACAUCUCUGUUGGAGUGAGUUUUUGUCAAAAUUGACAUAAGCCACAUCAGCCUUCAAAUUUGAAAUUGACACAAGCAUUAUGACAUCUCCAUUGGAGAUGCUCUUAUGACUAAAAAAAAAAAAAAAAACUAAUGAGAUUUGCAUAGUCUCAAACUCACAUCUUGAUACAAAUUGUCUAUAUUUCAUUGUCUCAUUGCAUAAUAACUUUCUUAGAGCAUCUCCAGCAGCGUGGUCUUUUGCUAAAUGGAGAUGCAACGGUAACAAAAAGACUCUUGCAAUUCUCUCCAACCCAAAUGUCAAAUCCAGAUGGAUGACACGUGGUUGAUAGUUCUUAAUGAAGCUGUCAAAUUUGACAGUGCCGAUUGAAAUUGUCUUUUUCUUUCUUUAUUAUUAUCUCUCUCUCUUCCUUCUCCCUUUCUCUCUUCUUCCUUAUAAAUUUCUUUCUCUUUCAUUAUCUAAUAUGCAUCUCAGCAACACUGAGAGAUCGAAUGAUCUCCAUAACCUCAUGCACGUCCUCAUCCAUCAAUUGCUGCAAACAAAUCCAUGCCUUUUGAACAGAAAUUAUUCUAAUUGCAAAAAGUCAAAGAUAUAUAGAGGAGAAAAAAGAGAGUUGGAGAAGAUGGAGAGAGAUUGUGGCUCAUCUAAAACCCAUCUUUUGAAUUGCAGACGAACUCGUAUGCAUAUGAUAUUUAUGGAUCUUUGUUAUUCACAGCUCAUAUGCGCGCGCUUUGCUGAGAUGGAUAUAAUUUCUAUAGGAUUUGGGUAGGAAUACUGUAAGAUUUUGGUAGAAUUUGAUUAUAUUCUAUAAGGAUUAAUUGGGUGUCUGAAUAACAGAUAUGAUGAUUUGAUUAUCUGAAGUGUUUAGUGAAUAUGGAAUUAAGGGUUUGAAGCAUCAGGGGGAGAAAUAAGGAGGAAGGCAUUCAUGAUGAAGAGAUAUAGAAAGGGUGGGUUGAGCAGCACUGCAGCAAAAGAUAAAGAAAGAGAGAAAACUUUUUUUAAUGGUUAUAAAAUAUACAAAAUAUUAUUCAAAUUAGACCUAUCCAUUGGAGUUGAUUUCUGUCAAAAAUGACAUUUGCCAUCUCACUAGUCAAAUUUGAAUUUGACACACACAAAAUAACAUCUCCAUUGGAGAUGCUCUUAGUUUUCUCGCAUAUUGAUACAGUUAAUGUAUAUUAGACGUUGAGUUAAUUAUCCUCUUGUAUCAACUAUCGAGUAUAUAACUCUUAAGCUAUUGCUUAAUAUACAUGGGACUGAUGCAUGGGACUGAUGCGAGUACUGGCUAUAUAUGAGUAUGGUACAUACAGAAACUUAGCCUCUUGAAGUCUGAACUACCUGGUAAUUGUUAAUAGUUCUUAGUUUCUUACUUCACAUACAGUUGACAGUUGAGUACGCAUGCUCUAUCAUGAGAAAGAUUGAUUCUCUUUCAAUGAAUUGUAAAUUUGAAUUUACCCGGCCCGUGAAGACAUUGAUUGUUGAAUGUUAUAGCACUUUGGUGAAACUUGUUCAACUUUACUGUCUCGAGUAUGUUGCAUGAUACUUUGUUUUUUUAUUUUUUAUCAAAUAUUGACAGAAUAAUUGUUAAAGAGAAACAGUGUGUGAGAGAUAGCUAGGGAGAGGUGUCAUGAAACAUUAGGGUUUUCUCUGUAUGAUAGCUAGGAUUUGCUAGCUAGCUAGUGCAAGUCCUUUUUAUUAAUCAAACAAACUUGAUCUAUUACAUGAGCUCUUUGUCUAAGAUGGGGUACUUACGUACAUGAGUACGUAGUACCAGUACUUAAUUAACCGUUUGCUUGAUGAUCAUGGUGAUCAAAACCUAGAAAGAAAUAAAGAUGUAGUGCAACUAUAUAGAUACUUAUAAAUUAACUAACAUAACGAUAUUUAUAGAGUUACAGAUAGAGUACGUCUACUGCAUAAUCAAGCUCCUAAAAAUGGCGGCCUCAGCGCUAUCAGCAUCAAUUGUAGCGAGCAGUUGGGACAGUCUCUCGCUCAAGUCUUCAACCUCUCUCUGUAAGUUUCUGAUGUAGCUGCAGGUCUCUUGUAGGACCUUGGAAGCUGAUACCUGCACAACCAGGUACAGUCGACAUUUGACAGUUAGAUCUGAUUCCCAUUAACUAGCUACAACAACAACAUCUGGCUUUUGACGUAUAAACAAUCUUUCUACAACCACCCUUAAUUACAUCUAUCUGUCUUUCCCGGCCAUUUUCUAUCUUCUGCCGGCGGGCCGGCCUGAGUUAGUUAACAAAAUCACAUAGGGAGACCGAUGCUUACGUACCUGAUCGGAGCGCCUGUCGCGAGUCUCAGGAACCAACUGGCGCAACUUAGAGACGAGCUCGAUGAUCUGGUCAUCUCUGAUUGAUGGACUUCCCGAUGACUGGCUUGAUGACCUUCCGCUAGACAUGAUCGAUCGGACUAAUUCCUGCUAUAUGUAUCAGAUCAGUAGCUAGAAUAGCUACUUAGUUUAUAUAUCAGCCUCGCGUUUGCCAAAGCUUAUGAGCAUGCUAGAGUAUAUUAUGUAGUAGUAAGUAGAGUAGCACUGGAGGAGGAGGAGGAGAAAAACCUAGAGAAGCAAACUCUGAGAUAGAAGGGGAGUAGGGGACGAGGAAGAAGAAAGAGCAGAAGAACGAGUAGCAGUGGUAGUUUGUCUUAAGAAAAAUGUAUAUAGGGUUAUCUCUGGAUCUCUUUUUAAACAAUUUUUUACGGUCCUAGGUUUUGGUAGCAGCAAUAAUAAUAUUGACCAAGACAAGAGAGAGUUAGGUUGUAUAUAUCUGCAAAGGCUCUCUCUCCCGGGUUAAGGCACACGAGUUUCAUGCUAUACACAGGGAAAUCCUAAGUUAGUGAUGAUAGUGGUAGUAGUAGUGGGGUUCAUUCGGUUAUCUCAAAUUGUUGAGUCUGCCAAAGGCCCAAAGCCUGUUUCAGCUCUUGUUUUUUUGUAAACAAGAAGCAAGCUAAUAGCGUUAACUUGAUCUGAGUUCAAUGGUUGGUUGGAGUUGGGUUGAUAUCAUCAUGUGAAUAUUGAAUAUGAGAGAAUAUGGAUGUGUGAAAGCAGAAAGAGAGAGAGCUGGGACGUGUACGUGAAGAAGCAAAGCUUUACCUAAUGGAUAGCAUCAUAGUGUGUAUGUGUGUGAUGGAUGGAGAGAGCUAAAGAGAGACACACAAAGAUAUGUGAGUUAUUUUCCUGGGGGCAUGGAAAUCGGAAAGAAUCACAGUUCUGUACCCUUCAUAUAUUUGCUUUUUCUUGUGUACUGGCGGAGCUUGAUGGCAAUCUGUCCAGUCACUUAAUAUUCGCACUUGUGACUCUUGUCCUCUUCUUCAACCUCUCUAACGACAGCAGUCCAGUAGUAUUAGUGUAUUACCAUCCCACAGUCAUUACAAUUUAAACGAGAAAUAAUUUUGAUCAUCUCAUUAAGGGAAUUGAUCGAAAACAUAAGUAGAGAUUAAUUUGAAACAUACGUACGUACACAUCUUCUCCUUCUUAAUUUUCUUCUGCAAUAUGCAUACAUAUCCUUCGUAUAAUUAACCCAUAUAUAACCCGCCUUGGAUUCCAAGUUCUCGGUGUUAUAAUCCACAUAUACUGUAUAUUUACGUUUACUAAUCUCACAGAUGUUAGAAACAGUGAUCCAUAUUCCAGUCUCAGACGAGACAGUAAUAGAUAGAGAGAAAAGUAAAUAUGGGAGCUAGUAACCUUUUCAGUUUUCAUGGAUGGGUUUGGCCAAGUAUAAAUUACUGACAAAAUCUUUUCUUCUUCUUGUAAACCUUAAAAGCAGGUGUGUAUAUAAAAUGUUUCCAUCCCAUCAAUAUCUGGUCACGGUCAUUGCAUCGUUCUAGAUCUAAUAUGUAAUUAUCAAGGACUAAAAUUUCGUCUAUUGAGAAAAUUUUGACCGUCUAAAAAACGGAUAUUUUGAUAAAAAUAUCAGAAAAAAUCAAUAAUCGUCAAAUUUUUGAGAAAAAAUAAGAAAAGAUGCUGAUAUAUAUGAAGAGUAUUAAUAGAAGUAAAUGUACAUAUUUAUUCAAAACACAUCCCAGCAUGGAUGGUUGGGGUGUUCUAUUACAUUCUGAAGAAUCAAGCUUCGAUUCUCAACAACUACACUUUGUCUUUUGACUAAUUUUUCUAGAUUUGGCCCCACUUUCAGUUAAAAUAUUGGGAAUCUCGGCGAUAAAUCGAAAAAAUCUUAAAAUAUCACGAAAUAUCGAUAAAUUCAUACAAUAUACUCUUGAUAUCUCACUUUAAUAUCCACACCUUGAGAAAACGAAAAUAUCGCCAAGAUUUCAACGAUAUUUUCGAUUUUACACUCCUUGGUAAUUAUUCAGCUCAGGAAAAAAAAGAGAAAAAGGUUUUGCUACACCUAGAAAAUAAAGCUGGUAAAGCUAGUGGAACAGUCCAAAUGUCUCUUCCUGAAAUCUCUCUUUCUAGGUUCUAGGGUUAGCUAGCUAGCAAGGUUCCAUUUCCUCUCUCUCUCUCUCUCCCAUUUUUUAAAGCUAGAAGAAGUUGCUCUAUGAUCAUGUAUGCCUGUAUGGCCCUGUGAACCUCCAGCUGCUCCACAAUCCACUCGAUCCCAGACCUGAAAGAAAAUCUCGAGCUCCAAUCGAUGGAGAACAUAGUCUUUAUUUCAUUGUCUCACUACAUAAUUCUUUUCUUAGUUUUCUUGCAUACUGACACAAUUCAUAGUAGAUGUUGAGUUGUUUUUUAUUUUAUUUUUAUGAGAGAAGGAAACUACAAGGAGAAGCCUCUACAACAAUCUAUACUGAAACGAUCAAAAUUAAAGACAUUAAGCGCUGAGAGAGGGAGUUUGUGAUUCCAGAGAGUUGGGUUUGGGACCUGAUACCCCAAGCUAGCCAUUGUGUCAGCCACAAAAUUUGCUUCCUGAAGGACAUACUUGAAGGUGAUCUCUUCAAACUUAGAAACCAUCCAGCCAACAUCACUAAGAAGAGUACAUAGUCUCCGAAGGGGGGGGGGGGGGGGGGGGGGGAUUGUUGUUAAUUAGGUCAAUAAUAAGCUUAGAAUCACCCUUAACUUGGACUCGCCGGAUAUCAUUGCAUAAAGCAUGGAACAAACCGUCUCGAAGAGCACUACAUUCAGCACUAAGAACACUGGAGUUACCCACACAACGAGAGCCAACUAAAUUUGGAUUGCCCUCAUGGUCUCUGAUUACAAACCCAACAACAGCCUUCUUGUUGUGGCAGACGGAACCAUCAAAGUUGAGCUUCACAAGAUUACACGGAUGCGGGACAUUUGAUAGAGGAACUUGCUGGAAUGACGGAUCCAUUAGAGUUGGUCUUGUGGCCUCUAGUAGUCGGAUUCUGGCUUCUGUAAUCAUUACCAGAAGAAGCAGCAGCAUGCACAACAAAGUUGGAGUUGGGCGUGCAUCCUCUAAAAAUAUAAUUGUUUCAGCCCUCCCAUAAUUUCUAGCAAAGGAGAACGCAGUUUUCAGCUGUUUCUUUGUCUUUUUUCUUCCUGAAUCAGGAAAGAAAGCAGUCAUAGAAAGAUGAAUAAUCAAAAGCAUUAGUACCAGCCAUAUUCCAAAUACUCACAGCAAAGGGGCAGAAGAAGAAGAGGUGGUUUAAAUCCUCCUCCCCAUUGCUACAGAGAGUACAAGAAGAGCUAAUAGUAUUUGAGUAACGAGCUAAUGUAGCCCUUGUUUUCAGCCUCCCUCUGGCCAGGAGCCAAGCAAAAUUUUUUGCUCUGGGAGGCAUAUUCAAUUUCCAGAUGACAUUCAUGAUUUUAGAAUUCGAAUGGAGAGAGUAAUUAUCAAACUGCACCCAAGUUGCAGACUUGAUAGAAAAAAUACCAGUAGGGGUAGGGCCCCAAACAAACUCAUCCCUUGCUUCGAUCGAUGGGAGGGGAAUUCCCAAAAUCACAUUGACUGUAUGAGAGUCUAAAACAGAGUUUAAUUUAUUAAUAUUCCAGUAAUAGUUGGAAAUAUAGUCAUGCACAGUUUCGUCUAAGUUGAAAUACGACAUGCUAGAAAUAGGAAUAAGAUUCAACAAAGGAAAAUCAUACGCCCAAUUAAAAGUCCAAAACUUAAUAUCUUUACCAUGACCAACAAUCAAAAGAUAGAUAUAUUAGACGUUGAGUUAAUUAUCGUGUUGUUCCAAGUAAUACCCUUAAGCUAUCGCUUAAUAUACAUGGGACUGAUGAUUAUUGAUGCAAGUGCUGGCUAUAUAUGGUAUAUAUAGAAACUUAGAAAGACAGAUGCUGCAUGCCGCUUGAAGUCUGAAUUCAACUACCUGGUAAUUAUUAAUGGGACAAUGCCUAUUAGGUUUAAUUUUAAGAAUUUUAUUCCCACUAACAAAAUCAGAUUUUAAAAUUCCCAAGAGCUAACUUAAACAACAAAAAGACAAAUAUACCCUUAAUGAAUUAAAUAAAAUACAAUAGACCAUUAUAAGAGUAGAAAGAUAAUUAUAACCUUAAUAAAUUAAAUAAACUAUAAUAGACCAUUAUAAUAGUCUAUUAAAAAAUAAAGUUUUUAUGACCGGAUUCCCACGACCAAUGACGUUGACCGGACUCCGGCAAUCUUUGACUGGGCUCCGGGGAUCGUUGACCGGACUCCGGGAACAGUUGAUUGGGCUCCUAAGACCGUUGACCGACUUUGGGGGCCGUUGAUCAGGCUCCCGCGACUGUUGACCGGGCUCCCGCGAUCGUUGACCGGACUCCGGGGGCCGUUGACCGGGCUUCAGCGACCGUUGACCGAACUCCGGGGGCAGAUGACCAGGAUUCCGGGGACUGUUGACCGGGCUCCGGUGAUCGUUAAUCGGACUUUGACGACCGUUGACGGGACUCCGGGGGCAGUAGUGCUUUAGUCACUUAUAACAGGUCCCGAUUAGGGGCAAUAUGCCCACCUAUUAGGGUCAGUAUGACCUCCUACUGGGGGCAGUAGGACCUCCUAUUGGGGUCAGAGGACCCUUGAUACAUGACAUUAAUUUCAUCAAUUUAAUGCUAAUUAGUAGGAUCUCCUACUGGGGGCAGUAGAACCUCUUACUGGGGGCAGUAAGACCACCUACUAAGGGCAGUAUGACCACCUAUUGGGGUCAGUAGGACCUCAUAUUGGGGUCAGAGAACCCUUGAUACAUGACAUUAAUUUCACCAAUUUAAUGUUAAUUACACUAAAAUAAUAUAUAAUAAUCAAACAAGGUGAUUCAACUUUCUACCGCACACACGGACCCUAAUUAAAAAGACAUGCGCACUGACUCUGCUUGGUUUUAAUGCACAAUUAAGUCAGUCACAAUUGAAAAGGUAAGAUAGACUAUCAAUCACAUCAUGUAUUUACAAUGAUAUUACCAUAAUUUAUGAGUCAAAUAUAGCAAUUUUCCUUCGAUGCAUUUGAAUUCACAUCUACAGCCCAAAAAAGUCAACAAAACCUGACAUUUCAUUUCAAUACACCUCCACCUCCUUCACCAUCACUGUCGUGGCCUCCUCCUCCGACAAUGUCAACCGUCCUCCCAAUCUCCACCACCAUCGCCUCUACCGGAUCCGACGAGUCCCAGGCCCAGCCUUCGAUCGCCACCCCUACCUUCCGCGCCUUCAUCAACCACAUCACCGACACUGUCUGCAACGGCCUCUCCCAGCGCCGCCCAUGGGCCGAGCUCGUCGACCGCUCUGCCUUUCCCAAAUCGGAAUCCUUCUCUGACGCCACCGUCCGUGUCCGCAAGAACCAUUUCUACUUCCGUGUCAACUACCUCGCCGUCAUCGUCGCAGUCUCCCUCUUCACCCACCCUUCUCCCUCGUCGUCCUCCUCGGCCUCCGGUACAUUUUGUCAGUGAUGGCGUCGUCGGUGACAUCACCGGAGAGAGAGAGAGAGAGAUGAGAGGCUAAGAAGAAGACAUGGCAGUUUUGUCAAUAAAAAUUAGGAAAAAACUGAAUAUUUUGGUUGAGGGAAUAAACACUAAGAGUGUAUAGGGUUAGUGAGAAUUUUAGAUUCUUAUUUUGUUGGUGGGAAAAAAUUCCUUAACAUUAGGGUGGAUGGGAAUUUUCCCAUUAUUAAUAUAUAGUUCUUUUCACUGAAAAAAAAAUUGUAAUAGUUCUUAGUUCUCUAUCAUGAGAAAGAUUGAUUCUCUUUCAAUGAAUUGUAAGUAUUGAUAUAUUGGCUAUUCCUAUUAAAACACAAGAAAUCCCAAUGGAGCUAGGAAAGACAAGAAGAAGGAGUUCAAAAAUCAAAUGAGAUUGUAGACAUGCAUGUCCAACAAAGAAAUUAUGCUCUAUUUUCUGUUACCUAUUAAAACUGACAACCACAUGCCUGAGGAAGCAGCUAAGGAGGACCUAAACCCGCCCUCUCCAAGUUGGACAGUAGUGCAAAGGAAGAACAAAGCUAUGUCCAAAGCUCAGGCUUCUAGUGGAAUCCAAGGAGGAAACGUCACCAAUGGAGAUGUCAAGGCUCCUAAAAAGAAGAAAGCAACUACUGGUGCAACCGGCUAUCUCCUUUAAGGAUGUGGCUGCAAGCACAGGUGCUUUUAUAGUAACAGAUGAGGAAGUCAGGAAGAGCCUGCACUUGAACAAUUCUAGAAGUCCCUCAAGCAAUCAAGAGGAGCUGGUGAGCUAUAGUCUAAUAUUUCCUCUUAACUCUUUCUCCAAAUUCCCUGAAGUAGCCAGCCUUUACAACUAUGAUAUCUAUGAUGCCUUUAAUUGUUGGAAUAUCCCUGCUAGGCUAGACUCUGAUAAGGAAGUGUCUUAUUCACCUAAUAAAGUAGUUAGAUUUUUUCUAUUUAAUGGAGAUAUGACAUCUAUGCAGUUUGAGAAUUUUGCAGCUACAAAGUCUCAUGGAAAUGAGGGGAAGGAUAUGGUUAUGACUGAUGUUGGUAUCCAAAGCAGCAAAGGCAAUAACCCUACUAGAGUGGGAGCUCUGAGAUGAGCACAUGCACCGAAUCAAAGAAGAGAGCACGGACUCUAGAGGAUGACAACAUGCUGUAUGAAUCUGAGGAGGAGGAAGGCAGUAUCUCGUAUGCUGCAAAAUUAGUCAAGAAAUGAAAAUCAUGAGCUGGAAUACUAGGCUAGGUUAGCCAAUGGUUUUGAAGCACAUACCCUCUAGGCGGGCCUAGGAGGGCCUAUGAGGGUCAAGGCAGCCCUAGACGAGCCUCGGAGGGUAAUGGCGACCCCUUGGCGAGUCAUGGCGGCCCCUUGGUGGCCUUAGGCGAGCAUAGGAAGGUCAAGGCGGCCCUAGACGAGUCUAGGACGGUCAAAGGGGCCCCUUAGCGGCCUUAGACGGGUGAAUGCGGCCCCUUGGCAGCCCUAGCGGGGUCAAGACGGCCCCUUGUUGGCCCUAGACGGGUCAAGGCGGCCCAAUGAGGGUCAAGGCGGCUCUAGGCGAGUCAAUUCAAGGCGGCCGCUUGGCGGCCCUAGGUGGGUCAAGGCGGCUCUUUGGCUACCCUAGGAGGGCUUAGGAGGGUCAAGGCGGGUCAAGGUGGCCCUACACGGGUCAAGGCAGCCCUACACUGGUCAAGGCGGCCCUAGANNNNNNNNNNNNNNNNNNNNNNNNNNNNNNNNNNNNNNNNNNNNNNNNNNNNNNNNCGGGGCCUAGACGGGUCAAGGCGGCCCCUUGGCUACCCUAGGCGAGUUAAGGAGGGCCUAGGAGGGUCAAGACGGCCCCUAUACGGGUCUAGGACGGUCAUGGCGACCCUUUGGUGAGUCAUGGCGGCCCCUUGGUAGCCCUAGGCGAGCUAGCAGGGCCUAGGAACGUCAAGGCGGGUCUAGGAGGGUUAAGGCAGCCCCUUGGUGGCCUUAGACGGGUGAACGCGGCCCCUUAGCGGCCUUAGAUGUGUGAACACGGCCUCUUGGCGGCCCUAGCGGGGUCAAGGCGGCCUCUUGAUGGCCCAAGGCGGGUUAAGGCGGUCCAAGGCGUCUUGGCGGCCCAAGGCGGUCCAAGACGUCUUUGCGGCUCUAAGCGGGUCAAGAUGGCACUAGGCGGGUCAAGGCGGCCGCUUGGCGGGCCUAGGCAGGUCAAGGGGGCCCCUUAGCGGGUCUAGGCAGCCCCUUAACGACUUUAGACGGGUGAACACAGCCUCUUGGCGGCCCUAAGAGGGUCAAGGCGGCCUAAGGCGGGUUAAGACGAGCCAUGACGGGUCAAUGCGGCCCCUUCGUGGCCCUAAACGGGUUAAGGCGACCCUAGGAGGUCAAGGCGGCCCCUUGGUGGCCUUAGAUAGGUGAAAGCGGCCCCCUUGGCGGCCCUACGCGGCCUCUUGGUGGCUCUAGGAGGGUCAAGGCGGCCCUAGGCGGGUCUAGGUGGCCAUUUGGUGGCCAUAGACGGAUCAAGGCGGCCCCUUGGUGGCCAUAGACGGGUCAAGACGGCCCCUUGGUGGCCCUAGACGGGACUUGGCAGCCACUUGUGAUAAGUCCAUUUUAUGCAACGUUCUUAAUGUAUUUCCGACCCUAUUUAGGUAUGUAAUUCCUUUAACAAUAUUCAUUUUAACUUAGUUUGUGUUUUUAGGUCGCAAAUAAAACCGAGGAGCACAAAAGAAGCAAAAGAGGAGAAAUCUUGAAGGAAAAGGAAUCCAUAUGGCACAAGGAAAGAAAUCAGAAAUCUACCAGGAAUUGUCAGUCAACUUCAACAGAGGAUUGUGAUCAGCUCACAGUGAUUUAGGAGAUGAACUUUAUAUCAACAGAAAGCUAGAAGGGGAUGUUUGGUACCCAGGACUAUGUAACAUGGGCUUAUUUUUUAUAAGAGUCCUAGCUUCCUCAAGCCCCACUUAAAUCUUAAUAAAACCUGUCCCGUGUUUGGUGUUGUGCUAGACUGGAGAAGAAUGAAAUGUUUUUACAGAAGAACGAUGGCCUACGCAGAGAUCCAAACCCAGAACUCCGUCGUGAGAUCACCACCGGCCAUCACACAUAUCCAAUUUCAUCAGUCUCGCAUUCACCGACGUUCGUCUAGUCUUGAUCGAUCAUUAUGGAGAGAGAAUCAAACGCCGAAAAUCUAGCGAUCUCCGGCAAUACUCAACAAGAUCCGGCGGCUCAGGCGAUGUUUUAAGGUGCAUGAGGUAUGAAAUUUGAUGUAUUCAUCGUACUCUACAUGCAUGCUAGUAUCCAUGGUUUUUGAAUUCGAUUAUGAUUUGGGAGAAUUCGUCUUUGGGUUUUUCAGCCACCAUGGGUUCAACUGUUUACGGCUGUGCUUUUUGGGUUCGUCUGAUUCAGGUUCAAUUUUGUAUUUCGGGGCUUGUGUUAAGUUUCAAAAUUGCUGAAAGGUGUUGGGUAGAAGAUGUGGUGUUGGGUCCUGGUAAUAAGGAAUUUUGGAGAUUUUAGAAAACUCGAGUUUCAGAAGCUCGAAUUCCGGCUUGGGGAGGUCGGAGCUGAGAGGUUAAAGAUGCCGUUGAGCUGCGGCCAUUCAUUGCUCUGAGACUCUGAGGCUUUAGAAGAUGCGAAGUUAGCUCGAGAAAACAAAAGCUUCCAUAGUCCCAUGGUUUUUGGGCUGUCUAUGGAAGAAGGUCUAAAAGAGAAUUUGGGACUCUGUAUGCUCAUUUAAGAGAGUCCCUUUUGUUGCCAAACGUGGGAUUUCAGGGCUUAGACUAUGGAAGACAGUCCAGUCCAGUCCAAUCCCAUGUAACAAACGUGCACGAAGAGUCUAGUUUCCAGAACUUUUCGUGGAUCAUCAAUAGCUAUUUUGGAGAAGAAGUUAUGACCGUUUGAGUGACCGAAGGUCAGUCUGCCCGAAUUUCUGAUUUGGACCGAAAGUUUAAUUUCAAGGCCCAGACCACAUAGGCAAGCCCAUGGAUGACAAUUAGGGUUCUCUAACCCUAAUAACAGCUGCUCAUACAUAUAGGAGAAGUGGGAGACGCAAAAGAGAUCUCUUCUUGUACAUGAAAUUCAAUCCUCUCUGCCGUAGCUCUGCCUCUCCAAGGAUCUCUCCCAAUUCAGAAAAUCAUCCUCCUUGCCAUGCUCUAGGACUUCUCCAAAAGCAUAGCGUUACUCUUCUUUGUGCCGAGACUAUCCCUUGUUGUUCUUCAAGUGUUCUUGAGAUCAAAAAGUGUAAUCUAUGGUUCAAACUCUUGUUUUUAGGUUUUAUAUUUGUUAUUGUCGAAUUCCCUUAGAUGAUUUUAUGCAUUGGAGUUGGACUUUUAUUGAGAUUUAGUUAUUGCAUGAAAUUUUCAAAUUUAUAUGAUUGAGUUAUUCAUGUGUUUAUGACGUUUGUUUAACUUAGAUCAUGCCUACUAUUGUGUUAGAAAGUCUAUGAUUCCGGUUUAAUUCAAUAUGCUAAUUCGGCCAAGUUAGCAAAACCAUAAUUUAUGCUAGGCCUCUUCCGGUAAGUGUAGAUUAACAAGUGGUAAAAGUUGGGAUUCAUGUGAUAUGAGUUUCGAUUAAGAACAUAGAUUGCAUGUUAGGUUGUUAAGCCUCUUCCGGUAAACAAAUCUAAUAUGUUCGAGUUCAUCUUAGGCGGGCCAAGGCGGGUUUAUAUGGGUUAAGGCGGACCAAGGCGAGCCAAGGCGGCCCCUUAGCGACUCUAGGCGGGUAAAGUUAGCCCCUUGGUGGCCCUAAGCGGGUCAAGGCGCCCAUUGCCGACCUUAGGAGAGCCAAGGCGGGUCAAGGAGGGCCUACGCAAGUCAAGGCGGUCCUACACGAGUCAAGGCGGCCCAUUGCCUGCCCAAAACGGGCCUAGGAGGGUCAAGGCGACCCCUUGGCGAGUCAUGAUGGCCCCUAGGAGUGUCAAGGCGGCCCUAGGCGGGUCUAGGAGGGUCAAGGUAUCCAUUUGGCGAGUCAAGGCGUCCCCUUAGCUCCCUUAGAUGGGUCAAGGCGGCCCUAGGCGGGUCGAGGUGGUUCAAGGCCUCUCCUUGAUGGCCUUAGCGGGUUAAGGCGGGUCAAUGUGAACCAAGGCGGCCCAAGGUGGGCUCUAAGCGGCUGCUUGGCUACCCUAGGCAGGUAAGGGCGGGUCAAGGCGGCCCUUUGGCUACCCUAAGCGAGCCAAGGAGGGCCUAAGAGGGUCAACAUGGGUCAAGGCGGCCCUACACAGGCCUAGGAGGGUCAUGGUGAGUCAUUGUGGCCCAUUGGUGGCCCUAGGCGAGCCUAGGAAGGCCUAGGAGGAUUAAGGCGACCCUAAGCAAGUCAAAGAGGGUCAAGGCGGCCCUUUGGUGGCCUUCGACGGGUGACUGUGGCCACUUAGCGGCCCUAGCGUGGUCAAGACUAUCCCUUGGUGGCCCUAGAUUGGUUAAGCCGGCCUCUUGGCGACGUUAGGCGGGUUAAGGCGGAGUCUUGGCGGCCCUUGGUUGCCCUAGGCGGGUCAAGGCGGCCCUAAGAGGGUUAAGGCGACCUUUUGGCGGCCCUAGCCGGGUCAUGGCGGCCCUAGAUAGGUCAAGGUGCCCAUGGCGGCCUUAUGAGGGUUAAGGCAGGCCAUGGCGGCCCAUGAAGGACUAAGGCGGCCUAAGACGGGUUAAAACGGCCGAUUGGCGGCCCUAGGCAGGUCAAGGCGGCCCCUAAACGGGUCUAGGAGUGUCAUGGCGGCCCCUUGGUGGCCCUAGGCGAGCCUUGGAGGGCCUAGGAAGGUCUUGGCGGCCUUAGGCGGGUCUAGGAUGGUUAAGGCGGCCCCUUGGCGGCCUUAGCCGUGUGAAUGCAACCUCUUAGAGGGCCUAGUGGGGUCAAGACGUCCCCUUAGUUGCCCUAGAAGGGUUAAGGCGGCCUCUUGGCGGCCAAUACGGGUCAAGGCGGCCGCUUGGCGGCAUUAGGUUGUUCAAGGCAGCCUCUUGGCGGCCCUUUAGCUACCCUAGGCGAGCUUAGGAGGGUGAAGGCGGCAUUCGACGGGCCUAAGAGAAUCAUGGCGGUCCCUUGGUGGCCCUAGGUGAGCAUAGGAGGGCCUAGGAGGGUCAAGGCGGCCUCGUGGCAGCCUUAGACGGGUGCACGUGGCCUCUUGGAUCCCCUAGCGGUGUCAAGACGGCCCCUUGGUGGCCCUAGACGGGUCAAGGUGGGUCAAGACGGCUUCUUGGCGGCCCUACUCAAGUUAAGGUGGGUUAAGACGGCCCCUUGGCUACCUUAGGCGAGCCUAGGAGGGCCUAGGAGGUCAUGGCGGCCCAAGGCAGGUUAAGGCGGCUCUACACAGGUCAAGGCGGUUCUACGCGGGUCAAAGUAGGACAAGGCGGGCCUAGGAGGGCAUGGCGGCCCCUUGGCUGCACUAGGCGUGUCUAUAUGGGCCUAGGAGGGUCCAGGUAGCCCAAGGCAAGUUAAGGCGGCUCUAGAUGAGCCUAAGAGGGUCAUGGCGGUGAUAAGUGCGUUUUUACGCCAUGAUCUUAAUGGAUUUUCACCCCCAUUUACACUUUGUUUGUGCCUUAGUAUGUUUGUUUUUACUUAUUUUAGAGUCAAGAGGGUUUUUCUGUAGAGUUGUGACUACUAGUCGUUUUUAUACAGAAAAUUGCACUUAAAUGAUGAAAACCGUUUUUGGACUAUCACUUGGACGUUUUACCGUGAUUCGUUAUUGGGUUACCUUGUCAGUUUUGAUGUAUCUUGUUUAAAUGUGCAGAAGACAGGUACAUGAACGUUACGUAUCAAGAAUCAUGGUGAAUGGACUCAUGAAUGACAACAAGUGAGGCCACGGAAGAGGAAGGAACACUUCUAGACAUUGUUUUUGGUCUUGGACAGAAUCUGCCAGAAAACGUACAUCUACUUCGGAAAAUCAUAUCUCGAGAUCUAGGAGGAGUUAGAAGGCGUGCCACAUAUGGACUUAAAGCUGUGUGUGUCUAGUUUUCAACCUCACUUGGAUCGCAGCAAUCGGAGUUGAGACGAAGGAGUUAUGAUCAAAACAGUGGACAGAGGUCAGGCUGCAAAACUGGGCAGAAACUGCCUUAGUUGUCAAACGAGUUUUGGGAGAUGAUUCUUCAACAAAAGGGCUUCCCAAAUUUGACAAGAGGUGUAUCAAGAGCCUAAUGUAGUGUUGGGAAGCUGAACAAAAGGAGAAAGUUCGAAGAAGCAUCAAGGCAGCCUUGUUUNNNNNNNNNNNNNNNNNNNNNNNNNNNNNNNNNNNNNNNNNNNNNNNNNNNNNNNNNNNNNNNNNNNNNNNNNNNNNNNNNNNNNNNNNNNNNNNNNNNNNNNNNNNNNNNNNNNNNNNNNNNNNNNNNNNNNNNNNNNNNNNNNNNNNNNNNNNNNNNNNNNNNNNNNNNNNNNNNNNNNNNNNNNNNNNNNNNNNNNNNNNNNNNNNNNNNNNNNNNNNNNNNNNNNNNNNNNNNNNNNNNNNNNNNNNNNNNNNNNNNNNNNNNNNNNNNNNNNNNNNNNNNNNNNNNNNNNNNNNNNNNNNNNNNNNNNNNNNNNNNNNNNNNNNNNNNNNNNNNNNNNNNNNNNNNNNNNNNNNNNNNNNNNNNNNNNNNNNNNNNNNNNNNNNNNNNNNNNNNNNNNNNNNNNNNNNNNNNNNNNNNNNNNNNNNNNNNNNNNNNNNNNNNNNNNNNNNNNNNNNNNNNNNNNNNNNNNNNNNNNNNNNNNNNNNNNNNNNACACAGCAAACACAAGCACAGCCGAACCAUUCCUUGCCUCCACUGUAAUCUUCCACCAAUUUCCCUUUCAACCUUGCCGAACCUUAUAGGUAGGUUAAGGAUGAAGACAUCCAUGGUUUUAUGUUUGUAAUUACUGUGUAAGAACUUUGAGUUUAUUGAUAAAUAUUUUCUGGUUUUGGGUUUUAUAUGAUAUGUGUGAUUGUAUGAUCUUCUUUGUGACUUGAUUAUGAUUGUACAUGUUGUGUAACGGUUUAGUAUGCAUGUUAGGAUUAUUAAAGAAGUAAAGAAUCUGUGUUUAUGUGUUUAGUAAUUGUUAGGUUAAUUAAUCCUCACCUGAUCACGUAAUCGAACCCUAGGUCAAUUCAAAGUACACGAGUUAGCCAUUAGGGGGGAGUUUAAUAUGCCGUGGUAUUUUAGGUCGAGUUGAGCGCAAAGACAACUCGGUUCUAGGUGCUGCAUAGGGUAGGCAGGGUGAGUGAUUUGCAUGGGUUCGAGGAUGGGUGAUGCCAUUGCUAACGAGCAUGUCUCCAACGACUCGUGGACGGUAAGUGUUGCUUGAUUAGAUUGAGCGCAAAGACAAUUUAGUUAAGUAGUCACAUAGUUUUUGGUUGAGCGCAAAGACAACCUUAAACACAUGAGAAGUCUUAAGGGUUGGAAUUAACUUGCAAUUGUGAAAACAUAGAUAAGAUAAUACUUGCAUGCUAAUCGGAAUUUAUUUGUGAAGUGCUUACAACGUUGAAGUGACCAAACUUUGUAAUUAUUUGCCUUUGUUUUAUUUUCUUUGUUUUCUGCCGAUUUCAAUCCCCCAUUUUAUUCUUUAUGUAUAUAUUGUGUGAAUAUUUCUAAUGACUUUGUUUUGCAGAAUAAAUUCUUCCCUAGUGUCCCCGGCUAGAACGAUACCCUACUUACAUGUACUACAACUAUAGGGUUUUAAAUUGCACUAACGUCAUCUUUUGACAGGUCAGGCGGCCUCUUGGCGAGUCAUGGCUACCCCUUGGUGGCCCUAGGAGAGCCUUGAAGGGUCUGGGAGGGUCAAACUAGCCCCUUGGCGGGUCAAGGCUGUCCCUUGGCAGCCCUAGACUGGCAUAGGAGGGUCAUGGCGACCCCUUGGCGGCCUUAGACCGGUGAACAAGGCCCUUUAAUGGGCCUAGACGGGUGAACACGGCCCCUUGGCGGCCCUAGCCGGGUUAAGGCAGCCUCUUGGCGGCCCUAGAUGGGUUAAGCCGGCCUUAAGGGGUUAAGGUGGGCAAUGGCGGGUCAAUGCGGCCCCUUGGUGGCCCUAGACGGGUCAAGGCAGCCCUAGGCGGGUUAAGGCGGCCCCUUAGUGGCCUUAGAUAGGUGAAGGUGGCCUUGGCGGCCCUAGUUGGGGCAGCCUCUUGGAGGCCCUAAACAUGUCAAGGCAGCACUAGGCUGAUCAAGGGGGCCCUUUGGUGGCUAUAGACAGGUCAAGGUGGCCCAUUCGCAGCUUUAGGCGGGUCAAGACAGCCCCUUGGUGGCCCUAGAUGGGAUAUGACAGCCCCUUGGCAGGUCAAAUCGACCUUAGUUGGGUCAUGGCGCCUUAUGGCGGCCAUAGGUGGGUGAACGCGACCCCUUAGUGGCCCUAGUCGGGUUAAAGCGGCCUUAUGGCGGCCUUAGGUGGGUCAUGGCGCCCCUUUGGUUGCACUAGGUGUGCCUAGCAGGGUUGAGGAGGGUCAAGGUGGCCCAUUGGCGAACCUAGGCGGGUCAAGGCAGUCUCCUGGAGGCCCUAAACAGGUCAAGGCAGCCCUAAGCGGGUCAAGGCGGCCCCUUGGUGGCCAUAAACGGGUCAAGGCCGCCCAUUCGCGGCUUUAGGCGGGUCAAGACGGCCCCAUGGUGGCCCAAGACCGGACUUGGCAGCCUCUUGGCAAGUCAAGGCGGCCCUAGUUGGGUUUUGGCAAGCCAUAGGCGAGUGAACGCGGCCCCUUGGUGGCCUUAGUUGAGUUAAGGCGGCCUUUUAGUGGCCUUAGGUGGGUCAUGGCGCCCCCUUGGUUGCACUAGCUGUGCCUAGCAGGGUCGAGGAGGGUCAAGGCGGCCCCUUGACGACUCUAGACGGGUCAAGCUGGCCCCAUAGCGACUCUAGACGGGUCAAGGCGGCCGCUUAGCGGCCCUAGGCAGGUCUAGACGGCCCCUUGGCAGCCUUAAGUGGGUCAUGGCGCCCUCUAGGUGUGCCUAGCAGGGCCAAGGAGGGUCAACGCAGCCCAAGGCGGGUCAAGGCGACCCUAGACGGGCCUAGAAGGGUCAUGGCGACCCCAUUGGCAUGUCAUGACGGCCCCUAGGCGGGUCUAGAAGGGUCAAGGCGGCCCUAGGCGGGCCUACGAGGGUUAAGACGACCCAAGCUGGGUCAAGGCGGCCUUAGACGGGCCUAGAAGGGUCAUGGCGACCCCUUGGCGAGUCAUGGUGGCCCUAGGCGAGUCUUGGAGGGUCAAGGCGGCCCUAGACGGGUCUAGGAGGAUCAAAGCGGCCUAAGCGGGUCUAGCCAGCCUAAGUCGGGCCAAGGCUGGUCAAUGUGGGUUAAGGCGGAACAAGGCAGGCCAAGGCGGCUCCUUAACGACUCUAGGCGGUUAAGGUAGCCCCUUGGUGGCCCUAAGAGGGUCAAGACGACCCUAGGCAUGUCAACGAGGCCCCUUGGCGGCCCUAGGCUGGUCAUGGCGGCCCUACACGAGCCUAUGAGAGUCAUGGCGCGUGAUGGCGGCCUCUUGGUGGCCCUAGGCGAGCCUAAGACGGCGUAGGAGGGUUAAGGCGGCCUUAAGCAUGUCAAAGAGGGUCAAGGCACCCCCUUGGCAGGUUAAGGCGGCCCCUCGGUGGCCUUAGAAUGUGGCCACCUAGCAGCCCUAGCAGGGUCAAUGCGGUCCUUUGGUGGCCUUAAACGGGUCAAGUAGGCCUCUUGGCGACCUUACGAGGGUCAAAGCGGGCCAAGGCGGCCCUAGGCAGGUCAAGAGGGAGUUUUGGCGGCCCUUGGCUGCCCUAGGCGGGUCAAAGUGGCCCCUUGGCUGCCUUAGCCGGGUCAUGGCAGCCCCUUGGUGGCCCUAGAUGGGUUAAGGUGCCCUAUUGGCGGCCUAUGGCGGGUUAAGGCGGGUUAAGGCGGUUGCUUGGCGGCCCUAGGCAGGUCAAGGCGGCUCUAGGAGGUUCAAGGCGGUCCCUUGGUGGCCUUAAACUGGUGAACACGGCCCCUUAGCGGCUCUAGGCGAGCCUAGGAUGGUGUAGGAAGGUCAAAGUGGCCCUAGGUGGGACAAGGCGGCCCCUUGGUGGUCUUAGACUGGUGAACGCAGCCCCUUGGUGGCCCAAGGUGGGUCAAGACGGUCCGAGGUGUCGGGCGGCUCUAGGCAGGUCAUGGCGGCCCUAGGCGGGUCAAGGCGGGUUAAGGCGGGUCAAAGUGGUCCAAGGCGGCUCUAGGCAAGUCAAGGCGGUCCAAGGCAGCCCAAGGCGGGUUAAGGCGGCCGCUUGGCAGCUCUAGGCAGGUCAAGGCGGUCCAAGCCGGGUUAAGACUGGUCAAGGCGGCCCAAAGUGGGUCAAGACGGCCCUACAUGGGUCAAGGUGGCAGUAUGCGAGCCUAAGACGACCUAGGAGGGUCAAGGCGGCCCCAUGGUGGCCUUAAACAGGUGAGCGAGGGCCCUUGGCGGCUUUAGCGGGGUCAAGGCGGCCCCUUGGUGGCCUUAGGCAGGUCAAGGCGGCCCCUUGGCUAACCUAGAGGGCCUAAGAGGGUCAAGGCGGGUCAAGGCGGCCCUAGACGGGCUUAGGACGGUCAAGGUGACCGCUUGUCGAGUCUUGGCGGCCCUAGGCGGGUCUCGACGGGCCCUACGGAGGUCAAACAGCCUUAUGCGUGUAAAGGUAUCCCCUUGGAAGGUCAAGAUGUCCCCUUAGUGGCCCAAGGCGUGUCAAGGUAGCCCUUUGGCGGCCCUAGGCAUGUUAAGGGGGCCCCUUGGCUGGUCAAAGGGGUCAUCUUGGCCCCUUGGCGGCCUUAGACAGGUGAACGCGGCUCUUUGGCGGCUCUAGAUGGGUCAAAGCGGCCUUUUGGCGUCCAUAUGAGGGUCAAGAUGGCCCCACGGUGGUCUCUUGGUGGCCCCAUGGGGGCCAUAGGAGGGUCAAGGUGGGUUAAGAUGGCCCCACGGCGGGUCAUGGAAGGCCCUAGGAAGGUCAAAACAGCCCUAGGCAUGUAAAGGCAGCCCCUUAGCGGGUCAAGGCGGCUUCUUGAGGCGGGCCAUGGUGGAGUAAGUGGGGGCCAAAACGGGUAAAGGUGGCCCCUUGGUUGCCCUAGAUGGGUCAAUGCGGCCUCAUGACGGCCUAAAGAGGGUUAAGGCUACCGGGCCAUGGCGGGUCAAGGCAGUUGCUUAGCGGCCCUUGGAUGGUCAAGACGGCUCGUUGGCGCCCCCUUGACAACCUUAAGUGUGUCAUGGCACCCCCUUGGUUGCCCUAGGUGUGCCUAACAGGGUCAAGAAGGGACAAAGCCGGUCAAGGCGGCCACUUGGCGGCCCUAGGUAGGUUGAGGCGGGCCUAGGCAGGUCAAGGUGGCCCCUUGGCUGCCCUAGGCGGCUCAAAGCGGCACCUUGGCAGUCCUAGGUAGGUUAAGGCGGCCCUAGGCAGGUUAAGAGAGUCAAGGUGGCCCCUUAGCAACCUUAGACGGGUGAAGGCGACCCCUUGGCCACCCUAGGCGGGUCAAGGAGGCCGUUUAGCGGCCCCAGGAAGGUAAAGAUGGCCCCUCGGCGGCCCUAGGUGGGUCAUGGCGCCCGCCGAGGAGGGUCAAGGCGGGUUAAGGCGGGCUGAAGCGGGUCAAUGCGGGUUAAGGCGGCCAUAGACGGGUCAAAACGGCCCUAGACGGGCCUCGGAGGGUCAUGGUGACCCCUUGGCGAGUCAUGGCUAGGGCUGGGCACGGGACGGGAUGGGCCGGGAUUUAGUGAAUCCUAUCCCGUCCCAAAAAUAAAGGAACAGGAGGGGACGAGACAGGAAGGCAUUUUUUGAAAUUUGUCCCAUAUGUCCCGAUCCCAAACGGGAUCGGGAUCCCGACAAAUUAACCCUAAAACAACAACUGAAAAAUAUCUAAAAUCACACAAGCAAAAAAAAGAAUAUGAAUGAAAUUAAAAGUACUGAAAUCAACAAGAACAUAGGUGCAUAGGUGGUAAAUUACAUCCUAUUGUUAAAGUACUAAACAUCCCACAUUAAAAGUACUGAAUGAACUUGAAAAACUCAAACCAUAAUAUAUCAAACAUCAAUAGGACCAACAGCAGUGCCUUUUCCCUUUUGCUUUUGCUCUUGAAGGUGGAGGUGGACACGCAUUAGCUUUGCUAGUUGUUGUGCUCUCAUGCUCUGCAAAUGUACACAAGUAAAAGAUUAGUCAAGUCAAAGUUAUCAAAGUAAAAGAAAGAAAACAUUAAAACUUGCAAAUGUAUAUACCUAGCUCAACACCUUCAUAGAAUUCAUAGUUUUCAAUUGUGCAAUCAUCUAUAUCCUCUGCAAUAUCAUUACCAAGCAACCAAUUCUGGAUGCAAAUAAGUCCCUCAGCUGUUUUAGGAGUUAAUGAACUCCUAAAACAGUCAACUACUCUGCCCCCAGUUGAGAAAACUGACUCCGAGGCCACUGUGGACACUUGAAUUGAAAGAACAUCCCUAGCUAUUGCUGCCAAAACUGGAUACUUGAAUUGAUUGAGCUUCCACCAUAGUAGGAUGUCAAAGCAAUCUAAAUCAUCGAUGAGCUCCAAUGCAGCUUCCAAAUACUGAUCCACUUCUUGUUUUGCGACUGCCUCUUCAGUUUCUUGAACCACAUUCUUCCAAUUACUGAGCGGAUUGCUCCUUCUGUUAUUGGUGCUUCUAUUACUGCUAACAGUGCUUGAAGAACUUGGAGAUGGCUCCUUCUGUAGGUGUCUACCUCCAUCAACCACAAGCACAUACUAAAAAACAAUGCAUAAAUUAAUACAUAUUGAAAACAAUGCACUACUUAACGUUUAAAAGUUUAAAAUGAAAUAAUAAACUAAAAUUAAUACCUGAUCAUAGAGAGCAUAUAGAAGGUUUUUGAUCUCCCUGGUUCUUCUCUCCACCUCCUCAUCACCUAAACCUUCUUGGUUAAAGGUGUAAGUCACAUUCUUUGACUUUUCCAUCGACAUCUUUCGUAGUUUCAAUCUUUUCAUACUCUAUAAAAUGGUCCCAAACAAAGUUUCGUUUUACACCUGAUGUAUAUUUGAUAACAAUAACCAAAUAACCAUAAAUAAUUAGUCCCAAAGUGAACCUUGGUGAGAUUUACUCACCUAAUUACUCCCCCUGCGUCUUCACAAAAACACAAGGAACAAGCUCACUAACAACUCCACAAGCUACCUAAUUAACACAAUUAAUAACCUUAGUAACCAUUCAAACUAAAAUGUAACACUUGCCCUCUUAACCCAAAACUUAAAUCGAGGGUUUGCCCAAAGAAGGACAACCUUCCAAGGUCGUUGAAUUUAACGACCCAAAACUGCUGCUUCUAAUUCUCAAACUUCCAAAGUUCACAACAUCCCAAAACACCUAUGAAUAACAUAGAACCUAGCAUGCAAUCCUUACUCAUAACCUAGAAUUUCCACAACUCAACAUGCUCACAACAACAAGAGUUAGCUAACCAAAGAAACUAAAGCUACAACACUACCGGACGUGCUGCCACGCACCACCACAGGCGGCGACGAGUGGGCCCCACGCGCCACCCCAUCAACUUCAAAACUGAGCAAGCUCCCAACAACAAACUUGUAGGUCACAUCAAAUGGAACACUUUUCAUACCUGUGGCCAAAGCCAAUUCGGCCGGAAACGUCGCCAGAAAGAAACAAGGAGCACUUUGAACUCAAAACUCCACGCUUUGAAUUGGGCUUCAAGGCUAGUAUCAUUAUGCUCAGAAUGACAAGAACUUCCAGAAAUAGGUAGCCUCAAACCUCGAUGUCGCCUGAAUCAGUAGUAACUUGCGGGCCUUGCUGCGCCGUGCAUAGUGCUUCAUAAGGUGUGAGGCUGGUAUGAAUAGAAAGAAGGGAGUGAGAGCUUUCCAACGAUACCAAGCACGCCUAAAUCCGUCGCCGGAUGGCCGAGUUAUGGCGAGGGUUUUUCUGCAAUUUCAGGGUUUCUAAAAAUAACCCACACAUUUUUCUAUUUAUACACCUUCUAAAAUCGGAAACUAACUUUCUCUGACCAUAACUUUUUCAUACAACAUCCAUUUUACGCGUGUCUCGUGUCUACGAACUCUACAACUUUCAUGAAGAAAGAUUUUGAAAAUAACUUACAGAUAAGAAAGUCAACUUUUGGCCUCUUAAAAGUCAAGGUACCUUAAUAAAAUUGACUCUCGAAACUUCAAUUUCACACAUACAAAACGAAAGGAAUUUCCCACAAAUAAUCCUUCAUUAAUUUUGGAAAUAAUACCGGGAAAAUAAUAUGAAAAUCUGGGGUAUUACAAGGAGGGUUAAGGCGGCCGCUUAGCGGCCCUUGGUUGGUCAAGACGGACCGUUGGAGGCCCCUUGACGGCCCUAGGUGUGCCAUGGCGCCCCUUUGGUUGCCCUAGGUGUGCCUAGCAAGGCCGAGGAAGGUCAAGGAGGGACAAAGGCAACCCCUUGGCGGUUGAAGGCAACCCCUUGGCGGCCCUAGGUAGGUUGAGGCGGCCCUUUGGCGGCCCUAGAUAGGUUAAGGCGGGCCUAGGCAUGUCAAGGCGACACCUUGGUUGCCCUAGACGGCUUAAGGUGGCACCUUGGCGGCUCUAGGUAGGUUAAGGCGGCCCUUUGGUGGCCCUAGACGGGUUAAGGCGAGCCUAGGCAAGUCAAGGUGGCCUCUUGGCUGCCCUAGGCGGGUCAAGACGGUACCUUGGCGGCCCCAGGCACUCCCUUGGCGACACUAGGCGGGCCUAGGAGGGCCAAGGAGGGUCAAGGUGGCCCCUUGGCGACCCUAGGCUGGUCAAGGAGGCCGCUACUGAAGAUGGCCCCUUGGCGGUCCUUGGUGGGUCAUGGCGCCCCUAGGUGUGCCUAGCAGGGCCAACGAGGGUCAAGGCGGGCGAAAAUGGGUCAAGGCGGCUCCUUGGUGACCCUAGACGGGCCUCGGAGGGUUAUGACGACCCAUUGGCGAGUUAUGACUGCUUCAAGGCGGCCCUUGAUGGGCCUAGGAGGGUCAAGGCAUCUGUUUAGCAGGUCAAGGCGGCCCCUUGACGCCCCUAGAUGGGUCAAGGUGGCCUAAGACGGCCCAAGGCAGCUCUUUGGCGACUCUAGGCAGCCCCUUGGCUGCCCUAGGCAAGCCUAGGAGGGCCAAAGAGGGUUAAGGCAGGUUAAGGCGGCCCAUUGGGGGCCCUAGUCAAGCCCAGGAGGAUCAAGGCGGCGCAUUGGCGGCCCUAGUCGGGCCUAGGCUGGUCAUGACGGCCCCUUGGUGGCCCUAGGCGGGUCUAGGCGGGUUAAGGCGGCCUCCUGGCGGCCCUAGGAGGGUCAAGGCGGUCCAAGACCUGUCAAGGAAGCCCAAGGCCGAUCUAGGAGGGUGAAGGCGGCCCCUUAGCAGGUCAAGUUGGCCACUUAGCGGCCCUUGGCAGCCUUAGGUGGGUCAUGGCUCCCAAUGUCGAGCCGAUAUUGUUAUAUGAUUUUUCAAAAUCAAUAUGAAGACCGAGAAUGCGACUUAAAUAUUGACCUUAUGUAAUGGAAAAAAUGUGUUUUCCAACAAAAACCUCUUAAGUUAUGAAUGUCUAACCUAAUAGGAGCCUACUCAUGAAUCUUCUCCAACUUUAAUUUUUUCGUCAAAAACUUGUUUUUCCUCAGAAACUGUGGGUUAUAGUACACAUUUUUCGGGUCAAAAACGCAUGUUCUAACUUUUUUCACAAAAAAUUUCUCACAUUUUAGUCCUGAUGUUUUGGCACUUCUCGAACUGACAGAACAAAAAAAUGUCGAGCCGAUUUUUUUAUAUGAUUUUUCAAAGUCAAUAUGAAGACCGAGAAUGCGACCCUUUAGCAUCCCUAGGAGGCCCCUUGGCGGGUCAUAGCGGCCCUAGGCGGGUCAAGACAGCCCCUUGGCGUCUUUAGGCGGGUCAUAGCAGCCCCUUGGUGGUCCUAGGCGGGUUAAGGCGGAACCUUGGCGGCCCUAGACGGGUCAAGGUGGCCCCUUGACUGCCAUUGGCGGGUCAUGGCGGCCCAUUGGCGUCCCUAAACGAGUCAAGGGGGGCCCUACAAGGGUCAUAGCGGUCCUUGGCGGGUCAAGGCGACCCUUAGACGUGUGAAGGCGGCCAGGCGGCCCCUUGGCGGGUCAAGGUGGCCAUAAGCGACCCUAGGUAGGUAAAGGCAGCUACUUUGCGGUCCUAGGCGGGUCAAGGUGGCCCUUUGGUCUCCCUAGGUCAAGAUGGCCGCCAAGGGGGGUCAUGGCGACCCAUUGGCGAGUCAUGGCGGCUUCUUGGUGGCCCUAGGCGGGCCUUGGAGGGUCAAGGAGGCCCUAAACGGGUCUAGGAAAGUCCAAGCGGCCCAAGGCAGGUCAAGCGGGCCUAAGGCAAGCCAUGGCCAGUCAAUGUGGGUCAAGGCGAACCAUGGCGGGAUAAGGCGGCCUCUUAGCGAAUCUAGACGAGUUAAGGCGGGCCAUUUCUGGACCUAGGAGAGCCAAGGCGGGUAAAGGCGGCCCAUUGCCGGCCCUAGACGAGCCUAAGAGGGUCAUGGUGAACCCUUGGCGAGUCGUGGUGGCCCCUUGGUGGCCCUAGGCGGGCCUAGGAGGGUCAAGGCGGCCCUAGGUGGGUCUAGGAGGGUCAAGGCAGCCCUUUAGCGAGUCAAGGCGGCCCUUCGGCUGCCUUUGACGGGUCAAGACGGCCCUUGGUGCCCCUAGAUGGGUCAAGACGGCCUCUUGGUGGCCCUAGGCGAGCCUAGGACGGCCUAGGAAGGUCAAGACGGCCAUAGGCGGGUCUAGGAGGGUCAUGGCGGCACUUUGGUGGCUCUAGCGGGUCAAGGCAAGCCAAGGCGGCCCCUUGGCGGCGUUAGACGGGUGAACGCAACCCCUUGGCGGCCCUAGCGGGGUUAAGGCGACCUCUUGGCGGCCCUAGGAAGGUUAAGGUGGGCUCUACGCGUCGCUUAGCGGCCCUAGGUAGAUAAAGGCGGGUCAAGGCUGCCGCUUGGCGAACUUAGGCAGGUCAACGAGGCCCCUAGGCGAGUCAAAGAAGUCAUGGCAGACCUAUGAGGGUCAUAGCGGCCCCUUGGUGGCCCUAGGCUAGGAGGGCUACGGCGGUCCUAAGCGGAUCAAAAAGGGUCAAGGCAUCCCUUUAGUGGCCUUAGACGGGUGAACAUGGCCACUUGACGGCCCUGGCGGGGUUAAGGCGGGUCAAUGGUCCAAGGCGGCACUAUGUGGGUCAAAGUGGGUUAAGGCGGCCCUAGACGGGUCAAGGCGGCCCCUUUGCAGCCCUAGACGAGCCUUGGAGGGUCAUGGCGGCACUUAGUGGGUCAAAGAAGGUUAAGGUGGGUCAAGGCGGUCUAAGGCGGGUCAAGGAGGCCGCCAGAUCAAGGCGGCUCAAGGUGGGUUAAGGCGGGUUAAGGCGGGUUAAGGCGGUCUUACACAGGUCUAGACGGCCCUAGACGGGUUAAGACGGCCUUUUGGCUAUCCUAGGAGGGUUAAGGCGGCCCCUUGGUGGCCCUAGGCGAGCCUAGGACGGCCUAGGAGGGUCAAGGCGGCCCCUUGGUUGGCCUAGGCAGCGUCUUGGCGGCCCUAGGCAGUCAAGGCGGCCCAAGGGGGGUUAUGGCGGGUUAAGACGGGUCAUGGCAGUCCAAGGCAUCUUAGCGGCCCAAGGCGGGUCAAGACGGCCAAUUGGCGGCCCUAGGCAAGUCAAGGGCCGCCAAUCCCUAAACCCUAAACCCUAAACCCUAAACCCUAAGCGAGCCUAGGAGGAUCAAGGUGGUCCCUUGGCGGCCCUAGACGGGCCUAGGAUGGUCAUGGCUACCUCUUGGCAAGUCAUGGCGUCCCCUUGGUGGCUCUAGGUGGGUCUCGACCGGCCCUAGGAAGGUUAAACAGCCUUAUGCGUGUAAAGACAGCCUCAUGGCGGGUCAAGAUGUCCCCUUAGCGGCCCAAGGCGUGUCAAGGCGGCCCCUUGACGGCCCCUUGAUGGGUCAACUCAGCCCUUGGCGGCCUAAGACGGGUGAACGCGGCCCUUUGGAGGCCCUAGAUGCGUCAAGGCAGCCUCUUGGUGCCCUUUGGUGGCCCUAGAUGCUUCAAGGCGACCCUAGAAGGGUCAAAGUGGCCCCAUGGCGGCCCUAAGCAUCCCUUUGGCAGGUCAAGACGUUCCCUUAGCGGCCAUAGGCAGGUCAAGACGGCCUCUUGGUGGGCCAUGGCGGGUCAAGUGGGGGCCAAAACAUGUGAAGAUGGUUGCCCUAGAUGGGUCAAGGCGACAUCUUGCCGGCCCUAAGAGAGUUAAGGCGGUCGGGCCAUAGCAAGUCAAAGCGGCCGCUCAGCAGCCCUAAAAUGGUCAAGACGGCCCGUUAGCGGCCCCUUGACGGCCCUAGGUGGGUCAUAGUGCCCCCUUGAUUGCCCUAGGUGUGCCUAACAGGGCCAACGAGGUCAAGGAGAGACAAAGCGGCCACUUGGCUACCCUAGGUAGGUCAAGGCGGCUACUUGGCGGCCCUAGGCAGUUCAAGGCAGCCCCUUGGAGGCCCUAGAUAGGUUAAGGCGGCCCUAGAUGGGUUAAGGCGGGCCUAGACAGGUCAAGGUAGCCCCUUGGCUGCCCUAGGCAGCUCAAGGCGGCACCUUGGCCACCCUAGAUAGGUUAAGGCAGCCCUAGGCAGGUUAAGGCAACCCUUUGGCUACCCUAGACGGGUUAAGCCGGGCCUAGGCAGGUCAAGGCGGCCUCUUGGCUGCCCUAGGUGGGUCAUGCCGGCACCUUGGCGGCACUAGGCGGGCCUAGGAGAGCCAAGGAGGGUCAAGGUGGCCCCUUAGCAGCCUUAGACGGGUGAAGGCGACCCAAGGCAGGUGAAGACGGCCCCUUGGCGGCCCUAGGUGUGUCAUGGCGCCCCCUAGGUGUGCCUAGCAGGGCCGAGGAGGGUCAAGGCGGGCCAAAGCGGGUCAAGGCUAGUCAAGGCGGCCCCUUGGCGGCCCUAGACGAGCCUCGGAGGGUCAUGGCCACCAUUUGGCGAGUCAUGGCGGCUUCAAGGCUACCCUAGGCGGGUAUAAGCACACCCAAAUGGAAAAAGCCGGAGGCCCAAAAAAAGUGAAACUGGGCAGAAACUUUUUUGGCUCGAAUUAGGUGAAACUUGAAGUGAGGGACAAUUCCUCAUAUUUUUUUUUUAAACUAAGGUUUCUGAUGUCAAUAUGAGAAGAAUUGAAGAGAACGUAAUCUUAGAAAGUCACUCAAUACCAAUUAAAACAGAAAUUUCAACAGCAUCACAAAACACGGCACGUGUGUGUUUAUUUAGUCCCAAUCGUGAGUAAAUUGAUAAAAGACACGCAUUUUUGAUAGCUAGAAUGGUUUACUAUAUGUUAGGAGGUGUCUGAACAGAAAAAGCCGGAUGCCCAAAAAAAGUUAAACUGGGCAGAAAUUCGUAUGCUAUGGCAAGAGGUUUUGGCUCGAAUUGGACGAAACUUGAAAUGAGAGACAAUACCUCAUUUUUUUUCGAAACUAAGGUUUCCGAUGUCAAUAUGAGAAGAAUUGAAAAGAACAUAAUCUUAAAAAGUCACUCAAUACCAAUUAAAACAGCAAUUUCAAAAGCUUUAUAAAACACGGCAGGCGUGAGUUAUUUAGGCCCGAUCGCGAGUAAAUUGGUAAAUGACACUGAUUUUUAAGGCUAGAAUGGUUAACUAUAUGUUAGGAGGUGUCUGUAACCACCCUUGAACAAAAAAGCCGGAGGCCCAAAAAAAGUGAAAUUGGGCAGAAUCUCGUGUGUUAUAGUGAGGGGUUUUGGCUCUAAAUGGGUGAAAUUUGAAAUGAGGGACAAUACCUCAUUUUCAUUUAAUAAUAAGGAUCCAGGUGUCAAUAUGAAAAAAUUGAAGAGAACGGAAUCUUGGAAAGUCACUCAAUACAAUUUAAAACUGUAAUUUCAACAACUUUACAAAACACGGCACGCGUGAGUUUAUUUAGGCCCGAUCGCGAGUAAAUUGAUAAAAGACGCGCAUUUUUUGAGCUAGAAUGGUUCACUAUAUAUUAGGAGGUGUUUGUAAGCACACCCGAACGGAAAAAGUCAAAGGCCUAAAAAAAUGUGAAACUGGGCAGAAACUCGUGUGCUAUAGCAAGGGGUUUUAGCUCGAAUUAGGUGAAACUUGAAAUGAGGGACAAUACCUCAUUUUCUUUUGAAACUAGGGUUUCCGAUGUCAAUAUGAAAAGAAUUGAAGAGAACAUAAUCUUAAAAAGUCACUCAAGACCAAUUAAAAUAGCAAUUUUAACAACUUUACAAAACACGGCAGAUAUGAGUUAUUUAGGCCCGAUCGCAAGUAAAUUCAUAAAAGAAAUAGAUUUUUGAAGGUAGAAUGGUUCAAUAUAUUAUAUAUGUUAGGAGGUGUCUAUAACCACACAUGAAAGGAAAAAGCCAGAGUCCCAAAAAAAGUGAAAUCGGGCAGAAUCUCGUGUGUUAUAGUGAGAGGUUUUGGCUCUAAUUGGGUGAAAUUUGAAAUGAGGGACAAUACCUCAUAUUCAUUUAAUAAUAAUUAAGGAUCCCGGUGUCAAUAUGUAACACCCUGACCUAGGUGUUAAAAAAAAUAAAUGAAUAAAAUAAAUAAGGGAAUCCUAAAUCGAUCUCAAAAUCAAACAAAAACAACAAACAAACAUUUUUGACGCGUUUGGAACCUAAAUUUUUAUUUUGUUAAUUUACGGCUGCACCCAACACUUAAUCGGGCUGCCUACGUACCCUUUUAAAGGGAUCAAGCCACUCGUAGUUCAACAUAAAACAAGGAAGCAUACUCAAACUCAAAAACAGUGUGCAAGAUGCCGUCUUUGACAUCAAUUUCUACCCACUCAACUCCAACCAAAAUUACUGAACCCUAGCCUAUUUUAAAGAUGGUACUACAGGCUUUAAAUACAUAGCUUGAGUUUUGAAAACAAAGCCCUGGAUAGAAAGUUAUGAUCUUGCAAAGUUGGAGCAAAAUCUGAAAAUCCAGAAAACUCAGUUUUGCUGAGUCUGCUAUUGUUUUUGACAAGCUAUUUGUCACACCAAAAUGUAACCAAAACCUAUGAAAUUUAUCACACACAAUGAUGGAUAUAUGAGAUUUACCAAGGUAUUUUCAGAUUUCAAAACAAAGGCCUGAGCUGAAAGAUAUCAUGCCUCAAAGUAGGCAAGAAAAUCAGCUUUUCUGCAGAAUUCUGAAAAUUUACAGCAAGAACAAGACUUGGUUUUGGAAGCUUUAAUUCGACUUUUGAAGUAACAAAAACAAGUUCUAAAGCUUCAGAACAGAAAGCAACAGACUUCCAGAACACAAAAAUCAUCUUAAAACAUAACAAACAAGGAAUCAAAAUGACCCAAAAAUUUACUCUAGACACCCAAACUCUGGACAGCAAAACAACAAGGUUACUUCCAACCNNNNNNNNNNNNNNNNNNNNNNNNNNNNNNNNNNNNNNNNNNNNNNNNNNNNNNNNNNNNNNNNNNNNNNNNNNNNNNNNNNNNNNNNNNNNNNNNNNNNNNNNNNNNNNNNNNNNNNNNNNNNNNNNNNNNNNNNNNNNNNNNNNNNNNNNNNNNNNNNNNNNNNNNNNNNNNNNNNNNNNNNNNNNNNNNNNNNNNNNNNNNNNNNNNNNNNNNNNNNNNNNNNNNNNNNNNNNNNNNNNNNNNNNNNNNNNNNNNNNNNNNNNNNNNNNNNNNNNNNNNNNNNNNNNNNNNNNNNNNNNNNNNNNNNNNNNNNNNNNNNNNNNNNNNNNNNNNNNNNNNNNNNNNNNNNNNNNNNNNNNNNNNNNNNNNNNNNNNNNNNNNNNNNNNNNNNNNNNNNNNNNNNNNNNNNNNNNNNNNNNNNNNNNNNNNNNNNNNNNNNNNNNNNNNNNNNNNNNNNNNNNNNNNNNNNNNNNNNNNNNNNNNNNNNNNNNNNNNNNNNNNNNNNNNNNNNNNNNNNNNNNNNNNNNNNNNNNNNNNNNNNNNNNNNNNNNNNNNNNNNNNNNNNNNNNNNNNNNNNNNNNNNNNNNNNNNNNNNNNNNNNNNNNNNNNNNNNNNNNNNNNNNNNNNNNNNNNNNNNNNNNNNNNNNNNNNNNNNNNNNNNNNNNNNNNNNNNNNNNNNNNNNNNNNNNNNNNNNNNNNNNNNNNNNNNNNNNNNNNNNNNNNNNNNNNNNNNNNNNNNNNNNNNNNNNNNNNNNNNNNNNNNNNNNNNNNNNNNNNNNNNNNNNNNNNNNNNNNNNNNNNNNNNNNNNNNNNNNNNNNNNCAUAACAACUACAUAAGAUGAAUACAUAACACGUAUGUAUUAACAACGACUUACAUACUGCUAUUGCUCCUUCAUACUAACAGAACACAAAAGCACUCAACUUUCCAAUUUCUGGAAUUCAAGCACUCAAAUCAAUUCAAUCUCAAGUUUGAAUCCAAAAAUGAAUACAAGAACACUAUUGUUCUUCAUUCCAAACAACACAACACAAUCCUUCUCCAAUUCAUCUAAUUCCAACAUAUAUAGCAGUCACAAACAUGCUCAGAGAUUCGUAACUACUGGAAAUCAUGAAACAUAGAGGGAAACACUAUCGCUGCCGCCGUUCCGCUGUGUGUACAGUGACACUCACGGCGGUCACUCCCUGCCAAAAUCCCAAUUUCUUCCAAACCCCAACCAAUCUCAAUUUCAAUUAUAUAAACAGGUUAAGCUCAAAGAAUAGACCAACUUUGAUACCUGAGUCAAACUCGGAGGUCGCCGGAAAACGGAGAACCCUCGCCGGAAAAAUCCCAGAACUUCUUCUAUUCGAUUCUCCCUCCUCCGAGCUUCUCUUCGAAAACCAGGAACAUGGAAAGGUUCCUGAGAUCGAGAUGAAGCUAUCCAUACCAGUGAGAGGCGUCGACGCUGCCGGAAUCAGAGACUUGCCGGCAAACACAGUCUCUCUUCUCCUUCUUCGAUUCUUCUUCUCCAGAGCUCCACUCUUCAAACUGGAAUCACAGGGAGGUCGGGAAGGACAAGAUGAAGCCAUCGCCACUAAUCUUCCACCACGCGGUCGCCGGAGGACGAAGAAAAAUUCGGGUUGACCCGUUAACUCUGUUCGGGUCGAGAAUGACCCGGUCUGGGUCUGAACUCAUUUUCCUCCUCCCUCUCCCGCACCUCUCUCCCGAACCUUCCUUUGCUUUUUAAUUUCUUGCUUAGGUCGGUUUAACCGAUCCCUCCAGAACCUUCCUCUCUCUCUCUCUNNNNNNNNNNNNNNNNNNNNNNNNNNNNNNNNNNNNNNNNNNNNNNNNNNNNNNNNNNNNNNNNNNNNNNNNNNNNNNNNNNNNNNNNNNNNNNNNNNNNNNNNNNNNNNNNNNNNNNNNNNNNNNNNNNNNNNNNNNNNNNNNNNNNNNNNNNNNNNNNNNNNNNNNNNNNNNNNNNNNNNNNNNNNNNNNNNNNNNNNNNNNNNNNNNNNNNNNNNNNNNNNNNNNNNNNNNNNNNNNNNNNNNNNNNNNNNNNNNNNNNNNNNNNNNNNNNNNNNNNNNNNNNNNNNNNNNNNNNNNNNNNNNNNNNNNNNNNNNNNNNNNNNNNNNNNNNNNNNNNNNNNNNNNNNNNNNNNNNNNNNNNNNNNNNNNNNNNNNNNNNNNNNNNNNNNNNNNNNNNNNNNNNNNNNNNNNNNNNNNNNNNNNNNNNNNNNNNNNNNNNNNNNNNNNNNNNNNNNNNNNNNNNNNNNNNNNNNNNNNNNNNNNNNNNNNNNNNNNNNNNNNNNNNNNNNNNNNNNNNNNNNNNNNNNNNNNNNNNNNNNNNNNNNNNNNNNNNNNNNNNNNNNNNNNNNNNNNNNNNNNNNNNNNNNNNNNNNNNNNNNNNNNNNNNNNNNNNNNNNNNNNNNNNNNNNNNNNNNNNNNNNNNNNNNNNNNNNNNNNNNNNNNNNNNNNNNNNNNNNNNNNNNNNNNNNNNNNNNNNNNNNNNNNNNNNNNNNNNNNNNNNNNNNNNNNNNNNNNNNNNNNNNNNNNNNNNNNNNNNNNNNNNNNNNNNNNNNNNNNNNNNNNNNNNNNNNNNNNNNNNNNNNNNNNNNNNNNNNNNNNNNNNNNNNNNNNNNNNNNNNNNNNNNNNNNNNNNNNNNNNNNNNNNNNNNNNNNNNNNNNNNNNNNNNNNNNNNNNNNNNNNNNNNNNNNNNNNNNNNNNNNNNNNNNNNNNNNNNNNNNNNNNNNNNNNNNNNNNNNNNNNNNNNNNNNNNNNNNNNNNNNNNNNNNNNNNNNNNNNNNNNNNNNNNNNNNNNNNNNNNNNNNNNNNNNNNNNNNNNNNNNNNNNNNNNNNNNNNNNNNNNNNNNNNNNNNNNNNNNNNNNNNNNNNNNNNNNNNNNNNNNNNNNNNNNNNNNNNNNNNNNNNNNNNNNNNNNNNNNNNNNNNNNNNNNNNNNNNNNNNNNNNNNNNNNNNNNNNNNNNNNNNNNNNNNNNNNNNNNNNNNNNNNNNNNNNNNNNNNNNNNNNNNNNNNNNNNNNNNNNNNNNNNNNNNNNNNNNNNNNNNNNNNNNNNNNNNNNNNNNNNNNNNNNNNNNNNNNNNNNNNNNNNNNNNNNNNNNNNNNNNNNNNNNNNNNNNNNNNNNNNNNNNNNNNNNNNNNNNNNNNNNNNNNNNNNNNNNNNNNNNNNNNNNNNNNNNNNNNNNNNNNNNNNNNNNNNNNNNNNNNNNNNNNNNNNNNNNNNNNNNNNNNNNNNNNNNNNNNNNNNNNNNNNNNNNNNNNNNNNNNNNNNNNNNNNNNNNNNNNNNNNNNNNNNNNNNNNNNNNNNNNNNNNNNNNNNNNNNNNNNNNNNNNNNNNNNNNNNNNNNNNUUGGGCAGAAACUUGUGUGCUAUAGUAAGGGGUUUUGGCUCAAAUUGGGUGAAACCUGAAAUGAGGGACAAUACCUCAUUUUCUUUUAAAAUUAAGGUUCCCGAUGUCAAUAUGAGAAGAAUUAAAGAAAACGGAAUCUUGGAAAGUCACUCAAUUCCAAUUAAAACAACAAUUUCAAUAGUUUUACAAAACACGGCACGCGUGAGUUAUUUUGACCCGAUCGCGAGUAAAUUGAUAAAAGACAUGGAUUUUUGGACCUAGAAUAGUUCACUAUAUAUUAGGAGGUGUCUGUAAGCACACCCAAAAGCAAAAAGCCGGAGUCCUAAAAAAAGUGAAACUGGCUAGAAACUCGUGUGCUAUAGCAAGUGGUUUUGGCUCGAAUUGGGUGAAAUUUGAAAUGAGGGGCAAUACCUCAUUUUCUUUUGAAACUACGGUUUCCGAUGUCAAUAUGAGAAGAAUUAAAGAGAACAGAAUCUUGGAAAAUCACUCAAUACAAAUUAAAACACCAAAUUCAACAGAUUUACAAAUUAAACACGAUACUCGUGAGUUUAUUUAGGCCCGAUAGCGAAUAAAUUGAUAAAAUACACUGAUUUAAAGCUAGAAUGGUUCACUAUAUGUUAGGAGGUGUCUAUAACCACACCCGAACGGAAAAAGACGGAGGCCCAAGAAAAAUGAAACUGGGCAGAAAUUGAAGAAUUUCUUACUUGUGUGCUAUAGUAAGGGGUUUUGGCCCAAAUUGAGUGAAACUUGAAAUGAGGGACAAUAUCUCGUUUUCUUUUGAAACUAAGGUUUCCGAUGUCAAUAUGAGAAGAAUUGAAGAGAACGGAAUCUUGGAAAGUCACUCAAUACCAAUUAAAACACCAAAUUCUAUAGCUUUACAAAACACGACACGCGUGAGUUUAUUUAGGCCCGAUUGCGAGUAAAUUGAUAAAAGACACGCAUUUUUGAAGAUAGAAUGGUUCACUAUAUGUUAGGAGGUGUCUGUAAGCACACCCGAACAGAAAAAACUGGAGGCCCAAAACAAGUGAAACUAGGCUGAAACUCGUGUGUUAUAGCAAAGAGUUUUGGAUCGAAUUGGGUGAAAUUUGAAAUGAGGGGCAAUACCUCAUUUUCUUUGAAUAAUAAGGUUCCCGAUGUCAAUAUGAAAAGAAUUAAUUGAAGUGAAAGGAAUCUUGGAAAGUCACUCGAUACCAAAUAAAACAGUAAUUUCAACAACUUUAUAAAACACGGCACCCGUGAGUCUAUUUAGGCCCGAUCGCGAGUAAAUUUAUAAAAGACACACAUUUUUGAAGCUAAAAUGGUUCACUAUAUGUUAGCAGGUGUCUGUAAGAACACCNNNNNNNNNNNNNNNNNNNNNNNNNNNNNNNNNNNNNNNNNNNNNNNNNNNNNNNNNNNNNNNNNNNNNNNNNNNNNNNNNNNNNNNNNNNNNNNNNNNNNNNNNNNNNNNNNNNNNNNNNNNNNNNNNNNNNNNNNNNNNNNNNNNNNNNNNNNNNNNNNNNNNNNNNNNNNNNNNNNNNNNNNNNNUGCUAUAGCAAGGGGUUUUGGCUCGAAUUGGGUGAAAUUUGAAAUGAGGGGCAAUACCUCAUUUUCUUUCAAUAAUAAGGUUCGCGGUGCCAAUAUGAAAAUAAUUGAAGAGAAUGGAAUCUUGGAAAGUCACUCAAUACCAAUUAAAAUAGCAAAUUCAACAGCUUUCAAGAGACGGGUCAAGAUGGCCUUAGGCGGGCCUAGGAGGGUCAUAGCAUGUAAAGGCGUCCUCUUGGGGGCCCUAAACGGAUCAAGGUGGCCCCUUGGCAUCCCCAUGGCGGAUCAAGUCGGCCCUUUGGCUGCUCUAGGCGGGUCAAGGCGGCCCUACGAGGGUCAAGGUGGCCCUUUGGCGGCCCUAGCCGGGUCAAGACGGCCCCUUGGUGGCCCUAGAUGGGUCAAGGCGCCCUAUUCACGGCCCUAUGAGGGUCAAGACGGCCCAAGAUGGGUCAAGGCUAUCUUAGGAGGGUCAAGGUGGCCCCUUGGCGGGUUAAGGCGGCCAAAUGCGGGUUAAGGCUGGUCAUGCCAGUCUAAGGCCAGCCAAGGCAGCCUAAGGCGGGUCAAGGUGGCCGCUUGGUGGCCCCCUGGCUACUCUAGGCGAUUGGGGGAGGGUCAAGGCGGCCCUAAUUGGGUUAAGGCGACCUUACACAAGUCAAGGCAGCCCUACACGGGCCUUAGAGGGUCAUGGUGACCACUUGGCGAGUCAUGGCUGCCCCAUGGUGACCCUAGGCGAGCCUAGGAGGGCUAGGAAGGUCAAGGCAGGUCUAGUAGGGUCAAGGCAACCCCUGGCGGGUCAAGGUAGCGCCUUAGACGGGUGAACGCUGCCCCUUGGCUACCGUAAUGGGGUCAAAUGCGGCCUCUUAACGGCCCUAAACAGGUAAAGGCGGCCCCUUGGCGGCUUUUGGCGAGUCAAGGUGGCCCUAGGAGGGUCAAGGCGACCAAGGCAGGUUAAGGCUAGUCAUGGCGAUCCAAGGCGGCGCAAGGCGGGUCAAGGCGGUCGCUUGGCGACCCUAGGCAAGUCAAGGCAGUCCCUUGGCUACCCUAGGCGAGCCUAAGAGGGCCUAGAAGGGUCAAGGCGGCCCAAAGCGGGUCAAGGCGGCCCUAGAUGGGCUUAAGAGGGUCAGGGCGUCCCCUUUGUGAGUCAUGGCGGCCCCUUGGUGGCCAUAGACGAGCCUAGGAGGGUCAAGACUGCCCUUGGUGGGUCUAGGAGGGUCAAGGCAGCCCUUUGGUGAGUCAAGGCGGCCCCUUGGCGGCCUUAGACGGGUGAACGCGGCCCCUUGGCGGCCCUAGCGGGGUGAAGGCGGCCUCGUAGCAGCCCUAGGAGGGUCAAGGCGGGUCAAUGCGGGUCAAGCCGGCUCUAGGCGGGUCAAGACGGCCACUUGGCGACCCUAGGCAUGUAAAGGCGGGACAAUGUGAGAUAAGGCAGGUCAAGGUGGCCCUAGGCGGGUCAAGGCAGCCCUAUGGAAUACCUCAUUUUCUUUUAAAAUUAAGGUUCCCGAUGUCAAUAUGAGAAGAAUUGAAGAGAACAGAAUCUUCGAAAGUCACUCAAUUCCAAUUAAAACAAUAAUUUCAAUAGUUUUACGAAACACGGCACUCGUGAGUUAUUUUGACCCGAUCGCGAGUAAAUUGAUAAAAGACAUGGGUUUUUGGAGCAAGAAUGGUUCACUGUAUAUUAGGAGGUGUCUGUAAGAACACCCGAACAGAGAAAGCCGGAAGCCCAAAAAAGUGAAACUGGGCAGAAACUCAUGUGCUAUAGCAAGGGGUUUAAUUGGGUGAAACUUGAAAUGAGAGACAAUACCUCAUUUUCUUUUGAAACUAAGGUUUCCGAUGUCAAUAUGAAAAGAAUUGAAGAGAACAUAAUUUUAAAAAGUCACUCAAUACCAAUUAAAACAGCAAUUUUAACAGCUUUAGAAAACACAUCAGAUGUGAGUUAUUUAGGCCUAAUCGCGAGUAAAUUGAUAAAAGACAUAGAUUUUUGAAGCUAGAAUGGUUCAAUAUAUGUUAGGAGGUGUCUAUAAGCACACCAGAACGGAAAAAGCCGGAGUCCUAAAAAAAGUGAAACUGGCUAGAAACUCGUGUGCUAUAGCAAGUGGUUUUGGCUCGAAUUGGGUGAAAUUUGAAAUGAGGGGCAAUACCUCAUUUUCUUUUGAAACUACGGUUUCCGAUGUCAAUAUGAGAAGAAUUAAAGAGAACAGAAUCUUGGAAAAUCACUCAAUACAAAUUAAAACACCAAAAUUCAACAUAAUUUACAAAACACGUUACUCGUGGGUUUAUUUAGGCCCGAUCGCAAAUAAAUUGAUAAAAAACACGCAUUUUUGAAGUUAGAAUGGUUCACUAUAUGUUAGCAAGUGUCUGUAAGCGCUCCCAAACGGAAAAAGCCUGAGGCAAAAAAAAAGUGAAACUGGGCAGAAACUCGUGUGUUAUAUAGCAAGGGGUUUUGGCUCGAAUUUGGUGAAAUUUGAAAUGAGGUGGAAUACCUCAUUUUUUUUAAUAAUAAGGUUCCCGGUGUCAAUGUGAAAAGAAUUAAAGAGAACAGAAUCUUGGAAAGUCACUCAAUACCAAUUAAAACAGCAAAUUUAACAGCUUUACUAAAUAAAUUGAUAAAAGACACGGAUUUUUAAAGCUAGAAUGGUUCAUUAUAUGUUAAGAGGUGUCUGUAACCACACCCGAACGGAGAAAGACAUAGGCCCAAAAAAAGUGGAACUGGGCAAAAACUCGUGUGCUAUAAGGGUUUUGGCUCGAAUUGGUUGAAACUUGAAAUGAGGGACAAUACCUCAUUUUCUUUUGAAACAAAGGUUUCUCAUGUCAAUAUGAGCAGAAUUGAAAAGAGCGAAAUCUUGGAAAGUCACUCAAUAUCAAUUAAAACACCAAAUUCUACAAUUUUACAAAACACGACACGCGUGAGUUUAUUUAGGCCCGAUCGCGAGUAAAUUUAUAAAAGACACGCAUUAUUGAAGCUAGAAUGGUUCACUAUAUGUUAGGAGGUGUCUGUAAGCACACCCGAACAAAAAAAGCCAGAGGCCCUAAAAAAGUGAAACUGGGCAGAAACUCGUGUAUUAUAGCAAGAGGUUUUGGCUCGAAUUAGGUGAAAUUUGAUAUGAGGGGCAAUACCUCGAUCAUUUUCUUUUAAUAAUAAGGUUUUCGAUGUCAAUACGAAAAGAAUUGAAGAGAACGGAAUUUUGGAAAGUCACUCGAUACCAAUUAAAAUAGUAAUUUCAACAGCUUUACAAAACACGGUACACAUGAGUUUAUUUAGGCUCGAUCGUGAGUAAAUUGAUAGAAGACAUGGAUUUGAGGGUCAAGGGGCCCUAUUGGCGGCCUUAUGAGGGUCAAAGCGGGUCUAGGCGGCCCAAGGCGAGUUAAGGCGGCCCCUAGGCGGGUCUUGGCUGCCCUAGGCGGAUCAAGGCUGCCUUAGGAGGGUUAAGGCGGCCCCUUGGCGGGUUAAGGUGGGUCAUGACGGUCUAAGACGGCCCAAGGUAGGUCAAGGCGUGUAAAGGCGACCUCUUGGUGGCCCUAAGUGGGUCAAGGCGGCCCCUUGGCAUCCCCUAGGUGGAUCAAGGCGGCCAGGUGGGUCAAGGCGACCCUAAGAGGGUCUUAGCGGUCCUAGCCGGGUCAAGGCAGCCCCUUGAUGGCCCUAGAUGGGUCAAGGCGCCCUAUUGGCGACCUUAUGAGGGUCAAGGCGGGUUAAAGCGGCCUCUACGCGGGUCGUGGCCGUCCUAUGCGGGUUAAAGCUGCCUUAGGAGGGUCAAGUCAGCCCCUUGGCGGGUUAAGGCGAGCCAAGGCGGGUCAAGGCGGUCUAAGGCAAGCCAAGUCGGGUCAAGGCGGCCCAAGGCGGGUUAAGGCGGCCCUACAAAGGGCCUAGGAGGGUCUUGGCAACCCCUUGGUAGCCCUAGGCGAACCUUGGAGGGCAUAGAAGGGUCAAGGCAGCCCUUUGCGGGUCAAGGCGACCCCUUGGCGGCCUUAGACGGGUGAACGCGGCCCCUUUGCUGCCCUAACGGGGUCUUAGCGGCCCUAAGAGGGUCAAGGCGAGUUAAGGCAGGCCAAUGUAGGUCAAAGCGGCUCUAGGCAGGUCAAGGGGGCCGCUUGGCGACCCUAGGCAAGUAAAGGCCGGUCAAGACGGGUUAAGCCGGGUCAAGGCGGCCCCUUAGCUACCCUAGGCGGGCCUAGGAGGGUCAAGGCGGGUAAAGGUGGCCCUUAGAGGGUCAUGGCGGCCCCUUGGUGACCCUAGAUGGGUUAAGGCGCCCUAUUGGCGGCCCUAUGAGGGUCAAGCCGGGCCAAGACGGGUGAAGGCGGCCCUUUUGUGGCCCUAGAUGGGUCAAGGUGUCCUAUUGGUGGCCCUAUGAGGGUCAAGACGGCCCCUUGGUGGCCCUAGAUGGGUCAAGGUGCCCUAUUGGCGGCCCUAUGAGGGUUAAGGCAGCCCUUUGGCUACCCUAGGCGAGCCUAGGAGUGUCAAGGCGGCCCUACACUGGUCAAAAUGAGCCAAUGCAGGUCAAGGCGGCUCUAGGCGGGUCAAGGCAACCGGAAAACCUGUCUAAGGCCGCCAAGGGGCUAGCUCCUUCACCCUCUUAGACCUGCCAAGGGGCCGCCUUGACCUUCCUAGGCCCUCCUAAUCUCGCCUAGGGCCACCAAGGGGCCGCCAUGACUCGCCAAGUGCCGAGAAUGCUUGAGCAGGGUGUGAGCCUUGUGCCAUGCCCAAGCGGGGCACGCGCAGGUGUCGAAGACCUGCGCAAGAAUGCAAGGCAAGUCAGUGCAAGGAGGCGCAGCAUCGUGCACAACCAAGGUGCAUAGCACUCAUGCACCCUAGGACCCAUCAAGGUGCGCGGCCAGGUGCACAACCCGGUGUACAACUCUCAUGCACCCUAGGGUCCGGCAAGGUAUAUGGCCAGGGUGUGCAGCACUACGGCACCCCAAGGUCUAGCAAGCGUCCAGCAUGGUGCACAGCAGGGUGCGCAGCACCUAUGCACCUAAGGGUCCAGUAAGGUGCAUUACAAGGGUGCAGCGGAAGGGUGUGAUAUCUCUAGCACCCUAGGGUCCGAUAGGGUGCGAGUCUCGGGUGCACAGGGUUGUAUACACUGAUGACAAAGGCCAUGUGUUGGGAGUAGGCAACACAAUGGCAUGGUGUGGGCUGCAUGGAGGAUGGCUUGCACGAGGGUUCAAGGGCAGGCAAGGUGCAGCAAGCUAGCACUAUGUGCGCGUGCAGCGUGCAUUGGCAUCAUGGCAAGUGGGUGCGCGAGCAUCUGACGACGAGCUUCCUACAUGCAUAGUAUGUGUGACACUUGGGCAACGGUUACCAAGUAGUGGGAGUUAUCCACACCUUACUCAGAAAAGGUAGUUACCAAGUAGUGGGCGGUUAUCCAAGAAGCACUAUUCAUGGUGGUUACCACGAAGUGGGGAGCAUCAUGCGCGGCAGUUACUAAGUAGUGGGUGGUUACUUACACAAGGUGGUUGCCAAAGUAGUGAGAAGUUACCAAUAAGGAUAAGAUCAUGCGGUUACUUGGAGAAGUAGUGGGCUCACUGAUAGGUGCAUUUUAUGCAACGUUCUUAAUGUAUUUCCAACCCUAUUUAGUUAUGUAAUUCCUUUAACAAUAUUCAUUUUAACUUAGUUUGUGUUUUUAGGUUGCAAAUAAAGCCGAGGAGCACAAAAGUGACAAAAGAGGAGAAAUCUUGAAGGAAAAGGAAUUCAUAUGGCGCAAGGAAAUAAAUCAGAAAAUCUGCCAGGAAUUAUCAGUCAACUUCGACAGAGGAUUGUGAUCAGUUCACAAUGAUCCAGGAGAUGAGCCUCAUAUCAAAGGAAAGCUAGAAGAGUCUAGUUGCCAGAACUUUUCGUGGAUCGUUAAUAGCUAUUUUGGAGAAGAAGUUAUGACCGUUUGAGUGACUGAAGGUCAGUCUUCACGAAUUUCUGAUUUGAACCGGAACUUCAAUUUCAAGGCCCAGACCACAACGGCGAGCCCAUGGACGAAAAUUGAAGGUUCUCUAACCCUAAUAGCAGCUGAUCAUACGUUCCCUAUAUGUAUGAGAAGUUGGAGACGUGAAAGGGGUCGCUCUUUGCCGCAGAAAAACAAUGUCUUUCUUCUCCUUCAGAAAUUCCUCUCCAAACACAAACCCUAGUUUUAGGACUUCUCUUGCCGUGCCUUCUCAUUUGUAAUCCUCGGUGUAGUUCCUUAUUUCAAUACUCAAAGUGUAAUCUAAACUUAGACCUCAUGUUUUCUUUUACUAUCUAUUCAAUUAAUUUAGUUUGUUUCCAUCUCUCUUAUUCGUUUGUGUUCAUGAGUUGGAUUUUUUAUUGAGUUUGUUCUUAUGAUCAUGAUAAUUAGAUCUGUACGUAUGGUUGAGUUGUUGGUGUAAUUGAUGAUGCUUUUAAUCAAUAUGUGUCAUUGUUUGUGUUAAGUCUGCAUCGGUAAAGACGAACUAGAAUGGUAAGGAGUCAUAGGGUGCAUGCUAGGAUGUUUUUGAAGUCUGCGUCGGUGAAUUAUAUUCUAACAUGUUCAAGUUCUUCCUCUGAUCUAUUUUAGAUAUGAAGUCCGCAUCGGUACAUAUCUAUGAGAAGUUAGAAAGGUUUUAAGUAGUUAAGUCUGCGUCGGUAAAUCACUUGAAACAUGGAAUUUGAUUUGUUUCUCCAUAUGCAUGAUUUAGGUUGUUAGGGUUGAAAUUGUAUAGCGACUUGGUUAUAUGAAUCUGAUUUAGUGUUUUCUUGUGUGCAAAGAGACGAUCACAUGUAUAUAGUAGCUUAGGUUUUUGUUUCUUUAUAGUUUAGGAUUCGUCACUCUUCUGUUCCCUAUUUUCUUUUAUUUUCUUUUCAUAUCAAACGAUCUCCGAAUCCCCUGAGAAUUUGUACAGCUGUUCAUAUGUGUGUCUAAUAUAUCUCUGUAAAUUUUCAUAUUUUUCUGAGUAGUUUAGAUUAGAUUUUUAAUUAUGUUUUUGACUUAUGUUCGUUAGGAACAGUAGUUACUUUUGUAAAUUGUUUAAAGGUUUUAUUACUUGUUAAUAUUUGUUGUGUUUUAAUAACGCUUUGUUUUGCAAGGUGCCCUCAAUCCCCGACCCUAUACGAUACAUUUAUUUACCUUCUGCUACUAACGAUAAAAAGGGUUUAUUUGAUGCAGGUUUUGCACCCAUCACUCACAAAAGGAAGUUGCAUAUGCUUGGCAUGCAUGCAUGUUGCCACAUCACCGUAGGCGGUUGGGGGUGUUUGUCACACCCCGGUUCUUAAGUUAUUAUACGGUUAUUUACUUUGGUAUUAUUUUGGUCUUUUACCGUGUUAAGUAACCGUUUACCACUUAAGGACCCUAGAGUUGACUUUUUCUUCCAUUUGGAAUUUGGGAAAACUUUCUUCAUGAAAGUUGUAGAUGACGUUAUUACGAGUUCGUAGACAUGCUAUACGUUAAAAUAGGGGUUAGCAUGAAAAAGUUAUCACAUAAAUGGUAAAGUUUUUGAGUUGGUAAAAAGGGGGUAAAAUUUUAGUGGGUAUAUUAUUAUGGGUUUUAUUGUUGGACCGGGUGUGGGCAGCCCAGCACCCACCCCCCCCCCCCCCNNNNNNNNNNNNNNNNNNNNCNCUUCUCUCUCUCUCUCUCUCUCUCUCUCUCUCUCUCUCUCUCUCUCUCUCUUCCUCCCUUCUCUCCCGAGCUCUCCCGACCUGAAAACUUUCCGACCGCCGUCUGCCGCCGUCCGACCGAGAUAGGAGGCAUGCUUGGUAUCAAAUCGAAGCUUGGAACAUCCUCUUCAAGUCUAGGUAUAUAGUUGGCUGGUCGUGUUGCGCCGCCGUGAGAGAGGAAUCACGCCGAGAAGGAGCGGCUGUGCGUGGUGGAGUUUCGCCGAAAACUCUCUUUUCCAGCCACCAUAGCUGGAGUUGUUGGUCUCAACUUGAAGCUCUCCCUCCCAGCAGCUAAACCCUAAAAGGAUUCAUCCUAACUCGUGCUAGGUAAGGAGAAUCGGGUGUUUGAAUUUCCUAGGGUUUUCUUGUUAUGUUUGGCUUCGAUUACCCUAUUUAGACUUGAAAUUGGACUUAGUGAUAGUUAUGAAAGUUGUUUAGGAUGUUGAGAGGAAGAUUGUGUCAAAAUUUUGUAGCCAUUGGAGGUCGCCGGAGUUUGGCUGCCGGCUGCCGCCGGCAGCGGCAGCGGCGCCCCUUAAGGGCAGUUUUUUUCUUGUUUUUGAGAUGGUUUUAAUAAGAGGAGUUUAUUGAAGUAUAGUUUAGAAUUUUUGGAUGAGUUUUGGUUAGGUUUGGAAUUUUUCAGAGAUUGGAGAAAAUGCCGGUUAUUAGAAUGAAAAUCCGGCCGUUGGAUUACCUUGGUAUUUAUUAUAGAAUGUUAGAAUUGAUGAAUUAAGGUUGUGGUGGAGUUUGGUAUGAAUCCGGUGAGUUUAACCCUAUUAAGAGUAGUGGGUUAAACGGAAGAGAGUUAGAUGUUUUUAUUCACGUAUUUAUUUUUUUGGAAUUGAAGUUUGGUUCUAAGUAUGGUUGUUGUGCCAGGAUGCGAAUGGAACCUCUCUUGAGUGGCGAUGCGGUUGUCGUCGGGCUUAUGCCUAAAGUUGUGAGUGGACAUUUUGGUUUUAAAUAAAUAUGCAUGCUAGAUUUAAUAAUCUAUCAUUUUAUUUUCCGAGCAUAUAUGAUAAUUUUCAACUCAUGGGAUGAUCUUAAAAAUUAUUUGAGUUUGGUGCAUUGAUUAAGUGUUGAUCAUGAUUUAUGGAUUUGAGCUCGGAUUAUUAAUUUGAUAUUUGAGUUUGGUUAUUUUAUAAGUUUUGGAUUUCAUUGUGAUUGAUUUAAUGGUGACUUUGGGAUUAAUAAAUGAUUACCGAAAAUGGGAUUUUCGGUAGUUCUCCAUCAUAAUUUAAUUGUUUAUUUGAGGCAUAAUGAUUUUGACUUGGAGAAUAUUUUAGCGAGUAUUUUCGAGUGGAGAUAUUGUUAUUUAUGAUUUAUAUUUGAUAUGGAAAUCUCGCUUAUAAUAUGGUUUCGAGAAUAUUUUGACGUGUGAGACACGUCAUUGAGUUUUAGUAUAAUUUCUUAUGAUGAUUUUCAAAUACGGUUGGGAACCGUACCCUUCAUUUGAUAUUGGGGAAGUUUAAUGGAUUUAAGUAACUUCGUAUGAUUUUAGUCACUAUAAUAUACGGUCGCUUUUAUAUUGAUUAUUGCUAGCUAACCUUAUUAGUGGUCCUCAUCAUAUGUGAGUCGCUAUUAUAGCUUUAUUAGCGGUCCUCUUCAUAUGUGAGUAGAGCGCUCAGCGUGGGACGCUGUUAUAGCCUGGAAGGCAACCGAUCGGUAUUUAUAUUUAUUAGUUAGCUAGCCUUAUUAGCGGUCCUCAUCAUAUGUGAGUUGAGCACUUAACGUGGGACGCUAUUAUAGCCUUAUUUAGUGGUCCUCGUCAUAUGUGAGUUGAGCGCUUAGCGUGGGACGCUAUUUUAGCCUGGGAGGCAUCGACCCGAGCCUGGGAGGCUCCUUUUUUUGUGGUGAUAACUUUUCCCCUUAUUUUAUUCUUCUCAGUAAUAUAAUUGAUUAACCAGCGGGGCUGGUUUGUCCUUUAUUAAAUGAUUUUGGAUUUAAAGUUUUAAGGACGUUUAAGUUGCAUGCUGUUAAGUUUUAAAAGUUGAAAAGUGGGAAAGUAUAUAAGUUUUAUAAUUGUUAAGUUAUUGAAUUUAUUUUUCGUCCACUCACUCUAACGUUUUUAAAUUACUUUCCCCUGGGCCAUUUGGUUUAUAAAUGCCCAGUUUGCAGGCUAAGUUAAUUAAGGUCGAGUCGUACAUGGAGUCGAGGCAUAGUCAGAGGCUGCUUCCGCUUAAUCUUUAUUUAUUGUUACUCUUUCAUUACUAGAUAUGCUCUGAUAACCUGUUAGUGAAGAAAUGAUGUCUUUGUUGUUGGUUGUGGAAUUCCCGAAAUUUAGUAUUUAAUAUAUUGGGAGAUGUGUUAAACUUGGGGAGCAGGAAGGCUACAGGAGUUGAGGAUGGAGGUUUGAUUAUACAAGUGUUAAGUUUGAUUUUUUUUUUCAGGAAAGGGUUGUCCAUUUUCAAGGAAGGUUAUGCCGAAUUGUCGGUAAAUUUUCCUUGAAUGUGGUUCCCGCAUGAUUUACUUCGGAUUUCAGGGUGAAAUUCGGGGUGGGUCCUGACAGUGUCAACCACCAUGCACACUUGAUGUGCAUAUAAACCUAGUCCAAUGGGGUUGUCAUGGACACGAGAGGAGAUAGAGUCAUUUGGAAGAGAAGCCAAAGACUUUAGAGAGGAACUAGUGAGUAGCAGGAGUUACUCGUUGUACUCUUGUAUUCCUUUAAUAUAGUUAAAGGUUAGGAGGGGGCCUCCCAUAAACACUUGUGUGUGUGUGUGUGUGUGUGUGUGUGUGUGUGUGUGUGUGUGUGUGUGUGUGUGUGUGUGUGUGUGUGUGUGUGUGUGUGUGUGUGUGUGUGUGUGUGUGUGUGUGUGUGUGUGUGUGUGUGUGUGUGUGUGUGUGUGUGUGUGUGUGUGUGAGAGAGCUUACUCAUUGCUAAUUAGUUGAAAGUCUUUCGUUGUGUAUUAAGCAAUUGAGUGAAAGGGUUGGCUGGUCAAGUAGGGAGGGUUGCUUGGCGCCAUCACAAGGGCGAGAAAUUUAGGGAAAACCUAUAACCUUGUGACAGUUUGGUAUCAGAGCUCAAAAGAGUUUUGGUGCGGAAUCUCUGAAGAAGCUACAACACACAAGCACAGUGCGAGAGUACGUGAAGGAGUUUAGUUCCUUGAUGUGGAAUAUCUCCAACGUACAUGUCAGAAGAAGACAAGCUGUUCAAUUUUAUGUUCGGUUUACAAACUUGGGCACAAACCGAACUGCGAAGGCAAGACGUAAGAGAUUUACAGAGGGCCAUGGCAGAGGCGGAUAGCUUGGUGGAUCUAAAUUUGGGUCAUCAUCCUUCAAGAAACAAGAGCAAAGAUGCUACCUCUAAUAAUUGGAAGAAGUUUGAAAGGAAGGAGAAAGAUGGUGGUAAGAGUUCAAAGAAUCAGUCCCAAAACAAGACCGAAUGGAGUCCCUAAACGUGUCUCAUCCCUUGGUGGGUCUAGGCGACUCCAAUACGGGUCUUGACGUCCCUAGGCUGGUCAAGACUCCCCCUUAGCGGCCUUAAGUGGGCCUCGGCAACCCUUUAGCGGCCCUAGACAUGUCUCAGUAGCCCCUUACCAGCCCUAGACGUGUCUCGGCAGCCCCUUGGCGGGUCUGGUGGCCCCUAAGCGGGUCUAAAUGGUCCCUACGUGGGUCUAGGAAGGUCAAGGCGGGUCAAAGCGGCCGCUUGGCAGAUCAAAGCGGCCGCUUGGCAGAUCAAAGCGGCCGCUUGGCGCAUCAAGGCAGCCCAUUAGCGGCUCAAAGCGGGUCUCGGCAGCCCAUUGACGGGUCUAGGUUGUCCCUAAGCAAUUUUGGGUAGUCCCUACACUGGUCUAUAUUGUCCUUAAGCGGGUCUAGGUGGUGCCUACGCAUGUCCUAAGCAUGUCUAGGCGGGUCAAGGCACCCCUUGGCUGCCCUAAGUGGGUCUCGGCAGCCUCUUGGCAGCCCUAGCGUGUCUCGUCAGCCCCUUAGCAGCUUAGCAGGUCUAGACGGCCCCUAAGCUGGUCUAGGUGGGUCAAGGCGGUCCCUUGGCAGGUCAAAGCGGCCCCUUGACGGCCCUAAGCGGGUCUAGACGGAAUUUAAGG
rnacentral:lncRNA from 1 species